UCUAGCGCUCGUAAUAUUCAUCCACAACCUCAUUACCCUGCAGGUAAAAAUUAAACUUAUAUUAAUUGGUUUUCAUAUUAAAAAAUUAUUUGACUAAUCUUUUAUUAACUUUAGUAUUGUUUAAUUUGUAGGUUCAACAUCUUAAUUGCCGAGCUCACUACGACUGGAUCUGAUAUGAUAUUAUUAGCUUUUGUUUUCAUUUCUCCUUCUCUUGGGUUGAAAAGCUAGAAAUUAUUGGUAUUGUGAUUUAGUGACUAAAUACUCGUUUAAAGAUAUAUGGAUAAUACCUUGAGACAUUUUGGUAUUAAUUAGUGUAACUACAAAACUUCUUUUAUAUGCUUUCUUUGUUAAUGCAAAUCAAGGCGAAUAAAAUUAAAGGUAUGCUUAAUGAUAAUGUAAUGCACUGGAUCUUGCAAAUCGCAAGAUUCGAGUGUUUGAUCUGUGUCUUGAGCUUUUUCACAGUUUUUGUAGGGUCGUUGAUAGUGUUCCGACCCCUGGCACGCACCCCGAGGACGUUGGUUUGAAACUUGGCACCAAAAUUCCAAAAUUGGAAUUCUUGGUCAGUUCUCGGGUAGCCUGCAGCAGGGCUUGUACCGGAACAAGGAUGGUCUUGUACCGGUACAAGGUUGAUGGUUGUACCGGUACAGAGCCGCAGACCCAGCCACCCGAGCCUCGGGUUUGCAUUUUCGUGGGCCUUGUACCGGUACAAGGGCCCGUGUACCGGUACAAGGGGGCAGUUUUUGGGCAGAUUGUUCUGCAGGGGUGUUUUUGCUAUUGUAGCAAUACUAUAACAGCACCCACGCCCCUAGGGCUCUUCUUUGAGCUUGCCACUGUAGGGAGUAAGGUAAGGGGAGCUUCUCUUUGCUUCUCUUUGGUUUUAAUCUCCCUCUAGCCUAGAUUUUGGUGGAUUAAUCCCUCUCUUUCUCCUCUUUUGUGCUUUUCCUCCAUGGAUGAAGUUGGAGCUUGGUUUUGGGAGCUUGAGUGAGGGAAAAUCCUUGAAGUUUGGAGACUUUGAGCUUGGAUUGAGGCUACUUGGGGGUAAGUAGUAUGUUACUCUCCUCUAGAUUUGGUUUUGAUAGUUUCUUUGAAGUUGCAACCCUAGAUUUUGCAUUUUAGGGUUGUUUUUGGGGAUUUUCGUUUGAGGGCUUUUGUACCAAAUUGAUGGUUUAGAACCUUUGUUUAGGUUAGAUUGGAAGGACUCUAGCUCCCAUUUGGAGAUUGAGAGAGCUUCCUUCGCAAUCGGUGAGUUUUCUCCAACCCUAGCCCAAGAUGCUUAAAGAUUGAACUUAGCGUCGUUCGUUUCGACUAGAUGACACUUGUUCUCAUACCUUUAGGGUACUAGGAGUGUGGUGGACGCCUUCGUCGUGGCAAACGAAAGCUUUCGUUGACGACGGUGGGUUUGGCUUCUUUGAAAUGGGAGGAAAUUCCUCCUAUGCGGUUAAAUGCUUUCAUUUACCAUAAGUUCAUGUAUAUUCAUGUUUAGUAGCAUUUAUGAGAGUUUUUGAAUGCUUAGAACUCAUAUGUUAUGCAUCAAGAAAAUUUACUCUAUAUAGUAGAGAGAGACAAUGUGCUUUGUUAAUAUGCAUGCGGCGAACAUUCUAUGAGAUGGUAAGAAAUCAAGUUUCUUGCUUCGAUUUUGACUAAAAUUAUAAGUGCUUGAACUUAGUAUCCAUGUUGGGACAAAAUAAGCCAUAGUGUCAUAAAGAGGCACUUGGCCGAGAGAAUUAUUAAACUGCAAUAUAGAGGCUUGAUAAUAGGUCACGUUGACAUCAACUAUAUUCCAUAUUUAAGAUAUGAUGAAAUAGUGACUUGGCCACGAUGACAUUUAUUAUAUUCCAUGUUUGAGACAUGACGACCUAGAGAUAGGCCUAUGAGAUUAGUGACAUAUUCCAUGUUAUUAGACAUGAGGACUUGGUACUUUUGACAGAUCGUUUGACUACUUGCCAUUGUGCUCAUUCGCACAUGCUUGUGAGGGUCGCUCCCUAUAAGCCGGCACUCCGGAGAUGGCCAUCGCGAUUUAUAUUCGCCGUGCGGGAUUGGGCGCCGAAGUGGAUUGCCGUGGGCCAGGCUCAUUCCUAGGGUGGGGAUGAUGACUACCACGGGGCCAUUAGGCUCGGCACCGGCCAGACAGCCUACGGGUGGGUCUCAGGGCCAUAGACAGCCUUCGGGUGGGUCUCUUCAGAUUUGACUUUGAGUAUUCAUUAUGACUUGUGAACAGAUGAUGACUUAGGGUACUACUUGGACAUUGACUAGAAUAGUAAACUACGGAACUUUACUAUUUCGCGCUGUGAACAUUGUGAUAGUUGGAGACUUUCACUUCAUGCAUAGUUGUUUUCAUACUUAUGCUAUUUAUGCUAAGUAGAGACUGUAUGUUGUAGUAAGUUACAAUUUUACUUACCUUUCACUUUUCUACUUUUAUAAUCACUGACAUCUUUUGUAGCUUUGGGCCUCGUGGUGCAUUCACUGAAGUCAGUAAUUGCCCACUGGGAACUAUUUUUAAUAGUUCUCACGCCCCUAUUUUAUGGUUUACUUUUCAGAGCCUUCAGCACCGGCGGAGGCACGGGAUCGCGGCAAGGGGAUCGCUUAGCUAGCUAGCGAGGAGCGGUACUUUGCCUAGGUGGUUUACUCUUUCUUUUUGUAGUUGAGAGAGUGUGAGGUUUUUGUAUCCAUGUAUAGAGACCACCUAUGUAUCUACCUAUAGCACUUGUAUCUGGGAUUUCCUUGUAUCACUUUAUGUUUUAUUUAGUGGAUUUACAGUUUUAUCCUUAUCUUUUGUGGUAGCAUUUAGACAUUUAUUAUGCUCUGAUAUUCCUAGAUGUUUUUUAUUAUCGCUUUUAUUAUUAUUGUUUUUAGACGCCUUAUAUGUUUUAGACGUAUGGCGGGUCUGGACACGCGCCGGGUAGGCUUCCGCUGAGCCCCGGGGCGUGACAGAUAAUCAUCGUGGAGUGGUCACUACAACAGAAUUAGGUUAUAGGGACACAUGUUUGGGACACUUUUGAGUAAGUGUCCCAUUUAUGGUAAAACUUAAAACCACAUCUACUAAUGCUUAAAUAUAAAGCCCAAUCCAACCAAAAAUAAAAGAUUACUCUACUCAACCCACCACACCCAGUCCAUUUGGCCUGAUUACAAACAGAAAAGAAAAAAAAAAGAAAAUUCAAUUUUCAUCUUUUCUUCUCUCUUCACUCAAUCCACUGAAAUUCUAGACGAAGAGCCUUUACUGUCGUCCUCCUCCGCCACCGCAGUCAACGAGAUAGAGUUUCGGAGGUUGCUAAAUGCUUAAAUAAGUGUUGAUAAAUUAGUAGCACUUUUUUAGGUUAUAGCGACACUCUUUAACUGUCACUAUAUACCUAGCGACCCCACAUAUAGCAGCACUUUUUAAAAGUGUCGGUAAUUUUAGCUAGCAGCACUUUUUUGACAUUUACCUAUAUUUAAAAGUGUCGCUAUAGACCGUUUUUGUUGUAGUGGGUAUUAUAUUUUAAAAAGUGUGAUGCAUCAAAAAAAAUUUGGAUAUUUAAAGAAAAUGGGAUAGUUAUAAAGUGUCGCUGAAAUUAAAAAAGGUGUUGCUAGAAUAUUAUUUUGCAUUACUUUUAUGUGCUGCUAAAAGCUUAAAUAAGUGUCGGUAUAUUAGUGGCACUCUUUUUAGGUUAUACCGACACUCUUAAAAAGUGUCACUAUAUACCUAGCGACACCACAUAUAGCAACACUUUUUAAAAGUGUCGGUAAUUUAGCCAUUAGCACUUUUUUUGACCCAUACCGACAUUUAAAAGUGUCGCUAUAUCCCGUUUUUGUUGUAGUGCUAAAAAAUAAUAUUCGAAGUUUUUCCUUAAAAUAACUUAUGAGUACAAAGAAAAUUAUACUCGUGAUAGUAUAAAAAUAGUCAAUCUCUCUCUAUAAAUAUAUUAUAAAAUAACUUAACUUUACAUUUAGAAUGUUCUGAAAUAUUCAAAAAGGGACACAAUAUUUUAGAUUUUAAAUGCUAAUUAGUUACAAUUUCUGACUCAAAUUAUGAGACAUAUGAUAUUUUUAAUUCUCAACUCUUAUUACUGCUAUAAAUAUAAUUCUUCUUAUAGUUUUUUUUUAUUUAAAUGCUUCUUAAAUUUUUACUGUAGUAGCUGUUGUUUCAACUUAAAUUUUUUUAUCUGUAUUUUUUUAUUCUUCGACUUUUUUUUCUUAUUUUUUAUUUUAAGAUCUAUAUCAUGAAAUAGAAUUUAAAUUAUUAACUUUGUAAGUCAUGUAUGUUUAAUUAAGUUUUGAUUUAAAAAAUAUUUAUCAUCUAAUAUAAGUUGUGGUGCAUAAAAUGUUAAUAUAUAUCAUGUGAAUGUAAGAAUUUUUUCUUUUCCAAUCAAUUUUAAUAAAGUAAAGACAUCUUCGCCUUUUCGGCAAUUUAAAAUACGUUCCCCACUUUUAACUUUUUAGUUAACAAAGUUAUUUAUAGAACAGUUUCCAAAACUAUUAAAAUUAAUUAAUUUUUAAAUAAAAUUGUUAAAAAUAAUAUAACUAUUCAAAAAUUAAGGAAAUAUUAAUAUAAAAGUUAUUUUUGUAAUGUACAUAACAUUAUUUUAUAAUAUUUUUAUUUAGUUAUAAUUUUUUAAUCUUAAAAUUUUAAUAAUUAUAUAUUUUUAUUGACUACCCGCUGCGGAGUACGGACCUGCACUAGUAUAGAAUUAUUCUUUAGUUAAAAAAAAAACAAAAUUACCAAAUAAGUUCUUAACUUAGUAAAUUACUAGAUUAAUAUAAUAUAAUAGCAUAAUCUAGUUUAAUUGUAUUGGUGGGCCAAUAGAAAAGCAUUAUUUUCCAUUGGGUUAAUUGCAAUAAAACGAGAAACUAUUUGUUAAACUUUGAUAAAAAUGUACAGAAAUUUUCAAAAGUUAUGGCUACAAAAUUUUCAAUUUGUUUGAUUUGAACAAAUCAUCAAAACUUUGACUUCCAAAUUGAAGUUAAUUACUAGUUUUAAUGAAUUAUAGUUGCGAGAAUUAUAUAAAAUAUACUAAACAAACCUAUAAUUAAGAAUAAAUGGCGGAUUCAAAUUUUGAAAUCAAAGACUCAAAUAAAAUAAAUUGAAAAAUUAUAAAGCAAAGUAAAAUUUUUAAAAGAUUGAAUAAGUAAUGCAAAACGUAUGGUUAACAGUUGGGAUUAUUUCUGGACGUUUUUACUUUAGAAACUACUAACUUGUAAUACUAGUGAGGGAGGAAGCUAAUGCUUAAUCUGCGCCAACAUGUGCCGGGCGUCUCUGCUGCUGGGCCUCUCAUUCGGAUCAUCGUACGUGCAGAAGCAAGCAAUCUUCAGAACCAACAGCAUCUGCUCCUCAAACCCCUUCCCCACCAGCUUCCGGUCGAUCGCAGCCGUCGGAUUCUCCGACUGCAGCGCAGCCCGGACCCAUCCGAUGACCCACAUCUCGUCAGUCUGCUGAAAGAACUCGUCCGACGGGAACCUCCCGGUGACCAGGGCCGCCAGGAUGACCCCGAACGAGUAGACAUCGCUCUUUUCUGUGUACGACAGCGUCUGGUAGUACUCCGGCGCGAUGUACCCCAGAGUCCCGGCCACGUUGUUUGAAUUCAUCGGCCCGCUGAUCGCGUCGCCGGGGACGAGCUUCGCGAGCCCGAAGUCGGCGAUCCGGGGUUUGAGAUCUCCGUCGAGGAGAAUAUUCCCUGGCUUCAGGUCGCGGUGGAUCACCUUCGGACGGUGCACGGUGUGCAGGUACUCGAGCCCCGCGGCGACGCCGAGGGCGAUCUUGAGCCGGCAGGGCCAGUCCAGCAGCGGAGAGCCGCGUUUCAUCACGUCGUGCAACGAGCCGUGCGGCAUGUACUCGUAGACGAGGUAGUGGCAGCGCGGCUGCGGGAGGUGGGCCAGAAGGCGGAGGAGGUUAGGGUGGCGCAUGCGGCCGACCGUCAUGAUCUCCGACCGAAUCUGGCGCGUGCGGUGGUGGAGCAUUUUGCUGUCAUCCCGGCACAGCUGCGCGGCGUUGGCGGGCGGCUGGACGAUCUUCUUGAUGGCGACGGGAACGGCGCGGUCGCGAUAGAGGAGCACGGCCUUGUAGACCUCGCCGCAGCCGCCGCGGCCGAUCACCUCGAGAGGGCACGGGAGGUGGCUGCGCGAAAGGAGGUCGAUGAGGGAGAUGUUCUCGGGGUCGAGGAGCAUCGGGGUGAAGAUCGUGGCCGUGUUGUUGCCCGGCUCCUCAGGGCGGCAGAUCGCGCUCCUGAUUCUGGUGCAGCAGGAGACGGACAGCAGCCGGAGGACGAAGGCGACGAUUCCGAGCGCAAAGCCGACGGCGAAGGAGACGGAGGCACCGACCCAGAGAGGGUGGGCAAGGAAGCGGCCUAGUGACGAGGGUGGGAUGUGGGCGAGUAAGAGGCGUCUGGGCGUGAGGAUAGGUGUCGCGGAGGAAGAGAUGGUGGUGGUGAAUUUGGAUUUUGUACCGUCAGCAGAACUUAUUAUUAGAGAGACGAGGAGGACGAGGACGAUAUACUCCAUGGAUGGGGCCUGGGGAAUUAUUAAGGGAAUGAAUAUUAGUAGUUCAAGGGCACCAGGCCUUCGGUAUACACUAGAGCGAAAUGAAGUUCACAAUUAAUUAAGCAAAACUGUUUGCAUUAAUUUCCAGGGUCCGGUGGACUCUUGACCUAAUGUAAACAUUACUUAUUUGGAUAUCGAAAUAAGUUAUUCAAUAAUAAUUUAUUUGAAAUAAAUUUUUUUAUAUAAAAUUAAAAAUUAGGAGUUUAAGUUUUACUCCUUGAUAAACUUUAACUUCGAUAAUUCAAGAGAAUAAUAUAGUUCAUGAACAUGACGACUUAUUUUAAGAAUUUAGAAAAAAAAAAUAUAACAUGAAGACUUAAUAUAAUAUUUUAUUCUGGACAUUUCACCGUACUUAUUCCUAACUAGCUUUUAGUCAUGUAUAAAUUAUUCCAAUAGCUAGCCAAAAUAAAAAAACCUGAAACUUCCCUUACCUUUACUAUACAGGUGAGUAAAGAAAAAUUAAUAGAUGAAAGUACAAAAUAAAAACAUGGCAAAUUCGUGGUUCAUUAAUUAGCUAGAGGAAAUAAAAAAUUAUUUAAAGAGAUGAGGGGCAUGUAAAAUAAUCAACAUUAAUAAGUUUAAUUAUGUUACAUCAUAUAAAAACCCUACUUUUUUGUGUUGAAAAGUAACUUUUAUGUUUUGUAUUAUUUUUGGUAGAUGGUUUACAAAGGGAACAUUAUUCUAAUUAGUGAUCAACCAAAAUAUUAACUGCAUGCAUGUUGUUUCAAGCGAAGCCGGUAGCCUAUUACCUUUCUCUCAAAAAAAAAAAAAAAAAGUUGGACCACUAUUCUUCAACCUUUCUGCCUAGGAGUGUUGUUUCCUACCCUAAGAAGCGUUGUUUGGAUGGACUAAUUGCAUUCCUAGUUCCAAUCUUUAUCUGAUUUAUUAAUUUAAUUUUUACUAUUUAAACAUUUUUAAUUUGAUUCUAGUAAGUUAUUUCAAUUGUUUUUGUCUUCAAAUAUUUUGUUACCCUAACAUAGACAACCCGCAUAGCAAAGUUUGGUAUGACUGUGGCAAAUACUAAUUAAUUGUUUGGGUCUAACGUUUUGGUUUUAAUACAUAAAAGUUAGUGAACUUCUUAACCACAUAAAAUUAGUCAAAACAAAAUAUAAGAAAUGUGCGAAACUUAAUUGCAAAAAUAAAAAGAAUAGAGACUAAACUGAAAAAUUACGUAAAGAUUGGAAUCAAUGACGCGAUGAACCAAUAUUAAUUGUUUGGAGCUAUUUAACAGAACUGUGAUAAAAUUUUUGCCUUUUUCUUUUUGAGGAAAUUUCGCUUGUCACACUUCUUUUCAGACUUACGUUAACUUAUUCAAAGUCUCCGUAACAAAUGAUUCUUAGUGGAAAAUCAGUAUCCUACUUUGGCAAGCUACAAGAUGCCUUUACAUCUUGUUGAGCCAAAAACUAGAUGCGAGAUGAUGCUGACCGGAUCAUGCCUUUUGUCACGCACCGAGACCUGCUACCAAUUUGGUCCGGUUCGGGCGCGUCGAACAAACGCCGGACGGACAGCACCUCCCCUGUCCGCCCAAGGCUUUGCAUCAACAAAUCAUGUACAAGAGUUGCCCAAGAAAACUCUGAAACAUACAUAAUACAACGAGGAGCGCCACUAGUGCUAACGACAAGAGCAAGCCACAAGUAAUUCAUACAAGUGAUAACAAAAGAGAGGUACUAACUAUUACAACCAUUCAACUUUAAUACAUUUGAUUAACUUUACAUAUUUUCAAAACACAAACAUAAAGUUUACAACUCAUCUCACCCUAUACAUCAUCUACUCUCAAGUACAUAGGGUAGCUCUAAUACAAAAGAGAAGUAAGCUAUCAAUACGAGCGCUAAGCCCUAAUCAUGAUCCUCAGCUGGCGCACUCGCACUCGGCCCUGCAAUAAAGUGGGGUGAGAACUACGAAUAGUUCCCAGUGGGUUUGGCCGCCGACUUCGCCGAUCUCCCCACUAGGUCUAAGCAGGCAUAGAAAGACAACCAGAUAGAUAGAUAGAUAGCUAUAAACGAAAUAGCAACUACAACAAGUAAGUAGAAAUGCAAAUAUCCUACUAUGCCUCAAUCGAAUGCUAUGAAUGCAUGCACUACAUAGUAUAAGGCUAGCUACUAUGUCUACGGGGAGGAUCCACUCACUCCCCCGACUCACAAUCUACUCUCUACGAGGAGGAUCCGCUCACUCACCCGACUCACAAUCUACUCUCUACGGGGAGGAUCCGCUCACUCACCCGACUCACACUCUAACUGUAGGUGAGGAACCGCUCACUCAAGGUGAGAAUCUACUCACUCACCCAACUCACAAUCCAAUCAUAGGUGAGGAACCGCUUUCUCAAGGUGAGAAUCUACUCACUCACCCGACACUGUCUGCGGGGCCCAAAAAGGCUCACCCCUCGGGACCCAAAAAGGCUAUCUCUAUCGUGUGACAACUCCAGAGUGCACUGCUUGUGUGGAGCGACCACCCCAAGCUUGAACAGACAUGUGAAUAUGAUCAAAUCCUCGACACUGAGGAUACCCUGCCACUAUAGACAACAUCACUUGGGAACUAGUUCAACAUGCAAUAGUAUUUCACCUACACUCUAGUUCAUCAUGCCACUCGUCAAGUUAUCUACUUAUCUAGAUGCAACUCAUUCUUUUGUGUUCAACACUAACUAGAUGACACUCGUUCUUAUUUAAGUGUUCCCAAUCCACUACUUGAACAUUAUCACUAGGUUAUCAUUUACCUAGGUUUUAAUCCAUCAUGUAUCAUCUCAUGUAGGGUUUUACCUCAUGCAUACUAGAUUCAAGUACGAAACCAAUGAAGCUACUACUAGCAUGCAAGAAUAAACACAAACAUCUAAACCCUAUAUGUAUCAUGCUCAAUAUGUAAUAUAAUCGACAACAAUAACUUAGACAUAGGGAGCAAUUCAACUGCUUCGGGAUGGUCACCACCCACCUUCUAUAGCAUUCCGAUUGCUCGUCGUCACUUGCAAUCGGCAUCCCGCGGCGCACGCCGCUCGGCUCGACCUAAUCCACGCGCGACCACCGAACGACCUCCGAUCCGCGAUCCGAAAAUUAAAGGUCUUCGGUUUCUUGCUACGACACUUGGAAUCCAAUCCUGCGAUUUACGAACGCCGCCUCGGCCUUUCGGGUGGAAAUGAUGCCGAAAUGCCCUUGGCUCGUCGAUAUCUCCGCACCAAAUCGACGAAUAGUCGAACCGUCACCGCCAACGUGUUUAGAUACCUAGCAAUUAGGUUUACAACCAUCUAAAUGAGAUCAAAACCCUAUAUUUUCCAAAACCCCAUUUUGGAGCCCUAGGUUUCAACAGCGCGAAAAUCCGCGAUUCUAGCUUGAGAUUCAAGCAUGGAACAUCUACUAGGGACUCUAGAGUUCCAACUAAACAAUUUCUAGAGUAUAAAAUCCAUACCCUAAAGAUAUACCAUUAAAGGGUUUUGGAGCUUACCUCCAAAGCUUCCUCCAAGCUUGAAGAAGAAGGAGAAGGUGAUGCCUAGCCUUCUCCUAGCUUCAAUCCUCACCAACUCAUCCUCCUUUCCCACCUUGAAGAGAGAGAGAAAGAGUAUUCUAGAGAGAGAGAGGGAGAGAGAUCAAGGGUUGAGAGAAUGAGAAAGAGAGGGCUUUCUCAUCUCUUAUCCCCUAACUCAUGUAACAAGUGCACUAAGCCCCCUCAACUUUGCCAUCAUAUGACAGCCCAUUCUGGGGGGUACGGGGUCCGGACCCUGAAACUAGGGUCCGGACCCCGAGAGUUGGCAAACUCUGCAAAGUUGCAAACUGCAACUUCUCAGGUUUCUCGCAACUACGGGGUCCGGACCCUGCAGCUAGGGUCCGGACCCCGAGAGUGGAAAAUAUGCAAAUUGCAGAUUUUUGCAACACCAACUCUCCAAGGUCCUCCCCAAUGCACUUUAUGCGUUUUUAAUGCAUUCGGCCUUUCCGAAGCAUACCAAAUCGACGAUAAGUCGAUUCCAAACAAAGUUCAACUCUCGGAUUUCGAGAAUUCACUUCCUUACACCUUUGACCGGGUUAAAAUCUCCCUCGAGAUCAGGAUCGACUUCUGAGUUGGCCUUCGAAUGCGCCAGGAUCAAAUCAAGCGAUUCGAUUGAGGAGGGAUUGGCUCAACUGGAUUCUAUCUCACUUCACUGAUUAAAGCUGAAGACUCAAGAAAAGGGUAUUCGACUGAUUGAAAACUCAGUUGAAUGAACCGAGUUGUUGUAUUAUGGGAAACUUGAGUUACAAGUAAAGUUAAGGUUACUCCUAAAAAAGGCCGUAAAUGCUGGAAGAGUAGAGAUUACAAGUAAACUACUCCUAGAAAAGCUAUAAAUGUUGAAAUCAGAAGUAUUGAAAAUGCCUUGGUAUUCUCGUUCGUAAGGAAAAAGACCCCUAUUACAGACUUCGAAGUUACUAUUUAUAGUAAUAUCUUAUCAGCCCACAUUAUUGGUCGGUUUUCCUAGUGGGGGUAGUGCUGUAGCCAUGAUCCCGUAAGUCACGCCACACUUCUCAACCACUCCCGCUUAAGGUCUCUCCACCUUCAGGCGCCUUGUUGUCGGCUCCUGGUGUACCAGGUGUCCCUAUUUCUUUGGCUCGUACAUAGGCCAGUCCGUCUAUCUUGUGGUGCGCUAAUUUUUGGCAUCAACACUGCCCCUCUGAUAGUCUUUCGAAUGAACAUUUGGAUGACUAUUGGUACCAAAUCAACGGCCCAAUGACAGCUGAGACCUGAGCAUUAGUCUUGCUAGUCUUGGUCGACUUAAAGAAAACAUAUUUAUAUGGUUGUCGGCUCUUUACCAUCUCAGCUACAUACACUUCGGCUUUAUCAGCCAAUUCUUCACCUUCACUUGAUUUGCUCGACUCUUCUUGAAUCAACCGUUCUUCUAUCAAGGAUUUCUCCUUGCCUUUGCUCUAAUUUUAUUUUGGCUCCAUUGUAGCCGAUCAUCCUCAUUUUUCUUUUGAAAUUGCUCAUAUUGGGCAACCGAACACCCAGAUCAAAUAGGUUAGGAAAAUAUUUAUCUUCAUCAUAGUCCUUUAUUUUAAAAUGCAAACCAUUAAACGCCAUUUUGGCGAACUCAAAUUCCGGCAUCCUCACGAAACUCCGAUUUCUGGUCGUUUUGAAACAGUUCAAGUACUUUGACAGUUUCACCCGACUUUUGUCUAUAUAAAGCUAAAUUGGCCAUUGAUAAUUUAGGUUCCGAUCCAUAAAACUGCUUAUGAAACUUUCACUCUAACUCAUCCCACUCUUGGAUGGAGUUGGCGGGUAAGUUUGUGUACCAUAUAAAUGUUGUCUUAGUUAAUGACAUAUUAAACAAGAAAAAUUUUAAGAAUGGGUUAGCGGUCGUUUCUCUACACUGCGCCGUGAAUCAAGCAACAUGUUCUAUAGUAUUCUUAGUCUCUUUGCCUGAGAACUUGUCGAACUUCAACAUCUUCCGGUUUGCCAGAGAGAGGUGCUCAACAUCCAUAUUUGAGGGGUAUGGAGAUCUAAAUACUGGCCACAUAGCUGUCCUGGCUCUAACACCAAAGGUGUUUCUUAUAGCCUCCUCAAUUUGAGUAUAAAGCUCAUUGUUUACUACCGUCAGAAUAGGUGCUUGAGCUUGAUUCCCAACUUGUCCAGCUAUAGUUUGAACAUUUGAUGCAACAGGAGUUUGAGGUUGUCCUCCAUUAGGACCCUGCCUCCCAGCCCUCAAGCCUACAUUUUGAGGAAGGUAGCUUGUCCUCCAUUAGGGCCCUGCUCGCUAGCCCUUAAGCCUGUACUUUAAGGCAGAAAUGCUGCCAUAGGAGGUGGAUGAGGAGGUAGCCCCAAGCUACCUCUGUUUGAGGUCCAGGGUGAACAUUCAUCGGCCGAUAGGCCGCUUGAAAUGAUCGUUGCUGCGGCAACAACACUUGAGUCACCACCAUUUGUAAUGGCAAGUUUGCCUGAAAAGCAUUUUGCCCCCUAGGCUGAUUUAAAGCUGGGGGCCUUGAGUCCUCCAACUAUUUGAUCGCUUUGGGCUAAAUUUGCCCAAUCCAAGCUACACUCUCAUUCGAGGCCGUGAUUGCAACCAAUAUCGCAUCUAAGCUAAUUGUACUCUGCUGACUGUUUUGGUUAAAGUUUUGUAAUAUUCGUGCUAUUUAAGCGAGAGUCUGAGCUAGGUUCGGCUCUUGAGGAACCGAACGACUGGAACUUUUGGCUAGUCGCGAUUGAAUUUCACUCAAAUCCUUGACACCUGUAACUAGUUCAUUCUCAGAAGAUCUAGGAACAACUUUAUUUCGAAAGUUAAGAGGGUUCUUAUCAGUCAUCAUAUCUGUAAAAAGACUAUACCUGAAAGUCCCAUUAGGCGUGCUAAAAAUGUUGAGCCGAAAACUGGACGCGAGGCGAUGCUAACCGGAUCACGCCUUUGACCAGAGCAGAAGCUCCAUCAAGAUCUGGAUCAGCUCCUAAAUUGACCCUCAAAUGCCCCACGAUCAAAUCAAACGACUCGGUUGAAGAAGGAUUGGCUCAAUCGCACUCUAUCUCACUUCACUAUUUAAAGUCGAAGGCUCGAGAAGAGGGUAUUCGACUGAUCGAAGAUCAGUUGAAUGAACCGAGUCGUUGUAUUUUGGGAAAGCUUGGGUUACAAGUAGAGUUAAGGCUACUUAUAAAAAAGCUGUAAAUGCUAGAAGAGUAAAAAUUACAAGUAAACUACUCCUAAAAAAGCUGUGAAUGCUGAAAUUAGAAGUAUUGAAAAUGCAGUGGUCUUCUCGUUCGUAGGGGAGAAAUACCUCUAUUUCAGGCUUCGAAGUUACUAUUUAUAGUAAUAUAGGGCUGCUCCAGGGCUGCUCUGCCUGAAGAUGCAACUGUUGCUGCUACGCUGCCAGCCUGCUAGCAGCAAUGUUGUAGCAAAUUCUUGCUGAUCGUAGUGCUAUUGCUACCUCUCCCUUUCCUGCAGCAAUCAAGGAUAUAGGAGAAGAAGAGGAUGACGAGAGGAUAGUUGCUACUUCCCUUGUCACUGCAACAAUGCUAGCUACCAGCAACAAUGAGGGCGUGAAGAGGGAAAAGAAGAAGGAGAAGAAGAAAAAGAAGGAAGGAAAGUCAGUUGGUUUCUAUAAUCUCCAAAAUUCUCAGUUAAGUGAGUUGGUGAGGGUUAAGUGUUGCCCUUGGCCUUAAACAACUAAACAUGUUUAGGAUUUAGUUGUAAUGUACCGAAACUUCGGUAAAUAAAUAUCGAACUUUAGUCAAAUUUACCAAAGUGCGAGGUUGGUACGCUUUGGAAACGCCGAAGGCGUCAAAAAGGAAAAAAGUGCAUUGUUGGAGAUUUUCGAGAGCUAAAGAAUCAAAAAUCUGCUUACUGCAACUUUUGAGCUCUCGGGGACCGGUCCCUGGUGGGAGAGACCGGUCCCCAAACGCGAAGAAUCUCAGAGAUGGAAAAUCGGCUAAGUCCCAGAAAACCACCUCUCGGGAACCGGUCCUUGCGGGGAGAGACCGGUCCCUCAGGAGAGACCGGUUGUAUCGUGCGAGAGCCCUACUGAGUUGCGGGAGAGCUCUCUGGGACCGAUCCCAUGCUCGAGAGAUCGGUCCCCGUGCCCGAAAAAUGCCCAGUCUGGGCUGUGCAAUGGAAUGAAAGUUGAGGGGCAUAUUUGCAUUUAUGCACUAAGUGGGCUAUGUAUGAGGGGAGUAUGAGAUAUUUUCCUUCAUUUAUCUUCCUCACACUCUCUCAUAUCUCUCUCUUCCUCUCUCUAGAAGGCAAGGAGAAGAAGAGAAGAAAGAAAAGUAGAAAGAGAAGAAGAAGAAGAAAAAGGUGGAGAGGAGGAAGAAGGAGUGAAGCAACUCCCUCUCCUUCACCUCCAACUCAAGAAAGGAAAGCUUGAGAGGUAAGCUUUGAUCCUCUCUCAUCGUAGAACCCAAAGUAGGAUUUUGAUUGACCUAAAGAUGAUGUUAAUGGAACCUCUAGAUGAUUUGAAGCUUUCUUUUGCUUCCCUAAGAGAUCAAAACUAGGGUUUUGUAUAUGUGUUGGAGCUAGCGCACCCUAAUUGGGGCUUUUGCUUGGGAGGGUUUUAAAGUUAAAUUGACCCUCUAGUAACCUAAUUGGGGGUAUUUCCGACGCGUUGGUGCGCUCGGUUUGACGUUACGAAAAGACUAUACGAAGUUAUGAGCGGAAAAGCCUAAUUUGGCUUCGUUUUGCCGCAGGUAAGGAAAUAGGCGGCCAAAAAUCAUGAAAUUCGAAUCCGAGCAUCCUAGCAAGCCUACGAGGUGGGUGGUGCUUUCCAAACUCCUUGAAAUUCUUUCUAUAUCUAAUGUGUCACUCAUUGAGCAUACAUAUAUGUAUUGUUGCAUGCAUUUUAGGGUGAAUGAGAUGAUACUUAUGUGAAUGUUGCAUGUUGUGAAUACAAUUGCAUUAUGAGAUGGUUGAGAACCUAAGAACCCUAUUUAUGCAUGAGAUGUAACAUGAAAACCUAGUUGAGGUAAAAGAACAAAGGUGACACUAUGACAUGUAGAUCGAGUGGCAUUAGUAAAUGUAAAGAUGACACUAGAGUUAGUGUGUGUGGCAUUAAAGAGGAUAUGAAUGCUAGAGUAUUUGAACACUAGAGCUAGUGUGUGGCACCAAAGAGAACAAAUGUGGCAUAAAGAACGAUAAAAGCUUGAGUUAGCGUCAAAAGUAUGGCAUCAAAGAAUAAAAGCUAGAGUUUGCACUAAGUGUGACAUAAAGAAUACUAGAGUUAGUGUAAUGAUAUGAUUGAAAACAAAGAAUGCAAAGAACUUGAGAUUGAGACAUAAUGACAUACAAUCUUAGAGCUAAGGGUCAUUUGUGCAUAAUUUUCUUAUAGUUAAGGAACAGAUUGAACUUGACAUUCUUAGAGUUAAGGAUUGGAUUAUACUCGCUAUAAGUCCUUGCUCGAGGGCGGUAGCUUCCCCUCGAGCGAUGCGCUCCGGAGUUUGUCAUCACUGGGUUGGUGCUGUUCCCCAGAGGACGGUCCCCGUCGGGUCGUAGGAGUCUCCUCAACGAUUUGGGAUUUUGAGUUGGUGAGCUAAUGCGGCGAAACCCCCGGGUUAGCCAUGAGAUUGAACAAAAGAUCAAAGAACUUGCAUUCUUCAUGAGUUGUAUAUUGAGCAUCUUUAUUGAUAGCUUUGUUCAGGUAUAUUAGUUGCAUUUGUAUAGUUAGUUACUUAUCUGCUUACCUUUUUCUAUUAUGCCUGAGUUAGACCUAGUAGAAAAGUCGGUGAGAUUGGGGCCGAACCCACUAGGAACUUCAUUGUAGUUCUCACCCCACUAUUUCCACAGAGUUGGGACCGAGUGAGCUGGCGAGCGACCGCGGUAAAGGUAUCCCAUUGUAGACAGUGACUACCAAAGUCGGGCUUUACAUUUUGUUAGUAGCUUACCUUAUAUCAUCUUUUGUAUUCGAUGAUUUGAGAUGUUAAAGAAAAGAAUGUAAUGUGUUAUUAUGAGCAAAUGUGAUGUAAAAAGAAAUGAUGAAAAGCAAUGUAAAGAAUCAUGAAUGUAAAUGGUUUAAAGUAAAUCAUUCUACGUGUAUGUUGUUAGUUUCCUUUCUUUCACUCAUGGCUAUUGCUUACCCUUGUGUAAGCCAUUGUGUAUGUUUCCGCUGGUGCUUUUCUUAACUUGAAAUUGUACAGGUGAUGAGCCUUGGGCGGACAGGGAAAACUCUGUCCGUUGGGCGUCUGUUCGACAUGCCCGGACCGGCCCAAAUUGGUAUCGGUCCCGGGCGUGACAGAUAUAGUGGUAUCAGAGCCUAAAGUGAAAGAAUAGGAGUGGACCUAGAGACCCUUAGGAUUGAAAAACCUUAAGGAUCUAGGAAACGUGAGCGACGUUGGAUUAAAGUUAGCGAAAGCAUGCGAUUCGGUCAAGUUGGGAUGUCUCUAAUGUGAUUAGGGACUGAGUCGAGUUGAUGUUUGUUCUCUACUCCUUGUAUUGUGCCGGGCGGCCGAUGACAUAAUGCUUUGGAGUGAGGAUGGAAACAUAAGUUGCUUUCGCCGAAUUAGGUAUGGUUUAGUAAUGUUGGUUGUGUAGCUAAUGUGAGUUGCUUCUUUUUAGGAAACAAUGGCACCUCGUGGUGGACCUCGAACAAGGUCAAUGCCAGAGGAGCCAAAUGCGGCGCCCGAGCAAUAAGGAGCAAGUGGCGACAGUGAGCUUCGGGAGCAAAUGGCCGCGCUUAUUGGCGUAGUGCGGCAACAAGUGGAGUCUGUUCAACGCCGAGGGGAACAGAUUCGAUGGGUCCAGGAGACCUUGGAGCGUCAACAAGCAGCGGCGACCUAGGUGGGUGCUGAGCAUGUCGCGCCCCCUGCGGUGGUGCCGAGUGUAGUUGAGGGAGCGGCGGCAGCGGCAGCUGUGCCCGUCACGAUGGUGCCGGCUGGAUCAGGAACCUCAAAUCCCGAUAGUGCUGCAGUAGAGGCGGAGCGGGAGCGCGUGCUGGCGGCUCUCAUUCAGUUCUAGAAGUUCAGCCCACCUGUCUUUGAAGGUGGUAUGGUGGAGCCAGCAGUAGUGGAGUCUUGGAUCGACUCAAUGGAAACGCUCUUCGAGGACCUGAAUACAUCGGAGAAGGACAAAGUGUACCUCGCCACCCAUUGUCUCGAGAAGGCAGCGAAGGUGUGGUGGAAGCGAGUUAGGCAGGAUCGAUCAACCGAUCUUCCGCCUAUGCUUUGGGAGGAGUUCAAGAGAGCAGUGUUCGCGAACUACUUCCCCGACACGGUAAAGCGGAGACUACAAGAGAAGUUCCGCAAGUUAAGACAAGGAGACCGCUCGGUAGCGGACUACGAGCAAGAGUUCUCCGACAUUAUUGAUUGCGUGCCGGAUGUUGUUCGUGAUGACCGGGAUCAGGCUGAUUGGUUCUUGUGAGGACACCAGUCGAGAAUCUAUGAGAAGGUGCAAAUUCUCAAGUUGACGACCUUUGCGGAAGUCUUUGACCGGGCGUUGUGGGUGGAGCACGGCAACGCCUACGCACGAGAGGAGCAUGAAGCUAUGGCCGAGCCAAGGGAUAAAGGCAAGAUGCGAGCGGCGGGCAGUGCCGGGGGCCAGCCGAAUGCAAAGAAACCCCCUCGGUAUCCCCGGCAGUAGUCGAGGAGCUGGAGACCACCUCGGUGCGUCAUCUGUGGCGGAGAGCACCGAGUGUCGACCUGCUCGCUGCGCGAAGGAAAGUGUUACAAGUGUGGCCAACCGGAACAUCUUAUCCGGGAGUGCCCGAGCUGGAUGUCGUCUGCGCCGACGGUGGCAUCAGCACCGUCUACCCCAAUGCAACUUGCGGGGCUGCCACCAGUGAUGUCGGCUGGACGCACAUCAUCACCACGUCAGCCGGAGGGAUCACGAGCACCUAGUGGCCGGGUUCUUGCCACUCAGGUGGAGGAGUAGCCUGCAGCACCAGAUGACGUUGUGGCUGGUAUUAUUCUGACUAAUGGCACUAGAGCUAGAGCUUUAUUUGAUACGGGCGCAUCUCAUUCAUUCAUUGGUACUGACCCUCGAAGUUCGCGUGUAAGGUGCCGAACUUCUGUAAUUAUGAUGUUGCGGUGGAAUGUAAUAUACCGGAUUUUAAUAUAAAAGUGAAAAUAAAUAAAAAUAGUAUGAGAUAUUAUUUUUAUUGGAUUUAGAGAAGUGAAAUAUAGGUUGGAAAUGACCUGUGCUGAAAUCGGAGCGAAAACAGAAGAUUUAGAAUUUUCUGCGAGAAAUGGGACAGAUAAAUUAGCAGAAAAUGCACAGUGUCGAAAAAUUAUGAAAACUGGAGAAUAUGUCAGAAUCAUUUUUAUGACGCUAGACUUAAAGUUUCAUGCCAUUCUGAUACCCGGAAAGUGGAAAAUAAAAUCCGACAGCUAUCUGAUAGAGAUUACAGUUCGGUACAGCUUUCGGUGAUCAAACGGGGUCGAAAGUGAAAGAUUAAAAUUUUUUUGUACUUAUUAAGUAAAAUCAAGCCUGUCUGUCAAAUUUGAGCUCAAACGGACAUUCGGGAAGGCUCCGGGAAAAAAUGUCAGUUUUAAACUGCCCGAUGUGAAUAGUGUAUAGUUGAGGGGCUAAAUUAUAAAAAGGGAUUUAAUCCUUCUCCUCCCUCAACCGUGCACCACAACGCCACACACUCACACAUGCACGCAUGCAUGGAGGGAGAGAGAAACCUCUCUUUCUCUCUCUAAAUCUCUCCCAAAAUUGGUGGCUUUGGGGGAGAUUGAAGCUUGGAAGUGAAUCGUCUUCAUCUUCUUCAUCUUCUCCAUGGUUUGGAGCAAGCUUUGAGGUGAGCUUCUUGAGCCCUCUGAUGGUAGAUCUCUAGAAUUAGCUUUGUAUGUUCUAGAGAUGGAUUUAGUAGAAUGCUUAGAUACUAAUUAGAGGUUUAUUGCUUGAUUCAUGAAGUUAAAUAAUGGAUUUAGUUGUAAUGGCAUAUAGGGCUUCAAAAUUGGGGUUUUGUAAAAUAUAAGGAUUUGAUCUAAUUUGACCCUCCGUAAACCUAAUUGUUAGGUAAACGAACGCGUUGGCGAAGUGGGUUCGGCGAUUCGUCGAGCCAUUGUGAAGAUAUUAAAGAAAUGGACGUUUAGGCUUCGUUUCCGCCUGGAGGGCCGAGGCGACAUCGUAAAAUCAUGAAAACGGAUUUGGAGUACCGUAGCACAUAACCGAAGACCUUUAAUUUCUGAAUCGUGGAUCGGAGGCCAUUCGGGUGGUCGCGCGGGAGUUCGGGCCAAACCGGGUUACGGGCGCCGCGGGAGGUCGAUUGCAAGUGGCUAUGAGCAAUCGGAACGCGAUAACAGGUGGGUUGUGUUUACCGAAGCGACUAGGUCGCCUACAUGUCAAAGAGAAAUGUGCUUCUCGUUGAUGCACAUACAGGUGUGAUGGUAGUUGAUUGCAUAGGUGAAUGCUUAGGGAUAAUGCAUGAGAUACUAUGUGAUAGCUGCCUAAGAUGAAUAAAAUUGCAUGUUAGCAUGAUUAGAAUAUGUGCAUAAUGGCAUCAUGAAUGAGUUAAAGCAUAUAAAUAGAAUAUGCAUGAUGAUGUUGUAGAUGUGGUAGAGCAUAUGAAUAGAUUGCAUGCUAGUUGAUAAUGGCAUAACGAAGCAUUGGAGUAUGUAUGCUAGUGGAUAAUCGCAUAUAGAUGCCUUGAGAAAUACAUGCUAGAUGAUAAUGGCAUAUUAGCAUUAUGAAGGUGUAUACUAGAUGUAAGAUGCAUGUUGGCUUUAUUGAACAUAUAUGCUAGAUGAAAAUGAAUGUUAACAUAUUGUUAAUUAUGGAGAUUUUGAGGUAUGUGGACAUAUUGCUAGAUUAUACAAAUAGGCAUGUGGCAUGUAAACCUAGUAUUGUGAACCUAUGAUAGAUCGAGUGGCAUUAACCUAGUGUUAUGAAUAUAGGUUGAACAAGUGAACCUAGAAUCAAGAUCUAGGUAGAGUGGCAUCGAACCUAGUGUUAGUAAACAUAGGUCGAAUAUGAACAUAGUGUCGUCAAACAUAAGUUGACAUCAAACCUAGUGUUGUGAAACCUAGAGUUAACUAAACCUAGGUGAGUGGCAUUCGAACAUAGUGUAAAGAAACACAUUGAGACACUUAACGUGGAACUAGGGAUAGGUGGAUUUCCGAGUGUUUAUUAACCAUAGUGGACAGGGUAUCCUCGGUUGGUGAGGAUUGGAUCAUACUCACAUAGUCUGUUUUGGGCUUGUGGCGGUCACUCCACACAAGCAGUGCACUUCGGAGUUGUCACACGAGCUGGGUAGCUCACGAGAGGGGUAGCUCACUGGGUGGGAUACGAGCGGGGUAGCUCCUCACCCAUUGGACUGGGAAGUGAGUCAGGCGAAGGGCGGGGUAGCUCUUCACUUGUGAGAUUUGUGCGGGGUAGCUCUUUACCUAUGAGUGGGGUAGCUCUUGACUGAUGAGAUUGAGGUUAGAGUCGAGGCGAAGAGCGGGGUAGCUCUUGCCCUUAGGCAUUUGAGUUAUGAGUUGGGCGAGGAGCGGGGUAGCUCUUCACCUAUAGGACUUUAGAUAUGAGUCGGGGCAAAGAGCGGGGUAGCUCUUCACCUACUAGAGAUGUGAGUGAAUAUCUAUGGCAUUCGAGAUAUGUGUUGGGUGAGGCAAGAGCGGGGUAGCUCUUCACCUAUGUGAUAAGAGAUCUUAGGCAGGUUAGCCUAGUGGAUUGGGUAAUGACAUGAAUAACAUAGUGGAAUGGCAUUCAUACCAUGAUUGGGACAUAGUAUAUGUUUAGUGGAUUUAAGGCCGAGGAGUAUGUGAGGGUUCCUUCACCUCGAGCCGGAUAGAGUGCGGUACUCCGCAGUUGAUUGACUCGGGGCAGAGUUGGGUGGCUAGCUUGAAUAAGGUAGAUGGAACCUUAAGGCUAGUGAUAGAUGAAAUGGAUCUAGGGUAAUAGAAACCUUAGAGAGUAGUUGGAUGUGAUAGAAAGUAGUAUCGGGUGAUCUACUAGUUUUUGCAUUACUUGCAUGGUUGCAUAGCAUGACAUUAUUGCAUUCGCGAGGCAAAAGCAUGACAUAUGUUAGUCGCAUAUUUUUGAUAUCAUAUCUAUCUGUUUAUUAAUCUAACCUGCAGUUUGCCUCCUUUGAACCUGUUGGUUGAGCUUUUUCCUUGGGUGGCCGUACCCACUGGAAAUCAUGGAGUUGGUUCUCACCCCACGUUGCUUUGGGGUGUUAUAGGUUCGCACGUGAGCGACGCGACGGCGCGAGGAAAGGGCGUAGCUCUGUAGAUAGCGCCCUACCUCAGAGACCAGAGCUAGCAGUACCCCGUCGACAUAGCUUAGGGGUAUAGGAAAUGAAUAGAACACAAUGUAUCAAAAAUGUAUUAAAGAUAUAAAUGAUGUAAUAACAUAGAUUGCAUUUGGAUGGAAAACAAGUUGUAUUUGAGUUGUAAAAAUGUAAGCUGGUGAAUGCAUGUAAUAACUUAGGAUGUGUUUAUGUUGUUUGAUACCUUCCUUUGCAAUCAGUGUAUGAAUACUGUUCCUGUUUGGAACCCCUUAUAUUAUACUGUUUGUUGAGCCUUGAACGUUCAGGGGAGACUCUGUCCGAGGUACAGGGGAAUCCCCGGUUCGUUCGGCGCUGUCUGCGACCCGACCCGGCCAAAUAGGUAGAGGGUCACAGGGCGUGACAUCGCGCCCUUCGAUUGAUCAAGCGAUUCGGCUGAUGAGGGAUCGGAUCAGCCGGAUUCAAAGCCUCUACAGUAAAUUCGGUUUGGCUGGAAGAGCCAAAUGUACGGACCAAGCAAAAACUGAAGUCAGCCGAUGAGCCGAAUAGCUAAAGAACACAGGAAUUGACCGGCUUGAAAAGCCGAAUGCCUUUAUAUUCACUGAUAAGAAGUACAGGGGUCGAGUGUGCCGGAUGGCAUGCAGACUCGGUUGAUCUAUUUAAAACUACUCCUAGGAAGAACAGUAAAUACGGGAAAGAGAAAUUACAAGUAGACUACUCCUAGAAAAUGCAAGAAAUUGCGAGGAAAAUAAGGGCGGUCUUUUGUUCAUAGAAAAAAAGACCCAUUUUUAGGGCGUUAUUGACCUAUUUAUAGAUCGCCCCUUGUGAUCAGUUAUUAUCUGUGCAUGAUCAGCCACUACUCCUGAUUCUCCGGACCAUUUUCAGCCCACUUUCAGCCGAUCAGAACCGUUUGCAACUGCUUACGGUUACUGUAACCUCCCUUAAUUAGCGCAACAGUUUCUCUUCCGGUGCUCCUGGUGUACGGCAAGAUUGAUGCUUUUGAAAGGAAUACCGGCGUACCAUCUGUCCGCGCCUAAUUUCCUCAACAAUUGCCCCCUCGGCAACUUUCGAAGUAACGCUUCGGUAGCUGGCGUAAUCUGAGGCGCGAUUACUUUUCAAACUCUUGGUACGGUUUCGUCUCAACCGUCCACUUUUUUCUACUGCCGAAAUCCUGCCAUCGCUUCAAUAACAAGCGCGAUCCGAGGCGUGGUUCUCGGUCCAAUCAAAUUCAAAUUCUCUGUACGAGUAGCUGACGUAAUCCGAGGCGUGAUCCUCCGUACGGUUCAAUCUUGGCUGUCCAUUUUCUUUUUUACGGCUCUGAUCUCGCCCUCUAUUUUUGUCUUAUAUGUGGCAUUAAUUAGGUCAUCUUAAUUACCGCCAUCUAUUCAUCAUUAUAGCCAUCUUCGGAACUCGCUUUGAUGCGACGAUUCGAUGCGACGACAACCUUUUCUUCUUAGCCAAGCUUCUCAUUCCUUUUUGUACUCAAACCUCAUCUUCGUCGCUUCUUUUACUUCUCUUCGUCUUCUUUGCUAUGUCUAUACUCCAGCUUGGCCCAUUAUUUUCUUCCUGAUACUUUAGAUUUUCCUUCAAUCUUUCGGCAAUGGCGCCGCUUCCGCCUCUGCCUUCCUUUCCAACACUGGAUUAUACCAUACUUAAACCAUAUCUCUCUUUAGACCCCACUAGAUUAAUCUUGGGUCCCUCCUUUACUGAAGACCCAGCUCCUGAUGAUUUCCCUUACUCCAGUGAUGGUCUUCCAUUAAUGGCUAAAUCCAUUCAUCUCCACUCCUGGUAUUCCUCGGCUUCGACAGGAAAAAGUCUUCGAACUUGGCCGAGUGUUUCAGAUGCUUACUUGGCUUGGUUGGAUCGAGUGGAGGCUGUUUAUGGUGAUUCUUGGAAGGAGAUCGGGAUUUAUGAAGCUAUUAGGCUACCUAGGAAGCCUCCUGUAGCCGACAACCUUCUGUUAGCUUCUGCUCUCUAUUUUUGGUCCCCUGUUUUCAACGUUUUUCUUUUCAGAGGAGGACCUCUUACUCUAACUCUUUUUGACAUAGCCGCUAUCGUUGGACUGUGUCCUCAUGGAGUUACCAUCUCUAUAGCUUAUAAUCCUGAUGGCGUGUCUGACUUUGAGGCUCAUCUCGACCUCAAUGACUUGGCCUAUUCUAAGUUCCUCUGUAAGUUUGCAGGCGAAUCCCCUGCUCCUGUCACUAGGAAAGAACAUACAGCGUUCCUCCUACAUUGGUAUGCCACAAUCUCUUCUGCACUCGUUUGCAGAAAAUCAAUCGGGACUUUGUCCCAAUUGCCGUUGGUUUAUCUAACGGCGAUAGAUUAGCUCUAUAGCCUUAUUUUCUUACCUUCGUCUAUAGGAAAAUCUUUGAUUCCAUUAAACCACUACCCUCUGGAGAUGGUGUAACAAUCAGCUCGGGUUGUGGUGUUUUUUCGUUUUUGCAAAUAUUUCUGCAAAUUUAUUUUCAUAAAUUGUGCCGAGAACCUCUAGAUCUAAACUCGGCUGCUCAUUUUGACUCUUAUGGGCUUGCUCUCGGCUGUCCUCAGCCGUUAACAUCAGGCCAUCCUCUUGAUUUUAUCACCUAUUUUAAAAUUUUUUAUGAAUCGGGUCCUCAUUUCCUCAUUUCUUGGUCUCCUUUUGCUGAUUACGUCACCGGCCCACCUUGGUUUUUAGCUAGGUACGAGGCCAUUCAAGGUGAACUUGCUUCUUCUCGUGCCGACGAAUAUUCAGAUGUCUAGUACUCUUUUUUGGCUACAAGGGAUUUACACAUUGGUUUGAAAUCGCGCUCAAAAUUACUGCCCAGUACUGAGGUUUACUCCCCCCAGUUCGCAGUGCGUCAAUUUGGAUUUACGCAAGCAAUCCCUGCUCCAGCCAAGUUCUUCAUGGCCAAUACUGCCGUUCAUCGUCCUCCUACCAAAAGUAUAGCCGAUGCUAAUCGAAUUUUGGCCAUGGGGAAUCGUCUUCGGCGAUUUUUCAAAUUAUUAAGCUUUAGGCCAAAUUAUACAGGAGUAGUAGGUUUCCGCUAUACCGUUACUUGGGAUAGUUUUGUCAAUAGCACCUUCAAUUUUCCUACCUCGCAGGCACACCGCAAAACUAUUCACCCAAUCAGUAAAUCUCUUACUUAUGGCUGAUUUUCUAUUCCACAUAAUUUCUGCUUAUCUAUUUUCCAUUUACAGUGUCCUAUCCAAGCAAAAGUCUUUCGGACGACACCGCUGCCCUAUCUGUAUCAAAAAAAGUCGGUUUGACGAUUCGUUGAGUUUGUGUGGAGUUCUUGGCAAAAGGGGCGGUCGUAGCCUUCGUUCCUACUCGGAGAGCCGAAGCGACGUUCUAAGAGAUUGCCGAGUUCCGUUCCUCGAGUUGUAGCAUCGCCAAAAGGUGGGUGGUGCCAUCUCGAAGCAGUUGAACUGCUCCCUAUGUCUAAGUCUCAUUGUUGAUCUCAUGAGCAUCUUGCCAUAUUGCAUUAUAGGGUAUAUAAUAUGUUGUUGUGUAUUCUUGCAUGCUAGUGGUAGUGUAGAGUCGCUUACUUGACACUUGGACCUAGUAUGUGUGACAUGAUGACUUGGAACCCUAUAAUGAGAAGAUAAAUGAUGAAUGUGCCUUAUGUGGAUGAAAACCUAGUAAAGUGUAAACUAGUGUAUUGGAAACAUGUAAUGAGAACGAGUGGCAUCUAGUUAAUGUUGAACACAAGAAUGAGUGGCAUGAAAACCUUAGUGUAGCUAAAACACUAUGAGAUUGAGUACAGGAACACAUUGAUUCCAUGAUCACGAUAACCCUAGUUGGCAGGGUAUCCUCAGUUGACGAGGAUUGGAUCGACUCACAUAGCCUGUCUGCGCUUAUAGUGGUCGCUCCACACAAGCUAUGCACUCCGGAGUUUUGGUCACUAGAGGGGCAGUCGUGAGCUGCCUGGACAGUAGCCAGCUGUCCGCAGGCGGUCUCGGGGGUAGUCGAGUGAUCAAAAUCUCCUCCCCUAUGAAACUUCAAGACGUGAGAUGGUGGCGAACCUUCGGGUUAGUCGAUUGAUUGGGUAAUCUAAUGAAUUACAUCAUUAUUGAGCAUGAUAGCUUGGUAGUAGCCUUUACUUAUGUUGCAUGCAUGAUUAUAGAUUGAGGCAUGGUAGAUUACUUUCAUAUCUCCUUAUUGUUAUCGCUUUUAAGUUUAUCUAUCUAUCUGUUUAUCUAUCUAUGCCUGCUUAGACCUAGUGGGGAGAUCGGCGGAGUGGGCGGCCGAACCCACUGGGAACUAUGGACAAUAGUUCUCACCCUACUUUGUUGCAGGGCCGAGCUCGAGUACACCCGGCGAGGAUCACGGUAAGGGCUUAGCGCCCUAGAGGUUGUAGAUGCUUCCUAUUGCAUUAGUAGUCACCCUUUGUACUUGAGAGUAGAUGAUGUAUAGGGUGAGAUGAUGUGAAGAAUUGUAAACCUUAUGUUUAUGUUUUGGAAGUUUAAAUGUAAUCAAAUGUAUUAAAGUUGCAUGAAUGUAAUAGUUAAGUAUCUCUCUUUUAUUCACUUGUUUAUUACUCGUGACGCUUGCUCUUGAUUGUUGUGCUCCCGCUGUUGUUGUAUGAUCGUGUAUGUAUUCAAGUGAUUUCCUGAGAACUUGUUGUACAUGAUCUCGUUGUCUAGUCUUGGGCGGACAGGGGAGGUCCUGUCCAUUCGGCGUCUGUUCGACGCGUCGGAACCGGACCAAAUUGGUAGCGGGUCUCGGGGCGUGACAGAGAGAGCUAGGGUUGAGGGAAAGUGAGAAAGAAAGAGAGCCAUCCCCUUUCUUUACCUCCCACUCAUGUAACAAGUGCAAAUAAUCCCCUCAACUUUUAGCUUCACCAACAGCCCAAAAUAGGCAUUUUCGGCUACGGGGACCGGUCCUUGGAGUCAGGGACCGGACCCCCAUGGUCCAGAAUUUUCAGUUUUCGUUGAUUUUGCUCCGUUUUGCUCCGUUUUCGCCCGUUAGGCCUCCGAUUCAUUUCAAAUCGAACCGACUCCAAACACGUUUUCGAGCGUAUUUAAAUCAUCUUUUUACCCAUGCUAAUGCCGGAUUUAGUUCACAGCCCAACAUAGCCUUUCGGGUCCCAUUUUCGUGCCUACGCGCACCGAAACGUCCAAAUGCUUCCGGACUUCACCGGAACUUUACCGGAACAAUUCAAAUGGCUUUCCAAACCAAUACACACCAUAACUUCAUAAUUUUAGAAGUCCGGUACCUUACAUCCUCCCCUCCUAAAAAAAAGUUCGUCCUCGAAACUAACUCACAUCAACCCUAAUUUACAGCUCAACUCAACUUAUCGAGCAACAUAGGGUUCCAAUGCACUUUUAUACUCCGGAGUGGCCUUUCACUCAUUGGAAUCAUUCAAAGGUCCACUACGGAGGAUGUGAGACCAAGUUCACUCACAUUGGCUAAACGCAACUCCAAAAGUGCAUUGCAAUCUCCGCAAGUCUCGGUGGUAGCGUAAGUCGACACUUGAUGACUCUUCACGCUCCAACACCGCUCGCUAACCAGCGCACCAAGGUCAUACCAUUUCCUUCGAGACCAGGACUACCCGUCGUCCUCGUGGCGUGGAUCUAACAAAAUGCACCGACUAGUCGUAUCUUCCACCACCACGACACAACACACCCGAGAAGCCCUCUCGAAUCACUCAAGUGUUCACAAGUUGACACUCCAUCACUCGAUCAUACAAGAGUCUAUACUAUCAGGUACGACUCUUCCUCGCAUCAACUUCUCCCCUUGGGAACGCACCCUGCUUCGAUCACCGACAUUGCCUAAAAGCAAUAUCGUGGUGCAUCGGCUAAUCGCGAAUGUCCCAAUCACAAUCGGAUUUCCGCUCUAUUAUGAGAUGGCACACUCCAGCACAUCUCCAAUUCCUAUCCACAAAAGAGCAUUAUCCUCAAGCUUUAACUCACUCAAGAGCAUCAACUCCAAUCCUCACGUGGCAAUCCAUUAUUCAUGUGUCUCCUAGAGACCACUCUACUUUCUCUUUAUCCGUUGACAUCCUAAGCCACGGCCAUCUCGACUUCGCUCUCACAACGAAUUAACACGAAUACCCGUUCGUGAAUCCCGGCCAAAUUCCUCGACAGAGUUAUCGGCCAAACCGACUACCGCGGGUUCCACAGGUGACCAAUGGUCUCAAAUCCUACGUAACCCUAUAACCUAAACCUAUCUCAACACACGUUUCAUCUUUCGCUCGCAAGCGCAGACCCAAUUAGCAUUAGACGAAAUCCUCAUUGGAGAAUUCGCACACACUCCAACCAGGAGCAACCACGACCCCAAACCACAUCAAGUCCCCGGGUUGGGUCAUAACCACACUCUCUGUAUCCUCGAUCACAUGAUCUAACAUGUGGCAUUCCACGUUCCCGGGUCUAAGCUCGGACUACCGCCCCGACAAAAACUCUGCCCUACCUCAGGCCGCUGUCACCCACAGCUGAUUGCACCUGUCCAUAAGGACCUAGGCUCCACAGUCCACGAGUGGUCCAGGCACGGAUCGUCCCCAAGCAAUACCCGCAAUCGUCGUCUCACACGACACGCUCACCCGAGCAACACACGCCACUACCGGCUCCUAUGCACCCAGUGUGAGCCAUCAGCCCUACGAGUGAUCCAUGGCCCGCUUCACACUUAGCAGUGCUACAGUGCUACUGCCAUCUCACUCUCCCGGCUGAGUCAUUACCACACACCACGAGUACCUAUACUCGAGCGCUCUAUACACCGUAUACUAAGUCCAACAUUAGGCAACCCUGCCUAUGCACACCAGCCAUAAGCACGACUCACCCACCUCACUUCAAGGUACUACCAGGCCCACGUGCCCGUACCCAGCAACUAAUCGGCUACUCUCUCAACAGUAACUCUACUUUCACUGUUCGAUCUACCGGAACAAUGUUCACACACUCGGACUACUCGGGUAUCCACGAGUAUCAUAGCUCAACUCUCGCAAUCUAUUAACCACAUUGCCUUGAGAGUUGCUUCACCAUUUCCUUUCCACUACGAGUCUCACUUCCCGUCUAGAACUCACUGCUAGCAAUUCGCUAGUACCGUCUAGCUCUCUACCUGCUCCAGCAGGCGCUAUACUUUCACGCGCAAGCAUGCCUUACACCUACUCGAUCACUGGUCCAUACUAUACUAACGUGUAAAUAGCAGCAAAAGACCACAAGGUAAUUGCAUGCAAUUGCUCAAACCUAUAUCAUGCUGAAGCGUAUGAUUGCUUUAAUUAAAUCAUACCUACGGUGACAUUACGAGCAGCAGCAGGUUCCUCAACCUGGGUCACGUAUCCAUGGCCGCUUGGCGCUCUCCGCGAACCCUCCAGCUGCCCAAUCAUCACCUCUCGCUCUCCAGACCGUGCCAAAGGCUGCACAUCCACCAUCUAUCCAGAAGAUGAGAAUGCCGUCGCCAUCGGCAGGGGUUGUCUAUCACCCAAGGGGCAAUCAUAUCUCACGUGGCCAGAUUGCUCGCAAGAAAUACACCUUUCCUUUCGCAGCGCACACCGCUGCGUCCUGUGGGAUCCACCACAAAUCACACAUCCCGCAGAUAUGGCAGCAGCAGACGGAACUCCACCAUACUGCCACGGAAUCACUAGGGCGGAUGCAAUAGACGGUGCAGGCGACACUCCUUCUGGGCACUGACGGACCAUAUGCCCCGCCUGACCACACCUAAAGCAUCGUCCUGCCCUAUGCUCACAAUUCCUUACGCGAUGCUCUCCACCACAAAAUACACAUUGCUUAGGUCUCUGGCUAACGGACCUCCUUUUCCGGUACUUCGGGGGCUUCUGGGAACUAAAUUGUCCCCCCGAACUACCGCCAGGCCGUUUCUUUCCUCUGCCUCUCUUGAACGCCUAACGCUCAACGUCAGCGACAUAUCGCGACACCCCGCACGCCCAUGCUCCACACAUCCGUGCUUCGCAUGUGACCCGUACGGCACACGUGUCCUCAACGCUCCUGGCAAGGAAGCCAACAAGCCCCACACCGUGCUUCUCGACCGUCCCCACGACAUCACAUUGCCAUGGCGCACCGCGCCCUCAAUUCCCAUAGGUUCGCCACAUAAGGCCCCAUACAAACGAGCCGGCCUCACUCCGCGUUGCUACCCAUCUGACCCCUCCAUGGCUCGACCACACCUGGCCAUACACACUAAUGGUCUGGUCUCUCAAGGUUCACCAUACGGAUACUGAUACCGCUUGCCUCACUGGGUUUCGCCCCUCUCGAGUCUCCAAGACCUACGCGUCCGACGCUCCCAUUUCACCUCCCCAGCCGCCGCAUUGAGUACCAUAGAACCCGAAGCCGCCAGAGGAACACUAGCCGGCAGGGGAUGCGCCGCCGCCGGAGCUACCAAAAUGCUCACACCGUCAGGCGCAUUAGGCGUGAGAGCCGAGGGCGCGGGCGGACCAUGGCCUUCAAUUGCCGUCGCGGCCGCCGCCGCCACUUGCUGCCCCAAAAGCUCCUGGAGCCGCUCGAUCUGACUCCCCUAGCGUUGAAUCACGCCAACCAGCACAGUCAUAUGCGCCCGCAGUCCUUGCACUUCGCUUGACCCAGCUCGCUCAGGCACCUCGGGAGGUGGUGCCGGAACGGAUCUACGCGUGUAGUGUCUCUUUGGUGCCAUUAGCUCCUGAAACACAACAACUCGGUUAAUUACCUUAACUCGUUAAUCUCGUCGCAAUUAUUAGACAACGCGACUCAAAUCAGGCGAAAGUCAUACAAGGGUGCCUAUUCUCAUCACUAGGUUUCAUGUUGUAUGCAUCCAACAUGAACACCCUCGGGUGAGAAUAAACAGAACCUUGAAUCCACCUCUAACAUCCGUCUUAAAGGUUUACUAACUUGACCCAAUCGAUUCAACUUCCACCACCGUAUAGGUCCACACUCCACUCACGCACCUAUAAGCUUAGGGUUUACCGUCCUAGGGUCUUCUAGGUCCAUCCUAGACUUCUCUCUUUACUUGCUCUUAACCGCUCUGAUACCAUUUCUCUAUCACGCCUCGAGCCCGUUACCUAUUUGGUCCGGUUCGGGCGCGUCGAACAGACGCCGGACGGACAGAACCACCCAUGUUCGCCCAAGGCUCAAGCGACGAGAUCCUAUACAUCAAGUCCCCAGGAAAACAACUUGAAACAUGUACAAGAUUAAACAACCAUACGAGGGUACAAUCAGUGCUAAACAACUAAGAGCAAGUAUCACGAGUAAUGUACAAGUGAAUAAAAGAGAGAUACUAAUCUAUUACUUUCAUUCAACCUUUUUAAUACAACUUGAUUACCAUUUAGCUUCCAAAACAUGAACAUAAAGCUUACAUCUUCCAAAAUAGUCUCACAACCUAUACAUCAUCUACUCUCAAAUAUACAUAUGGAAACUCUAAUGCAAAUAGGAAGCAUCUAUCAACUAGCACUAGGGCGCUAAGCCCUUACCACGAUCCUCAGCUGGCGCACUCGUACUCGGCCCUGCAACAAAGUGGGGUGAGAACUAUUGUCCAUAGUUCCCAGUGGGUUCGGCCGCUAACUCCGCCGAUCUCCCCACUAGGUCUAAGCAGCCAUAGGUAGAUAGAUAGAUAAAUAGAUAGAUAACUUGAAAUCAAUGACAAUGAUAAGGAGAAAUGCAAGUACUCUACCAUGCCUUAAUCCAAUAUAAUGAAUGCAUGCAACUCAUAGCAAAGGCUAGCUACCAUACUACUAUGUUCAACAAUAAAGCUAUUCAUUAGAUCACCCAAUCUCUCGGCUAACCCGAAAGCUCGCUCUCAAUCUCACAUUUUUAAGUCUCAUAGGGGAGGAGUCUCACUGAACUACCCCGAGACCGCCUGCGAACAGCUAGCUACUGUCCGGGCAGCUCACGACUGCCCCUCAGGUGACCAAAACUCCGGAGUGCACAGCUUGUGUGGAGCGACCACUACAAGCGUAGACAGGCUAUGUGAGUAGGAUCCAAUCCUUGUGAACCGGAGAUACCCUACCAACUAGGGAUGGCAUCAUCAUGGAAUCAACGUACUACUAUACUCAUUGGUCUAGUGUUUCAACUACGCUAAGGAACUCAUAUGCCACUCGUCAUAGGUUUGCAUUAACUAGAUGCCACUCAUCAUCAAUUAGAUGUUCUCGAUACACUACUUGCACAUACUCACUAGGUUGUCAUUUACCUAGAUUCCAAUCCACUAUGUGCUAUCACAUAUAGGGUUAAGCUAUGUCACAUUAACCUCAUGCAUACUAGGUUCAAGUGCUACAUCCACCAAACUACAUUAACACUAGCAUGCAAGUAUGGAUACAAGUAUCUAAACACCCUAUAUGUAUCAUGUUCAUAUCACUACAUUUUGAUCUCAUGCAUACUAGGUUCAGGUGUCCAAGCCAAUAACACUAUAUUACACUAGCAUGCAAGAAUAUGUAAUAACAACUAAGCACCUUAAUUGUACACAACUACUAGGUUUUCAUUCAACUAGAGUUUAAUCCACAUUAAUCAUGUUAUUAUGGGGUUUCGCAACACUAUGUCCCAAUCUCAUGCAUACUAGGUACAAGUAUUAAGCAAAUAACACUACACUACCACUAGCAUGCUAUAACAUGUAACAAUUACCAUCUAGCACCCUAUAAUGCAAUAUCACAAUAUGCAACUUGAUAAACGAUAACUUAGACAUAGGGAGCAGUCCAACUGCUUCGAGAUGGCACCACCUACCUCUCUGGUGAUGCAACAAAGUAAAGAAUCCAAAUCUUGCGACCACAAGUCGCCGCUACGACUUCUCGGGUCAACUCUGAGCCACGAACACUUGUUUCAGCCGGAACGUCGCACCUGCUCAACGAAUCGACGAACCAUCGCCUCCCACGCGUUCAAACACCUAUCAAUUAGGUUGAUAUAUGAUCAAUUUAGAUCAAAACCCUCUAUUUGUCAAAACCCCAUUUUUGAAGCCUUAGAUGCCAUUAGUGCUAAAUACCCCAAAUCAAUCCAAGAUUUAGGUAAUAGUGAUUUCAUUAGCAUCCUAGGAUUCCAAAAAUACCACUUCUAGAGAUCAAAAUCCAUGAUCUUCCAAAAACCCAUUUUAAACCCUAGGUUUACAACUAGGCAAGAAUCCACCAUUAGAGCUUCGGAUUCAAGCUCUAAUCAUCUAUCUAGCAUAUUAGAGUUCCACUAAAUCCAUUCUUAAGAGUAUAAAACCCAAACUCUAAAGAGAUGCCAUUAAAGCCUCACAAAGCUUACCUCCAAAGCUUACCCUCAUGGUGGAGAAGAUGAUGAUAAAGAUGGUGAAUCCUCUCUUGGCUUGAAUCUGCACCAAUUCCCCUUCCUUCUUCACCUCCUAGAGAGAGAAAGAGAUCUUAGAGAGAGAAAGAGAGAGCUAGGGUUAAGGGAAAGUGAGAAAGAGAGAGAGAGCCAUCCUCUCUCUUUACCUCCCACUCAUGUAACAAGUGCAAAUAACCCCCUCAACUUUUAGCUUCACCAACAGCCCAAAAUGGGCAUUUUCGGUUACGGAGAUCGGUCCUUGGAGUCAGGGACCGGACCCCCAUGGUCCAAAAAAUUGAAAUUUUCAGCUUUCGUUGAUUUUGCUCCGUUUUCGCCCGUUAGGCCUCCGAUUCGUUUCAAAUCGAACCGAGACCUUCCAAACAUGUUUUCGAGCGUAUUUAAAUCAUCUUUUCACCGACGCUAAUGCUGGAUUUAGUUCACGGCCCAAUAUAGCCUUUCGGGUCCCGUUUCUGCGCCUACGCACACCGAAACGCCCGAAUGCUUCCGGACUUCACCGGAGCUUCACCGAAACAAUUCAAAUGGCUUUCCAAACCAAUACACACCGUAACUUCAUAAUUUUAGAAGUCCAGUACCUUACAUCGGCCUUCUUGUUGCACACCACGUUAUCGACCUGCUGGGCCGAAUUUAUCACACAGCCGACCCUGUCGAUCGGCUCCUCUUGCCGAAGCUCCUCUAAAGCUUCGGUUCCUGAUUCUUCAUGCUCCAUUUUAACCAGCUUGGUGGCUCCUCGGCUGCCACCAUAGCUCCUUCAUCUCUAGAGAGAAUCAAUUGCACUCCCUCUUCAGUAACUCUCACGAAAGAGAUUUGAUCUGGGUCAGCGUCGGCCCAAUUGAUGUGGCCGAUCUCUUCUAAAUUAACGUCCACCAUUUGGGGCCGUUCUUCGGCCUGGAUUUCUUCAACUCUGUCACCUAUCCACUGGAAUAAUUUUUCGUGGAGUGUGGAUGGCACGCACUCAUUUUUGUGUAUCCAAUCGCGUCCGAAUAGUAGGUUGUAAUGGCUAUCUCAUCUAUUACAAAGAAUGCAGUUCUUAAGGUUUUAGAACCUACCGUAAUCUCGGCCGUGAGCACCCCUCGAGCUUGUUGACCGCUUUCGGUGAAAUCGGUCAUAAUUGUGUCGGUUGGCUUCAAUUCGUCCUCGCCCUUGCCUAAUUUCUUGAAAAAUGAAGUGGGCAUGACGUUGACCGUUACUCCACCAUCCACCAUAACUCGGCCUACCGGCCGACCUUCGAUCAAGGCCCGAAUGAACAAAGGCCUCACAAACCUAGUCUGAAUGGCCGAAGGUUUUUCGAAAACCACCGCAUCGGCCGGUUUAACAUCUUCUAAUUGCAAUUGGGCCACCGUAAGCCCAACUUCUUCAUCUACCAUCUCCUCAUUGUACUCAACAUACUCUGCCUUAAAAGACUGCGGCAGAGUAUACACCAUGUUGACAUCGGCUGAUCCUUCGUCAGCCGAUUUUCCUUGAAUCCUCUAUUUCUUUUCUUCGGACUCCUUGGCUGUCUCAGCUGAGGAAUCACUCUCCAUCGGUGCCUCCCUCUCUUUUUGAGGCCAUCUCGCUUUUUUGAUGAUUGUCUCGAGGGAGGCUAUUUUUUCUUCUAACUCCUUCCUAGUCAUCUUCUCCUCUGGUUCGACCGUGACCGGCCGUUCUACCUUUGACUUUAGCCAAGGAACGGGUGAUGAACCACCCGCCUCAUGAUUGUUUUUCAUUAGACGAAAAAGGUGUAGUAGCUCGUUAGGUCGUCUCCACACGUUCAGUCUUAUCCCUUUUGCCUCUUCAUAAUGUUGCCUCUCCUCGGCUUGCAUCCUCUACUGCCGACGCUUCUGUGUUUUUGUUAACAUCGGCCCUUACCAUUUGGCCGAUGAUUUGACUUCGACUUCAUGCCACUGAUCUACCGGCACAUUUGUCGAUACCUUCACAGUUCUCAAAUGAUUCUUCAAGAUCUCUCUCCUUUCCCAAGGUCUCGGCCAGGGCUGUAUGCCAAGCUCAUUUACUAAUCUCCGACCGAGGAAUUCUAUAUCUCCUUCGGUCAUUCCUUCGAAUUCUGGUUCUGGUCUCGGCCUGGCUUGAUGCUGCCAGUGCGGCCGAUACCCAGGGAAUCUUUGCUUUGAGCCGAAUGGUUUCUCUGGAUAACUCCAUCGGUUGUUGCAUUUUUCUUUUCUAUUAUAAUAAUCAAGCAGAACUUUCUGCAUUAAUAAAUCCUUCUUGCGUUGAACAGAAUCAACUUCUGGUUCCGUCUCGUUAGAGGCUUCAUCCGAGCCAUCCUCUGAAUUAUCAUCUCCAUCGGGAAUUUCAUCCUAUUCUUCGGGAAAAGCCGCCAACUCUCUCCAUUCGUUGCUUCUUUUCUUGUCGUUGACGAUAACUUCCCAAUCCUUCUUUGUUAUGCAAGAUGCAAAGCCGAAGCGUCUUCUUGACGAAAGCAAUGUUCUCAGCGGUCUUCUUGUCUGCGACCGCCUUUCCUUUGAUAUCCACCAUAUUUACCUGCGAAGGAAAUGUAUUCUUGUCAAUUUCCAUAGCUUUGUUUUCAUGAUCGGCAAAUAUGAGCCGACCUUCCUCUAUUUCUUCUCGGAUCUGUCUUUUUGCAGCCGCUUUUCCUUUUCCUACCAUAUUGACCUGUGAUGGAAAAGGAUUCUUAUCAAUCUCCAUAAUUUUAUUUUUUUGAUCGGCAAAUAUGAGCUGACCUUCAUUUAUUUCUUUUUGGAUUUGCCUCUUAAAGGCAGUACAUUCGUUUGUUUAUGACUCCAGGAAUGGUGCCAUUUACAAUAUCUUCUUUGUUUCAAUUCUUCUACUGGAGGUAUUGUUUGACCUUCCUGUAAUUGAAUCCCUCCGUCUUUUAGAAAUCGAUCAAAAAUUAGAUCGUUCUUUGAGACAUCAAACGAAUAAGUAUAUGCCAACACUCGUGCCUUCGCCUCACUUGAUUUAGCGCGCUUCAACAAAGCACAUUUAUAUGGCUGUCGGUUUUUCACCAUUUCGGCUGUAUAUAUUUCGGCUUCAUCAGCCGAAUUUUCAACCUCUUCAGAUGAAUUUGGCUCCUCAUGAGCCGAAGACUCUUCAAGGAAAGAGAUAUUUUUCUCCUUCCCUUUGUUCCAAUCUUUAUUUCGGCUCCAUCUAGGCUGAUCUUCAUUAUUUCCUUUUCGGAAUUGCUCGUAUUGAGCAACCCGAAUUCCCAAAUCGAAAAUAUUUGGAAAAUAUUUAUCUUCAAAAUGAUCUUUGAUUUUGAAGUGCAAACCAUUAAAUGCCAUUUUGGCAAAUUCCGACUCUGGCAUUCUCACAAAACAACGGCUUCUAGCCGUCUUAAACCUAUUCAAAUACUUCUCAACCGAUUCGCCUGUUCUCUGUUUGAACUGGGCUAAAUCAGCAACCGAUAAUUCCGGUUCCGUUCAAUAAAAUUGUUCAUGAAAUUUACCUUCUAAUUCGCCCCAAUGUCGGACAAAAUUAGCCGGCAAACUUGUAUAUCAAGUGAAAGCCGUUUUGGUCAACGAGGUAUUGAAUAAUCUUAAUUUUAAAUUGGAUCUGCCGCGGCUUCAUGGCACUGAGCUGUAAACCGUGCGACAUGUUCGACCGUAUUUUCGGUCUCAUCGCCGAAAAACUUAUCAAACUUCGGCAUUUUCCAAUUUGCCGAGUAUGGAUGCUCUGCGUCUAUUUUUGCAGGGUAUGGUGAUCGAAAUACGGGCCGCAUUGCCGGCCUUGCGCCUACUCUAAAAGUGUUUCGGAUAGCUUCCUCUGUAACAUACCGAAACCUCGGUAAUUAAAUUUGAACCUUGGUCAAAUUGACCAAAGUGCGAGGUUGGUACACUUCGGAGAGGCCGAAGGCGUCAAAUAAUGCAAAAAUGCAUUACUGGUGUAAGGUACCGGACUUCUAAAACUAUGAAGUUACGGUGUACAUUUAAAUGAUUCCGGUGAGGUUGCGGUGGAAUGUAACAUGCCGGAUUUUAAGUAUAAAGGUGAAAAUAAAUAAAAAUAGUAUGAGAUACUAUUUUAUUGGGUUUGGAGAAGUGAAAUAUAGAUUGGAAAUGACCUGUGCUGAAAUCGAAGCGAAAAUAGAAGAUUUAGAAUUUUCUGUCAGAAACGGGGCAGAUAAAUUAGCAGAAAAUGUACAGUGUCAGAAAAUUAUGAAAACUGGAGGAUAUGUCAGAAUAAUUUUUAUGAGGCUAGGUUUAAAGUUUCAUAACAUUCUGACACCCGUAGAGAGAGAAAUAAAAUCCGACAAUUAUCUGAUUAAGAUUACAGUUCGGCACAGUUUUCGGUGACCAAACAGGGUCGAAACUGAGAACUUAAGACAUAUUCUUACUCAGUACGUUAAACCGAGCCUGCCUGUCAAAUUUGAGUGCAAACGAACGUUCAGAAGGGCUCCAACGACUCCGAACUGCUAAACUACUGCCUGAGGUGAAUAGUGUAAAGUUAAGGGGCUGAUUUGUAAAAAGGGAUUUAAUCCCUUCUUCUCCUUCCUCCCUCAACCGUGCAGCACACACACAACCCACGCACACGUAUACAUGGAGGGAGAGAGAGAAACUUCCCUUUCUCUCUCUAAAUCUCUCCCAAAAUCAAGAAAAUUGGUGGAGAUUGGAGCUUGGAGAUGGAUCGUCUUCAUCUUCUUCAUCUUCUCCAUGGUUUUGAGCUAGUUUUGAGGUGAGCUUCUCGAGCCCUCUCAUGGUAUCUCUUUGUAGUUUGGGUUUUAAGCUUCAAGAAUAGAUUUAGAGGUAUUCUAGUAUGCUAAAUAGAUGAUUGUUGCCUAAAUCAUCGAUCAAUUUAAUGAUUUCUUGCCUAGUUGCAAACCUAGGGUUCAAAAUGCUAGUUUGGUAAAUAUGAGGGUUUGAUCUCAUUUGACCCUCCGUAAACCUAAUUGAUAGGUAAACGAACGCGCUGGGGAAGACGGUUCGGCGAUUCAUCGAGCCGGUGAGAAGUUAUUAAAGAAACGGACGUUUAGGCUUCGUUUCCGCCUGGAGGGCCGAGGCGACGUCAUAAAAUCAUGGAAUUGGAAUUGAGGCACCGUAACAACAAAACGAAGACCCUUUUUGCCCAAGGCUACGAAGCGAUGCGCGGUUGGUGCGCAAUUGCAAGUUCCGACGGAACCGAGCACCGGAUGCUGCGGGAGGCCGAUUACAAGUGUCAACAAGCAAUCGGAAUGCAAUAACAGGUGGGUUGUGCUUACCGAAGCGACUAGGUAACGCAUUGAUUUUCUAGUUGUAAACCUAGGGUUCAGAAUGCAGUAACGCGUUGUCGAAGAAAAAUAUGAUUUUCUAGUUGAUGCAUAUAAUGGGUUAAAUGCUAUAUGAUGCAUAUGAUGUGAAGAUUGGGUAAAUGCAUAUAAUGUGAUAAACGUAUAUUGCAUGAUAAUUGCAUAUGAAUAUAAUGCAUGCUAGUUGAUAAUGAUAAAGUAAUAUGUUGAAUGUUAGAUGAAUGCAUGAACUAAAAGCAAAAGGAAUGCAUGAAAAUGAUGUUGUAGGAAUGCAUGGGCUAUAUUAUACUAGAGGACAUAUUGCAUGUGAUAGAUGAAUGCAUGAUGAUAUGUAAUUGGUUGUGCUAAAUGAUCUAUGCAAGUUGGUAAAUAUGCAUGUUAAUGUGUUUGUGGAUUAUGUUAAUUAACAUAUGCAUGUUGACCUGGGUCUAAAACUCUUGGAUGAUUAGAAAACUCGACAUUGGAAAUACAAAUGUAGUAUUAAUAUCAUGAUAUGGUUUGGAUUCCUACAAUGGGAUGAUAAAUGUGGAUAAGACCUAGGUAAAUGUCAACCUAGAGAUUGUGUAUAAAUAAAGUAUUAAGAAUGCUUACAUGAUGACGAGUGGUAUGUAGUUAAUGUAAACCUAUGACGAGUGGCAUAUAUGAAUCUUAGUGUAGCUGAAACACUAGAUUGAUGAGUAUAGAAACCUAUUGGUUCUAUGUUGAUGCUAUCCUUAGUUGAUAGGGUGUUCCCAGUUUAUGUGGAUUUGGAUCGAGCUCACCUAGCCUGUCUGCGCCUCGUGUGGUCGCUCCACACAGGUAGUGCACUCCGGAGUUGUCACCCGAGGAGGGUUAACGUAUUUACCCUUGGACUAACGUAUCUGUCCGCAGGCGGUCUCAGGGGUAGUCGAGCAGUGGGACUCCUCCCCUAUGAGACUUAUACACAUGAGAUUGAGGGCGACCCCCUUCGGGUUAGCCGAGAGAUUGGGUAACAAAUUAUGAGCUAUAGUGAUUGUCCUAGUUGAGGGGAUUUAAGGCCGAGGUGCAAGUGAGACGUCCUUCGCCUCAAGCCUGACUUUGUGCGGUACUCCGUAGACGAUUGACUCAAGACCGAGUCGGGUGGUUAGCUUUGUAAAGGUAGAUGAAACUUUAUGACAAAAAUGGUAAAGGACAGAAAACCUUAAAUGUCAAUUGGAUGAAAGUAGUAAUCGAUUGAAUUACUAGUUGGUUGUAUAGUUGCAUUAUUGCAUGAUCUUCAUAUUGCAUAUCGCGAGGCAAUGCAUGGUAUUGUCAGUUGCAUAAUCUUAUUAUCAUAUCUAUCUGCUUAUUGAACUAACCUGCAGCUUGCCUCCUUCAGACCUGUCGGUCGAGCUUUUUUCUUGGGUGGCCGUACCCACUGGGAACUAUGGAGUUAGUUCUCACCCCACGUUGCUUUUGGGGUGUUACAGGUUCACACGUGAGUGGCGCGGCGGCGCGAGGAAAGGGCGUAGCUCCGUAGAUAGCGCCCUACCACAGAGACCAGAGUUAGCCGUACCCCGAGUCAACAUAUCCUAGGGAUAUAGAGAUGAAAAGAUCAAUGUAUCAAAAUUGUAAUGAAUAAUUGAUGUAACAAUUCAUAUUAAGAUGUACUAUACUUGUGAAUAAUGAUGUAGUAGCUUAGAUUGCAUUUGGUUGGAAGUAAAUUAUAAUUGAGAGGUAAAGUAUGAAUGAAUGAAUGUAAUAACUUAGGAUGUGUUUAUGUUGUUUGAUACCUUCCUUAUACAAUCGUUGUAUGUUGAAUAUUGUUCCUGUUUGGAACCUGUUAUAAUUGUAUUGAUUGCGAUGCCUUCAACGUACAGGGAAGACUCUGUACGCAGUGCAGGGGAAAUUCUGUUCGUUCGACGCUGUCGGUGCCGCGACCCCGGCCAAAUAGGCGGGUGGUCGCGGUGUAUGACAACUGGGGAUCUUCGAGAGCUUUUGGAAAUCAAAAUCUGCAAACUGCAGGUUUUGUGCUCUCGGGGACCGGUCCCUGGUGGGAGAGACCGAUCCCCGAACGCAUAGGCAGCGAGGGAGGCUGAGAAAUCGGCUAAGUCCUGGAAAACCAGCUCUCGGGAGACGGUCCCUGCGAAGAGAGACCGGUCCCCAGAGACCGGUUCCAUUGAGGGAGAUCGGUUGCAUCGCGCGCAGCCUACGCAGUCCGCGGGAGAAGCUCUCGGGGACCGGUCCCAGGUCGGGGAGACCGGUCCCUGACUGUGAAAAAUGCCCAGUCUGGGCAGUGCAUUGGAAAUAAAGUGGAGGGGCCUUGUUGUAAUUGUUACAACAUGAUAUAACCCUACCCCCUUCACUCCCACGGCCAUUUUCACCUCCCGAACUCACUCCCCUUCUUUCUCUCUCUAGAACCCAAGCUCCAAGGCAAGGAGAAGGUGGAGAAAAGCUUGGAGAAGGUGGAUUUUGGAGGUUUGGUGGUUCUAGAAACUCUCCAACAAGAAGGAGAUUGCUAAAACUUGGGCCAAAGUAAGUUUUUAGCAUGUAGAGCUCUAGGGUUUGGAUUUUAACCUUAGGUUUUGGAGUUUUGAUCUCUUUAGAAGCUUUAGAAAAGUAAUGGAGCCUUGAACACCAUGAAACCAUGGUUUUCUUGAGGUGCUCACAUGGUGAACUUCUAGGGUUCACAAUAGAUGCCCUAGAUAUGGUUCCAAUAGCUUGGAAAUGGAAUUAGAGAGCUUCCUAGGCUUAGGGAUGAGAUCAAUCUAGGAGCUAUUGCUAUAGGGCAUUGUUAGGGCUCAAAUUUGGGACUUUUGCCCUAGAAUUUUUUGAGGGCGAAUUGACCUCGUAGAAACCUAAUUAAGGGUGUUCUCGACGCGUUGGACAACUCCGUUUGACGUUACGAAAAUGUUAAGUAUGGUUCAUGUACAAAAGGCCUAAUAUGGCACUAUUUUGGUUAUAGGACGCAAAAUCGGCUUUCGUAAAGUUCGGGAGUCAUCAUAUUCUACACCUACACGACUACUCGAGGUAGGUGAUGCAUUCCAAGGACCUCGAAAAUUUCUUUAUGUCUAAAGUGUCAUAUUUGAACAUAUAUGUAUAUAUUGAGCAUGUUGCAUAGUAGGGUUGAUUGUGAGCUUUUAUGGCAUGAUUGUGAAUUUAAUUUCGUAUGAAAUACUUGUAAGAAUAUGAGAAUUAUAAAUCUUAUUUAUGCAUAACAAGUGACAAAAACCUAGAAGAGUUAGUGAACAAAAGUGACACAAGAACAUAGACCUAGUGAGUGACAUUGAGGAGUCUCGAAAACUUAGAAAACAAGUGUCACGACCCGCGACCACCUGCCUAUUUGGCCGAGGUCGCGGCGCCGCCGACAAACCGCCGAACGGACAGAGUUUCCCCUAUACGUCCUAGGUGUCGCAAUCAAAACAAAACGUCCUAGGUGUCGCAAUCAAAACAAAACAAGUGGUUCCGACCAGGAACAGUAUUCAAUCACAGAUUGCAAAUGGAAAUGUAUCAACAACAUAACACAUCCUAUGGUAUUACAAACAUUCGCCACAGUUUGCAUUUUACAUUACAUUCAACCUCCAAAUGCAAUUAAGUUAUUACAAUUAAUAUUACAAAUUUGAUACAUUGUGUUCCUUUCCCUUUCCUAUACCCCUAGGCUAUGCCGACUCGGGGUACCUCCAUCUCUAGUCCUGGGGUAGGGCGCUAUCUAUGGAGCUACGCCUUUGCUUCGCGCCGUCGCGCCACUCACGUGCGAACCUGAAACACCCCAAAACAACGUGGGGUGAGAACCAACUCCAUGGUUCCCAGUGGGUACGACCACUCAAGGGAAAAGCUCGACCGAUAGGUCCAAGGAGGCACUGCAAUCAUGUUAGUCCAAAAACAUCUACAGAUAUAUAUAUCGUAAUGUAAUUAUGCAACUAACAGAUAACAUGCCUCGGGAUAUGCAAUAUGAAUAUCAUGCAACUAUGCAACUGUAUAAACAACUAGUAGAUAUGUUGAUUCUACGUUCACUUUGCUAACUUUAGCUCAUUUCAUUCAAUUCUAAGGUUUCUAUUACCUUAGGUUCUCAACUCAAGUUCAACUUGCUUCUAAGGUCUCUAUUACCUUAGAUUCUUGCCUCGAUCACUAGCUUAUAAGGUUUCCAUUAACCUAAUCAAGCUAACCACCCGACUCGGCCUCGAGUCAAUCAUCUGCGGAUAGUCCGCGCACUAGCUGCAACUCAGCCUGGCUGCCAUCGUAGCCAACCGCAAAUCUGACUUAACCAUCUGGCGGCGAACUCAUCGCAUCGAAUCCAACAAUAACUCAAGUCAUGAUUUAGCCAUCUGGCGGCGAACUUAUCGCACCUUACCCAACAAUGGUUUCAGUCGUGACUUAGUCGUCUGGCAGCAACCACAUCGCUCUUACCCAGCAAGGUUCAAGUCAAUCUAGGCGAUAUCAUCCGAUAAGCGAAUGGGCGAGGAGAACCACACAUACCCAAUUCUCCCUUAUUCUCAUAGCAUCUCGGGCGAGGAGAACCACACAUACCCGUUGAAUCACUGCCAGGCGAGGAGAACCACACAUACCUGCAGUUAGGAUUCGCUUGCCAUCUCUUUUACCACAAUUUCCACCGCUUCUUUUGCGGACACAUCACUUGGGAUUCCGGAAUCCAUUUCACAACUCAAGGGUUGGUCUCAAACCCUAUAUUAUUGACCUAUCUAGGUCCAAUGUCCUGUUCACCCUAGGUCCAACUGACUCUAGGUUCAAUGCCUCUAUCACAUAACCUAGGUUUAUUUUAACUCUAGGUUCAAUCCAUAACCUAUGUUCACGACACUAGGUUAAUGCCACACACCUAGAUUUAGUUAACUCUAGGUUCAUUCUCAACCUAUAUUCUUUAACACUAGGUUAGAUGCCACUCGACCUAUGUUUAAAAACACUAGGUUCAUUAUCAUUCAUGUUUAACCUAUGUUUAAUACACUAGGUUAAGUGCCACUCGAUCUAUUCGACAUCCUAAUUGUCCACAUCAAGUUCAACAGAUAUCCACAUUUUAUCUAGCAUGCAUUAUAUGAUGCCAACAUGCAUAUUCCUUCUAACAUGAUCUACAACAUGUUAACAUUCAUGUUUUAGCUAGCAUAUUUGCAUUAUGUCAUUAAUAUGCAUUCUUUACAAUAUGCUCACAUGCGUUAUUUAGCAUUAUUUACAUGCAUCAUCUACAUGCAUCAUCUAGCAUUUUUAUAACAUGCUCAUCGUGCAUUUUAUGGUAGUCAUAGCAUAGCAAUUAAUAUGCAUUCACCUAGCAUUUAACCCUUGCAUUCAUCUACCAUUUAUAUGCAUCAAAAUGAAACCACGUUUCUCUUAGACAUAAGGGCGACCUAGUCGCUUCGGUAAGCACAACCCACCUUAGCUAGCUUUCCGAUUGCUCGUCGACACUUGCAAUUGGCCUCCCGCGGCACUCGGCACUCGUUUGGGCCCGAUUUCAUAGUUGCUCUCCAAGAGCGCGCCGCUUCGCCGUUUCAAGUGCUAAAGGUCUUUGCCUUAUCGUUACGGUGCUCGGGACCCGAUUUCACGAUUUAUGGACGUCGCCUCGGCCUUCCAGGCGAAAACGAAGCUCCAAGCUUUCGUUUCUUCAAUAUCUUUACAACGGCUUGUCGGAUUGCCGAACCGACUUCGCCAACGUGUUUCGUUACCUAUCAAUUAGGUUUACAGAGGGUCAAAUGAGAUCAAACCCUCCCAAAUCACAAAAUCCUAUUUUGGAUGCCCUAGAUGUUAUUACUACCAAAUCCACCAAAUCGAUCCAUGAAAUGGGAAAAAAUCAUCUAAAUAGCAUGCUAGGGUUCCGUUCAAACCAACCUUAGAGAUCAAAAACCUAUCUCUAAGGAUCUACCAUGAGAGAGCACCAAGCUUACCUCUCUAGGCUUGCUCCAAUGGAGAGAAGAAGAUGAUGAGGAUGAUGAUGAUGAUGAUGAUCCUCUUCUUCUCCUCUAUCUUCUCCUUCUUUUCUUCUCUUUUCCUUUCUUUCUUUUCUUUCCUCUCUUCUUCCCCUUUGUUCCUCUUCCACGAUCGGAGAGAGAGAGAGCGACAGUGAGGGAGAGUGAGGGAGUGAGAGAGAGAGAGAGAGAGAACACCUCUCUAAUAAUCCCCUCUCAUUUGUAACAAAAUGCCAUUAAGUCCCUCAAUUUUUCAUCUCUUAACUAGCCCUCACUAGGCAUUCUGCGCGCGGAGGGACCGGUCUCCCCAACAUGGGACCGGUCCCAGAGGACCUUCCCCGAUUCCUCGCGUUCGGGAACCGGUCUCUCCUUGAGAGACCGGUCCGCCGGAGACCGGUCCGCCCACCAGAGACCGGUCCCCGAGAGCUCAUCUCGCGGGACUUAGCCAAUUUUUAGCUCUUCUCACUAGUGUCACCUGCGAGGACCGGUCCCCCUGCUGCCAAGGACCAGUUGCCUCAGCAACCCCGCAACCCUCAGCUAAUGGGACCGGUCUCUCCCUGCCAGAGACCGGUCCCCGAGAGCAAAACAAGACAAAAUGCAGAUUUGGCAUCUUUGCUCUCGCGGACUCCAUUCCAAUGCACUUUUUGGUUUUCGUGCAUCCAUAACUUUUCCAAAAUUUACCCACUCGACAAUUAGUCGAUUCUGGUCGAAGUGCAACUCUCGAAUUUCGAGAAUUCACAUUGUUACAUUCUCUCCUCCUUAAAAAGAGUUUCGUCCUCGAAACUCACUCAUUCAUAACUCCAAUUCACCCCUCAUUUCAACUCAUUAAUUAAUCGAGGGUUCCAAUGCACUUUCGCACUCCGGAGUGGCCUCUUCCUUAUCGGAAUCAUCCAAAGGCCCACUACGGGAGAUGUGAGACCAAAUUCACUCACAUUUGUCACAUGUAAGUCCAAAAGUGCAUUACCACCAUGCAAGGAACUGCUCUUGCAUUAUACACCCAAUCGAAAAAUUUUACUCCGAUUCGAUCACCAACAUUGCUUAAAACAAUGUCGUUGGUGCAUCGACCAAUCGCGAGUGCUCCAAUCCCAACCGGAUCCUUGCUCUAUCUCAAGAUGGCACACUCUGGCACAUCUCCAAUCUUAAUCCAUAAAAGAGCAUUAUCCAUGUGUCUCCUAGAGACCACUCUGUCACAACCGAUACUAAUCUGCUCAUCUCGGUUCACCACAAGGGGUCCAUAGACCACCAAUCUCACAAAGGCCCAUCGCCUAACCUGUCUCAAUACACGUAACAUCUCUCGCUCGCAAGCGCAGACCCAAUUAUCAUCAGGCGACAUUCUCAUUGGAGAAUUCGCACACACUCCAACCAGGAGCAACCAAGACCCCAAACCACAUCGAAUCCUCGGGUUGGGUCACCACACACACUGUGUGUCGUCAAUCUCAUGAUCCAACACGUGGCAUUCCACGCACUCGGGUCUAAACUCGGACUGCCGUCCUAACCAAAACUCUCCGCCCUACCUAUAGGUAUCGGGCUGCUGUCUUUCACAGCUGACUGCGCCUGCCCAAUGGGCCCAGGCUCCACAGUACACAACUGGUCCAGGCACGAGUUGUCCCCAAGCACUACUCGCCAACAUUGUCCUACACGACGUACUCUACAGAGCUGCACACUCUAUCAGCUCCUAGGCACCUAGUGCGAGCCGCCAGCCCUCACGAGUGAUCUAUGGCCCGCUUCACACUUAGCCUUGCUAAAGUGCUACUGCCAAUUCACUCGACCGGCUGAAUCGAAACCGCACUCUACGAGUAUCUAUACUCGAGCGCUCUACACCUCUACAGCGUCUCACACGAAGUCUAGCAUCAGGCAACUUAGUCUAUGCACACCGACCACACGAGCACAACUCGCCUACCUCAACUCGAGGUACUACUAGGCCCACAGGCCAAACUCGGCUCUAAUCGACCAAUUUCGCAACAGUGGUUCAUCUUCACUUUCGAUCUACCGAAUUCGCAUCCGAAAUACCCUUGGAAUAUUCGGGUGUCCCCAAACAUCAAGGCUCAACUCUCGCGAUCCACUAUCCAUUGCCUUGAGUGUCACUUCACUAUUUCGUGCUCGCCAUGAGUCCUUCCCUUGUUCAAGGAUCAUUACUAGCAUUUUGCUAGGGCCAUCGAGCUCUCAACCUGCUCCAGCAGAUGCCACAAUCUCACAAUGCAAACAUGCUUGGGUAUUUACACUUGCCCUUUAUUGGUCCUACUAUACUAAUGUAUAAAUAGUAGCAACUGACCACUCGUUAAUAUGCAUGCUAUGCAACAACUUGAUAUCAGGAAGCAGCACACGCUUGCUUAAUUAACUCAUACCUGCCAUGGCAUUAUUAGUAGUCGCAGGCUCCUCCACCUGGGUCGCGUAUCCACGGUCACUUGCUGCCCGCUGCGAACCCCUCGGUGGCAUCAUCUUCAACGUCCGCUCUUCCGACCAUGCCGCGGGUGGCACACCCGCAGGCUGUCCCGGAGAAGAAAAGGCCGUUGCCAGUGUCAAGGUCUGGUCAUACCCUUGCGGACACUCGUCCCGUACAUGGCCCGGCUGCCCACAACGAAGGCACCUGCCAUCGCGCAGCACACACCGCCGAGCCCAGUGGGAACCUCCACAAAUCACGCAUCCUGGGGAGGAUCGGUUAGAGGACGACUUCGAGUGACGCCUCGAACUUGAUUGUCCACCCGAAUCGCUCGACCGUGGCUUCAUCCCUCCCCGCUGACGCUCAGAAGACUCGUGCUUCUCACGCACGAAAGCAUCACCGUGCUCUGCCAACAACGCUCGGUCCACUACCUCCGCGAAGGUUGUGAGCCUAAGGAUUUGCACCCUCUCAUAAAUCUCCGGUCGAAGUCCACGUAGGAACCAAUCGGCCAUAUCCUCGUCAUCCCGUACCACAUCCGGGACACAGUUCACGAUACGAGAGAAUUCCUGUUCUUAUUCUCUCACUGAGCGGUCUCCUUGCCGCAGCUUCCUGAACCUGUCCUGAAGCUUUCUCUUUUCAGUAUCGGGGAAGUAAGUCGAAAACACCAAUCCCCGAAACUCCUCCCAAAUCAUAGGAGGGAGACUAGGCGAUCGAUUCCGUCGAAUGCCUUUCCACCACACUUUUGCCGAUAACUUCAAACAGUGCACGGCUAGGGGCACCUUGUCUCGCUCCAAGGUGUACAGUUCCUCGAAGAGCGUUUCCAUUGAGUCAAUCCACAUCUCCAUGAUCCAUGGAUCAACAUUCUCUCCGUCAAAGGUAGGCGGGUCAAACCUCUUGAAGGUCAUAAGGGCCGCCAAAGCUCGCUCUUUCUCCGCCUCUAAUUCCAUAGGACCAGGGGCCACCGCCCCCGAAUCCAUCGUGAUUCCUGUCGGCACAACGUGCGCUGCUACCGGUGCAGCCGCCGCAGCCUGUAGUGCCAACAACUCGUGGAGCUCCUUGAUCUGCUCCUCCUGCCGCAGUACUACGCCCAUGAGCGUACUCAUUUGCUCGCGGAGCACCAGGUCUCCGCUUGCCUCGGACUGCUCAGGGACAUCACCUAUCCCACCCCGCGUCGAUCUAGACGGACGUCGCCUACGCGGUGCCAUCUUUUCCUGAAACAGGGCAACUCGAUUAAUUCUCAACCCUCUAGGUCGAGAACGAAACGACUUAACAUUGACAUAAAUCGGGCGAAAGUCACACAAAGGCGUCUAUUCUCAUCACUCGGUUUCAUAUUGUCGCGCGCCAAACAUGAACACCCUCGGUUGAGAAUAACCACACCUCAAGUCUACCUCCAAUAUCCGUCAUAGAAGUUUCAACACAACCCAAUCAAUGAACCUUUCGCCAUAAGUCACAAGUCCUCGUCUCUCACGAGUCUUAUUCUCCUAUGGUUUGCUAUCCUAGGGUCUCCUAGGUCUGCCUAAACCAUUCCCAUUCUCUGCUUUAUGCUCUGAUACCACCUCUAUCUGUCACGACCCGCGACCACCCGCCUAUUUGGCCGAGGUCGCGACACCGCCAACAGACCGCCGAACGGACAGAGUUUUUCCUGUACGUCCUAGGCGUCGCAAUCAAAACAAUACAAGUGGUUCCGACCAGGAAUAGUAUUCAAUCACAGAUUGCAAAUGGAAAGGUAUCAACAACAUAACACAUCCUAUGGUAUUACAAACAUUCGCCAUAGUUUGCAUUUUACAUUACAUUCAACCUCCAAAUGCAAUUAAGUUAUUACAAUUAAUAUUACAAAUUUAAUACAUUGUGUUCCUUUUCCUUUCUUAUACCCCUAGGCUAUACCGACUCAGGGUACCGCUAUCUCUAGUCUCUGGGGUAGGGCGCUAUCUAUGGAGCUACGCCCUUGCCUCGCGCCGUCGCGCCGCUCACGUGCGAACCUGAAACACCCCAAAACAACGUGGGGUAAGAACCAACUCCAUGGUUCCCAGUGGGUACGGCCACCCAAGGGAAAAGCUCGACCGAUAAGUCCAAGGAGGCACUGCAAUCAUGUUAGUCCAAAAACAUCUACAGAUAUAUAUAUCGUAAUGUAAUUAUGCAACUAACAGAUAACAUGCCUCGGGAUAUGCAAUAUGAAUAUCAUGCAACUAUGCAACUGUAUAAACAACUAGUAGAUAUGUUGAUUCUACGUUCACUUUGCUAACUUUAGCUCAUUUCAUUCAAUUCUAAGGUUUCUAUUACCUUAGGUUCGCAACUCAAGUUCAACUUGCUUCUAAGGUCUCUAUUACCUUAGAUUCUUGCCUCGAUCACUAUCUUAUAAGGUUUACAUUAACCUAAUCAAGCUAACCACCCGACUCGGCCUCGAGUCAAUCAUCUGUGGAUAGUCCGCGCACUAGCUGCAACUCAGCCUGGCUGCCGUCGCAGCCUACCGAAAAUCUGACUUAACCAUCUGGCGGCGAACUCAUCGCAUAGAAUCCAACAACAACUCAAGUCAUGAUUUAGCCAUCUGGCGGCGAACUUAUCGCACCUCACCCAACAAUGGUUCCAGUAAUGACUUAGUCGUCUGGCUGUGACCACAUCGCUCUUACCCAACAAGGUUCAAGUCAAUCUAGGCGGUAUCAUCCGAUAAGCGAAUGGGCGAGGAGAACCACACAUACCCAAUUCCAGCUUCUUCUAAUGGCAUCUCGGGCGAGGAGAACCACACAUACCUGUUGAAUCAAUGCCAGGCGAGGAGAACCACACAUACCUGCAGUUAGGAUUCACUUGCCAUCUCUUUCACCACAAUUUCCACCGCUUUUUUUGCGGCUACAUCACUUGGGAUUCCGGAAUCCAUUUCACAACUCAAGGGUUGGUCUCAAACCCUAUAUUAUUGACCUAUCUAGGUCCAAUGUCCUGUUCACCCUAGGUCCAACUGACUCUAGGUUCAAUGCCUCUAUCACAUAACCUAGGUUUCUUUUAACUCUAGGUUCAAUCCAUAACCUAUGUUCACGACACUAGGUUAAUGCCACACACCUAGAUUUAGUUAACUCUAGGUUCAUUCUCAACCUAUAUUCUUUAACACUAGGUUAGAUGCCACUCGACCUAUGUUUAAAAACACUAGGUUCAUUAUCAUUCAUGUUUAACCUAUGUUUAAUACACUAGGUUAAGUGCCACUCGAUCUAUUCGACAUCCUAAUUGUCCACAUCAAGUUCAACAGAUAUCCACAUUUUAUCUAGCAUGCAUUAUAUGAUGCCAACAUGCAUAUUCCUUCUAACAUGAUCUACAACAUGUUAACAUUCAUGUUUUAGCUAGCAUAUUUGCAUUAUGUCAUUAACAUGCAUUCUUUACAAUAUGCUCACAUGCGUUAUUUAGCAUUAUUUACAUGCAUCAUCUACAUGCAUCAUCUAGCAUUUUUAUAACAUGCUCAUCGUGCAUUUUAUGGUAGUCAUAGCAUAGCAAUUAACAUGCAUUCACCUAGUAUUUAACCCUUGCAUUCAUCUACCAUUUAUAUGCAUCAAUAUGAAACUACGUUUCUCUUAGAUAUAAGGGCGACCUAGUCGCUUCGGUAAGCACAACCCACCUUAGCUAGCUUUCUGAUUGCUCGUCGACACUUGCAAUCGGCCUCCCGCGGCACUCGGCAACCGUUUGGGCCCAAUCUCACAGUCGCUCUCCAAGAGCGCGCCGCUUCGCCGUUUCAAGUGUUAAAGGUCUUCGCCUCGCCGUUACGGUGCUCGGGACCCGAUUUCAUGAUUUAUGGACGUCGCCUCGGCCUUCCAGGCGGAAACGAAGCUCCAAGCGUCCGUUUCUUUAAUAUCUUUACAACGGCUUGUCGGAUUGCCGAACCGACUUCGCCAACGUGUUUCGUUACCUAUCAAUUAGGUUUACAGAGGGUCAAAUGAGAUCAAACCCUCCCAAAUCACGAAAUUCCAUUUUGGAUGCCCUAGAUGCUAUUACUACCAAAUCCACCAAAUCGAUCCAUGAAAUGGGGAAAAACCAUCUAAAUAGCAUGCUAGGAUUCCCUUCAAACCAACCUUAGAGAUCAAAAACCUAUCUCUAAGGAUCUACCAUGAGAGAGCACCAAACUUACCUCUCUAGGCUUGCUCCAAUGGAGAGAAGAAGAUGAUGAGGAUGAUGAUGAUGAUGAUGAUCCUCUUCUUCUCCUCUAUCUUCUCCUUCUUUUCUUCUCUUUUCCUUUUUUUCUUUUCCUUCCUCUCUUCUUCCCCUUUUUUCCUCUUCCACGAUCGAAGAGAGAGAGAGCGACAGUGAGGGAGAGUGAGGGAGUGAGAGAGAGAGAGAGAGAGAGAGAGAACACCUCUCUAAUAAUCCCCUCUCAUUUGUAACAAAAUGCCAUUAAGUCCCUCAACUUUUCAUCUCUUAACUAGCCCUCACUGGGCAUUCUGCGCGCGGAGGGACUGGUCUCCCCGACAUGGGACCGGUCCCAGAGGACCUUCCCUGAUUCCUCGCGUUCGGAAACCAAUCUCUCCCUGAGAGACCGGUUCGCCCACCAGAGACCGGUCCUCGAGAGCUUAUCUCGCGGGACUUAGCCAAUUUUUAGCUCUUCCCACUGGUGUCACCUGCGGGGACCGGUCCCCCUGCUGGCAUGGACCGGUUGCCUCAGCAACCCCGCAACCCUCAGCUGAUGGGACCGGUCUCUCCCUGCCAGAGACCGGUCCCUUAGAGCAAAACCAGACAAAAUGCAGAUUUGGCAUCUUUGCUCUCGCGGACUCCAUUCCAAUGCACUUUUUGGUUUUUGUGCAUCCAUAACUUUUCCAAAACUCACCCACUCGACAAUUAGUCGAUUCUGGUCGAAGUGCACUCGGAUUUCGAGAAUUCACAUUGUUACAACAAGUGUAGCAUGAGUCAAGAAUAUAAUACUUAGAAAACAAGUGUGGCAUGAGUCCAAAAAUAUAGUAAUGUAUAUAACACGAGUGAUGAUAAAGAAUGCAAAGAAAAGAAUGAUUGAGAUAUUAUGACGUUUCAACCUUAGAGUUAAGGGUCAUUUGAGCACGGUCUUCCUUAAAGUUAAGAAAUUGAUUGAACUUGGAAUCCUCAAUGUAGGAUUGAUCGUACUCACCUUUAGUCCUUACUCGAGGGUGGUAGCUCUCCCUCGGGCAAUGUGCUCCGGAGUUGACAUCACUGGGUUGUAGCGGGUAUCUCCCCAGAGGACGGUCCUAUCCGGUUGUAGCGGAUAUCUCCCCGGUUAUUAGGAUUUUGGGUUUGUGAGUUUGUUAAGGGGGAAACCUACGGGUUAGCCAAGAGAUUGGGUAAAGAAAUUGUGAUCCUGCAUUCAUCAUGAGCAUUAUAUCGAGCAUCGCAUUUUUUAUUGUUUAGGCAUAUUAGUUGCAUUUGUUAGUUGGUUAAUUUCUUUCCUCUAUUCUAUUAUGCCUGAUUAGACCUAAUGGGAUAGUCGGCGUGGUUGGUUGCCGAACCCACUAGGAACUUUGUUGUAGUUCUCACACCCCUAUUUCCACAAAGCCGGGACCGAGCGAGCCGGCAGACGACCGCGGUAUGGGCAUCGCGCCCUAGGUAGAGACCGCCCGAGAUGUUUUAUUUCAUAGUCGCAUACCCUUUUGAUAUAUCAUCUUUUGUAUUUCGAUGAUUAUAGUUGUUAAAUGAAAGGACAUGAAUGAUGUAAAAGAAUUUAUUUAAUAUCAAUGUUAUAUUUUGGAGAAAUGAGAUGUAAAAGGAAAUGAUGCAAAAUUGUAAUUGAUUUCCUAAAUGUAGUUUAUUAUUUUCACUAUUGACUAUUGCUUGCCAUCGUGCAAGCCAUUGUGUAUGCUUCCGCUUAUGCAAACUUUAUACUCUAUUAGUACCUGUUGUUGAGCCUUGGGCGGACAGGGGAGGCUCUGUCCGUUCGGCGUCUGUUUGAUGCUCUCGAACCGGCCAAAAGGAUCGGGCUCGGGGCAUGACAUCCUCGAUCUAUGCAUAUAUUUCAUUAUUAAUCCCCUGUAAGGGGACUUGCGCUUGUGCUGGAUUCGGCCCUUGUGGUGGUCCGAAAUUGUGUAUCAAAGGGUUCACUCCUUGUGCAUUUGGGGCCUGCGCCCCAGCCCUAGCCCCUACAUUUUGGGGUUGAUAUGCUGCUACUGGUGGAGGAGGUGGUAACCCCCAUGUUAUCUCUGGCUGUUGACCGGCAUUAACAAUAGCCGAUUUAUAAGCUGCUUGAUAUGGUGCCCCCUGGUAUUGGGGCUGACCAUUCACCGGUGUUACAGGAUUUUGUAACAUUGGUGUCAUUACAGGCACUUGCAAGCCUGCUAUCGAUUGCUCAUUCCGAGUUAAUAAUUGCCCUAUUCAGGCAAUAUUCUUAUUAGAUGCCGUGAUUGCAGCCAAUACUACAUCUAAUCGUGCAGUGCUAGCAUGACUAUUUUGGUCUAAAACUUGUAAGACCCUAGUCAUUUGCCCAAGCGCUUGAGCCAAACUAGGCUCUUGUUGGCCAGAUUGACCACUAGUCUCACCCCUCAGCAGGUAAGACUGCUUGGCGUUUUGAAAUAUUUUUUGAAUUACUAGGUUGUUCGCUCCUAGAACUUCUAGGAACGGCCCUAUUACGUAGAUUUAUGGCAUUGUCAUCAGCCAUUAUCUUAAAACAAAAACAAAUUUACCUCAAAAUGUCCCACCGGACGUGCCAAAAAACUGUUCGCUGCCGAUUUUCCGGACCCUCAUCGUUGUCGACGAUCCUCCUCGGGGAGCGUGUUGGGAUGGAAACGACUUAUGGUACUGACCCUCGAAGUUCACGCCCUUCGAUUGAUCAAACAAUUCAGCUGAUGAGGGAUCGGAUCAGCCGGGUUCGAAUCCUCUACAGUAAAUUCAGUUUGGCUGGAAGAAUCGAAUGUACGAACCAAGCAAAAACUGAAGUCGGCCGAUGAGCCGAAUAGGUAAAGAACACAGGAAUUGAUCAGCUUGAAGAGCCGAAUGCCUUUAUAUUCACUGAUAAGAAGUACAAGGGUCGAGUGUGCCAGAUGGCAUGCAGACUCGGUUGAUCUACUUAAAACUACUCCUAGGAAGAACAGUAAAUGCGGGAAAGAGAAAAUUACAAGUAGACUACUCCUAAAAAAUGCAGAAAAUUGCGAGAAAAAUAAGGGCGAUCUUUUGUUCACAGGAAAAAAUACCCCUUUUUAGGGCAUUAUUGACCGAUUUAUAGAUCACCCCUUGUGAUCAGUUAUUAUCUGUGCAUGAUCGGCCACUACUCCUGAUUCUCCGGACCACUUUCAGCCCACUUUCAGCCGAUCGAAACCACUUGCAACUGCUUGCGGUUACUGUAACCUCCCUUAAUUGGCGCGACGGUUUCUCUUCCGGUGCUCUUGGUGUACGGCAAGAUUGAUGCUUUUGAAGGGAAUACCGGCGUACCAUCUGUCCACGCCUAAUUGGCCCAACACAAUUAUUAUUCUUUUCCUAUCCGAUGUGGGAUUAUUAUAGCGUUAUGAGCCCAACAAGUUAUUAUUGGUAGUGGGUCAGAUCAAUAUAUUUAGUAUCAGAGCCGAAUGCCGAUUUCAGUCGAGUCAUUACAACUUUAUGUAUCAAGUCUUCUCAUCAGUGAUUUCGGUCCAAAUGCAGUACCAUUGGUCCCACAUAUAGUUUGCCCUUAUCCCAAAGAGAACGGAAUAGACUAUUCAGCAAUGAGGCACUAAUUUUGCCGAGACCCAGUCAGAUCCGACGACCCGCAAAGGCUUUGCACCAAUCAACAUCCAAUCCAACACAUCAUAGGUACAAUUAAUUAACCGAAAUUUUCUCAAGAAAAUUAAAGAAAGUGAAAAUGUCAUCUACUUUGAAAAUUAGUCGGUCUACUUUUAAUAUCAGUGGCUCCACACGGGUUUGUUUUAAAGACCAAGACCUCCAAGAAGCGUGAGGAAAAGACCUGCUCAAAGGUUGGAAAAACCAUAGAAAUCAAUACUUUAAAAUAAAAAAAAAAUACAAAAAAAAAAAAGAAAAGGAAAAGUUCCAUAGAAGAUCUCUCACUCUCCGUCAAUAUAUACUUGAAGCUGGCAAUGAAAACGGUAUUCUACUUAAAAGGUGCCAAGCACAAAAUAAUUAAUGAUACUCGUGGUAACUUUAAUAUUUGCUUAUUAUUAUGUAGUUAUACAUCAAUAUGGAAUGACGAAAACAAAAGAAAAGAAAAGGCAUCAGCAUAUCAUAAGAAUGCGAAAAGAGCCAAACCCUGCAAAAAUUAAAAAGAACUAUUUUGGAAUAGAUAAAAAACCCCACAGUUGUUGAAUCAUGGAUAAAAAGAAAAUAUUGAUGCACAUGGUGACGUCAAUAUCUGCUUAUUAUAUAUGGUUAUGCAUAUAUGAAUUGUUCAUAGAGUUAAGGGUGCGUUUAGUUCGCGCUAUCUUUUUAAGAUUCCUAGUAAUCCAAUAGGAAUAAAAAAAUAUGACGGUGUUUGGCUAAACACACUAAGUAAUCUAGUUGGUAAUAUUAGAUUUACUUGGGAAUGAGAUUCAUCCCAAAGUACUAAUCUCAUUCUCUUGAGAGAGGGUGGGUACGUAUCCUCAUAUUAAUGGAUCGGGAUAAUCAUAAUAUGUCUAAUUUUUUUAUUUUUUCCUACNACCCGCCGGCUAGUUGAUAUUAUUUAUUUUUUUACACUCUAACCUCAUAUUUCUCUCUAAACUUAUCUUUUUCUCUCUAAACUUAAUUUAUUUUUCUCUCUCUAAACUAAGCUCUCUCUCUCUCCCUCUUUUUCUAAAAUCUCAACUUUCUCAUUCUCUCUAAUAACCUCGAUUCUAUUUCUCAUUCUAUCUUUAAUUAUGCUCUCUCUCUCUCUCUAAUAUAUGUUCUCUCUCCUUCUUUUCUAAAAAGAUGUUGAAAUUUUUUGUAGCAUUAUCUAAAAUUAAUUAAAUAAAUUAAUUAAUUAAUUGUAUUUUUUUUUGUAAUCUUAAAUAACAUGACUAAAUAAUAUGACCAUACGAACCAAACACAGAAAUGCCAUAUUCUUAGUAAUAGGAUGAAUAGAAAUAAGAUUCUCGGAUAUCUUUUUAUUCCUAGUAAUCUUUCAUAGUGCGAACCAAACGCGCCCUAAUAGUGAAAGAAUUGUAUUCUUAAAAUAUUAGAAAUUUAAGACAUGUUCUUCUGUAAUUAAUUCUUAAAUACUACUGAUUAUGAGAUUGUCAUGGGAAUGGCUACUUAAAAAGUGUCAAGCACAAUUAAUGAUGCUUAUGAUAACUUUAAUAUCUGCUUAUUAUGUAGUUAUGCAUCAAUAUGGAAAAAAAGAGAAAAAAAAAAAAGCACCAGCAUAUUGUAAUAAGGUGAAAAGAGCCAAUCCCUGCAAAAGUUAAAAAGAACUUUUUUGGAUUAGAUAACAAAACCACAGCUAUUGAAUCAUGGAUAAAAAGAUAAAAGGAGAAAUUAAGAUGUAACCUAUCAUCAGUAUUGGUUCCACUUACCAUAUCUAAUAGAAUUGUGAGGACUAAGAUUUUUCGUAUAUAAAUUUAAUAUCUUUUUAAAUAUUAUUGUGUGUAUUUUAAUUUUAAAACCGUCCGUCAAAUUUUAGUAAAAAAUGAUUUACAAUGAAAAUUUUACGCGAUUAUUAUUUUUCACUUAAAGUGAAUAGCAAUCCUCGUUUCCGGUUGUGACCGAGAAGAGAGGUGGGCUUCGCACACGAAUUGAACUCCGUAUCGAACGAUCCAAUAGUUCAUUCUCAAUGGUCGGACUGUGCCAAAGCUAAUGUCGUUGACAAAUUUCAUGUUCGACGCAUGGUUUUUGAGAAAAAUAGCUUUUAUCGCUGGGAGGGCUUUUAUUUCACGUUGUUCUUGCUUUUUUGAAGCGAUUAGUGCUUCGUUUUGCGUGAAAACUCGCAGGCAGGGACCUUUCCACGAGAGGAACGUAAUAAAGAGGGAUUAGAAUGUGAAUUUUGAGAGUUUGGGGACUUUGGAGCGAUUAUUCUCCAAGAUUAAUGGGUUUUAGGUUUAUAAAGUUUGAUUUGGGGAUUUUGGAACCCAAACCCUAGAUCAACCCUCAUCCUCCACCUUUGCCACCUGAGGAAGAACCCUGCCGCCGCCAUCGUUCCCGCCGGCUACCGGAGAAGGAGAGGAAGCCAAUCUCCUUCUUUCUCUCUCCAUUGAUGUGUGGUGUGAAGGGGGGACCUCGAGCCCUCUUGUAUUCGGCUGCCGCCAACCUAGGCUACCGCUAUCGUCACCACCGAACCCCGGGCAGCCAUCCCUGAUGCUUCUCUCGCUGCCGUGCCCUGAGGAGCUGCCACGGUUGAGGAGGAGCUCUACAGAGCUUGUACAACUGUGGGGAGACACCCAGCUGCCACCGUCGCACCACGCCACUACAGGGCGACGCCGGAGGUCCCAAGGAGUCCACCGGCGCUACCCCUCGCUGUCUCGACCCGCCGCUGUAGGGAUUUAUGAUGCCUUAGCCACCGGUCCACUUUGGGGUGCUGCCGCUGCUGCCGGCCAGGGGUCCCGGCCGACUCCCCUGAGUGCGGUGAUCUUCCCCUGGCUGGAGUUCCCCCUGCCGUGCUGUCGGCCGCCGGAUCUGUGAUGCCCUACCCUGGCCGACUCCCCUAAGUGCGGUGAUCUUCCCCUGGCUGGAGCUCCCCCUGCCGUGCUGUCGGCCGCCGGAUCUGUGAUGCCCUAGCCCCUGCAUGGUUUCUGCCAAGUGGAGCUUCUUUUUAUGGCCACCAAAGACUUCGGUGAGCACUUGAAGCAUGAGCACCACUCUUCAGGUCUUGUGGAGACCCGCGCUCACCUUCGCUGUAAUCAACGAAGCUCCGAUGUGCACGUAGGACUUGGCUGCUUCCGGGAGCAAAUAAUUGGAGGGGUUUCUCCACUAUUUCAAAGCCUUUUGGCCGUUGAUUGUGCUCCGAACAGUGAACACGAGCAUCAUAGUGUCGAGACGAAAUCAAAUCGACUGGUUGGUUGGAUCCGUUACGACGCGAAUCUAAUGAGCUCGAAACUCGUGUUUAUGUAUUAUUUGAAUAGUAUCUAGUACAUUAGCGAGUUGUUUGCAAGUUGUAAGCAAUGAGGACUCUAUGCAUAGCCUCAGAGAGUGUGUAAUCAUUGUUAGCAACCUCUUCACUGAUUGUCAAAGGCUUGGGAUCCGUUUCAGAGCGAAAAUAUGGUCCCACAGCAUCGUUUGGCAGAAAUUCGCCGAUCGGAUGCGGUUUAAGUUGCUGUUUUUGCACGUUAGCCAUCCGAAUGCCCUAGAGACCCCGCCAAGACUUGUUGGCUAGUUUCUACCGCCACCUUCAAAGUCCGAACGCGGUGGAUGAGCGGCGGAAGGGUUUCAGCACGUUUUUCGACGAAAUCGUCGGUAGAACGUAGUUUUGCGUCGCGAUGAGUUUCCGGCUGCAUGGUCACCCUGGAAAUCAUCGCCUAGCCCCAUAGGCUCCAGGGUCGCCUCGUGUGUUCAGAGGCGAUAGGUGAGCGGUGGAGGCUUCCAGUGCCAAAGUGGACACUUUUGGAAACCCGCAAUGAAACGGUCGAUUGACGACAACCGAGUUGACCUUGAUGUUUGUGUUUGCUGCCCGGACACUCAAAUGGAUGUGUUAUAGGGUAGAGGGUGACUCACGGCAUCAGUCGGUGUGUUUCGAGACGUUUCAUGGGUCCCUCGAGCAUCCCGAUGCGUUUUCGGGAUUCCUAACGAGUUUGGGAAUCGGUUUUGGAAAACCGAUCCCACAGGUGGUCUUGGGUUUGUAAGCGAUGUCUUUGAGUCAGUUGGUUCGGUUUCUGACUCGGUGGACCUACCGUAGGUCUGGUCGAGGGUUCUGUGCACCGCGGAAGCUAGGUACAACUGCGACACAUGGGGGUACUUAGAUUCGAAGUCGGUUCAGUGGUACACGCUCGGUGAUAUUCCCUUCAUCCCUACUUUUUACUGCAUGCAUAUAUACAUAUUCAAUACUUGAGCUCUUCACUACAUGACUUCAACCCUUGCUCUACUUAGUAUACUCUCUUGUUUGCCAUGAUAUAGAAGUAGAGCGGUAGUGACACUUGUAUUUAUAUUCUAGUUCACCUGAGUGGUCGGUGCCCAUGUACUUAUAGUAUCAUUGAUCUCACACUUUUCAAUUCACCUGAGUAGUCGGUACUUGCAAACUUGAGAGGAUAUUAAGCUUGUCUAUCCUAAUUGACCUCAGUGGUUGGUACUUGUGUUCCCAUACAGCUUCGGUGACCUGUUGGUCGGUGUGCCCCGAUGGGAGGUGUUUGUUGGCUAUUCGCUGACAGUUGACUAUUGAUCAUAUUCGCAUUGAUCGCCACAGCUCGGGAGCAUUUUAUUAACACCAACAGUCAGAUCCCCUGUAGGAGUGUUUUUUUUCGGAAAAGUGGUUGGUUGCCAACCCAUGAGCCCAGCGGGUAUUUGCUAUGGUUAUAUGCCAGGUGGGCGAGCAGGAAGUGGCUUUUGCUUGAGAUCCUUAGACCAACACGGUGGUGUAGAUUGGAUACAUUUGGACUAUUCAUUCGGUUGACGCAUAUAGCUACAGUAGAGGUUGUUGCAUACUUACUUUCAGUUCAUUUCUUACACUUAUUGCUACUAUGGACCUUUCUUUACCUAUACCUAGUUACUAGUGAGAACGCUUGCCUUCGUCGGCUCACAGUACCCAUUAGGAGACCCUUUGUUGGUUUCUCACCCCCAAUUUUCCAUAGAUGACCCAGGUGGGAUUGAUCGGAAUGGUGCAUGAGGCUGUAGUUAGAAGGCCGAGAUAGAGUUUCCCAACAUACGAUAUACAUUUGAUUAUACUCCUUACUUAGCAUUAAUUACAUUUGUGGAUAGCAGUCUUACCCUUACACCUGUCAGUAGAUACUUAUGUGGUUCAAUUACUGUUUAUACUCAUGGAGUUUGGGAUGUUAUACUCAUGAGGUUUUGGAUAUCGAACUUUUGGACUUGCGUGGUUUUAGCUUGGAUUUUGAAAUGUGGCUUUCUACCCCUUGUGGUAAUAUUUUCAAAAUAAAGGUUUCUGUGGUGGGAACGACUUUUAAAUGAUUUUCUUGCGGCUUUUUAAAAGAUAGAAUUUCAAACAAAGUCUUCGUAUGGGAGACAUUUCCAACUAAUAGGAUGAGUGAGAAUGAAUGUGAAUAGAUGUGAUUAAAGAUUGUCAAUUGUAUGCUGAUGAAUAUUGUUCUUUGUAUAUCCUGUACCACUGUGUGUGUGAGUGAAAGUUUGGUUGCUAAUUAUACAUAUACUAUGUCAUGCAAAUAUAAAGAAAACUCUGUCUGUUUAUUUCGAAAAUUUUCUGUGCUUGUGGCGAUCUAAUGCAUCAUUGGGGAUUAAGAUUUUGAAAAAAAAAAAAAAAAAGAGACAAUUUUUUCGCUUACUCUGAUUUAUAAAGAUAGCCCAAUUUCGAAUUAGCUUUCAAAAAGGACCGCCGUUCCGCUUACUCUAAUUUAUAAAGAUAGCCCGAUUUCGAAUUAGCUUUCAAAAAGGGGCCCCGGAGCAUGACAAGAAUCCGCUGAAAAGCAGGGAGGGAUUCACUAACAUCCAAAGUAGAGAUGAAAAAUUUUCCUUCGAAUCUGGGUCUCCACAGAGGUCAGCCUCCAAUAGGACGGGGAAUUGGGAGGACUUCGCACCCCAGGGGAUGGGGUUGAGAAAAAAAUUUGACUUAAAAAAUAAACUUAAUAAUUGGAUAAAAUUUAAGCUAAUUUGAAUUGGAAAAAAUUAAAAUUUAUUAACAUUUCAAAUAAAAAAUUAAUUAAUGUAGUGUAUUUUAAGAAAUUUUACGUAUCUCGCGAGGAUGGUCCGGGCAGAAUUUGUUUCACGCUCGUGAGAAUUUGGCAGGAACAGAUAUUCUAAAAACCUGCGGAGAAUCUAAUACAAGAGAAGCAAUGUUUUGAGGUAAAAUAUUGAACUAGCGGUCACGACGUAGCAGAAGUCCUAGAAUAGCAGGCGGCAGACUGAAGCCUAACUAAACAACAAAGAAUAUUAAUAAGAAUCUACCAAGGGUUCGUUCGGAAACUAAAGUUGAUGUCAAAUUCUCAUAAAGCGAUCAUCAAAAGGUUUCUCUUUUUUUCUUCGCCAUUCAUGGAGAGUAGAUUUUUCAAGGACAAAGUACCUGUUGAAGAAAUAUUAGCACUAAUAUGUGAUGGAAGCUCUUGAAAUUAUGUUAAAAGAUGUUUACAUAGUAGAGCAUAAAAAACAGAGAAGACUACAAUAUUACAUGCAAGAGUCCACUAGGAAAUACAUUAAUCUCUCGCUUAUAGGCUCGCUGUUGAAACUUAAUUGACGUUGCGAGUGCAAAGUAAUGAUGGUGGAACUGCACGGGUUCACUUACAACAGUCGGCACUCUCAAUUUUUUAGCGGACCAAUUCCAGCAGUACACCUGUCUCAAAACUCUCAAGAGGAGGAAUACGUUCCGAAAAAUAUAUGUAAUAGUUUGUUAUUGCAAGAGGGCGCAAAAUAAGUAAAUUUCAUCUUCUAGACGUCUUCUCAGACCGACCCAAUGUCGAUAUACCACAUAAUAGUAUAAAAUUUGCACCUAUUUUUCUUUUUGUUAUAUUGCACAACAGAUAAGUUUAUCCUCCCCAAUUCUUUUGUGAAUGAUUCGUCUUGUUUCCCUUCCACUUAGAAACACAUGAAAGAAAAAGGAUGAAGUAACCCUACUGUAACUGCGCUGUUUAUACAGUAAGUAAUAUGCAACUGAAUAUUGCUUCCCCGAUCGUGUUGUUCUUCAGACAACCAAACUUAAACCUGAAACAAUCUUGAGGACCUAUUGUAGAAGCGCACAAGACAUGAGAAAAAAAAUUUGCUCCCCUAAUUACCACAUAUAAGGAAUUGCUGCAGUUUUACUGGGCAUGCCACAACACAGUCUUAUGAUAAUGGCACGGCAUUGACACAAUGGCACGAAUUUUUAUUAUCAAAUAUUCAAAAAAACAUAAGAUUUAUUUUAAUAUUUCUUCUCGUAGCUAUAAAAAUGACACGAGUCUUAAUUAUAUCUCACAUAAUUUAUUAAAAAUAGAGUGAUAAAAAGAACAAUUUGUAUAUAUUAUAUUAUGAAAGUAUAUGCAUCAAAACAAAACUAAAAUCACGAUUUGGUAAACAUUCAUAGAAACAUACUACCAUAGGCAAAUACGCUACAUCUGAAUUGAUAAAAGAAUUGAGGAAGACAUUUACUAAUUGCAACAAAUGUACGUAGAUUUACAAAAUUUAUAUAUUUCAAGUAUGGAAAAAUCUUUGUGAAACUUUUCACGUGAAAAAAUAGAAAAAUUCAAAAAUAUCCACUAAAAACUCAAAACAAAAUUAUAUUGUCGAUUCAUUGUCAGCGCCGUGCCACGCCCGAGGACGACCUAGGCACGGUACAGCACGGACGGCGACGGCCCUGGCAAUCCUUCCACAGCACAAGUGCACAAGUGAAAAAGGGUUGUUGAGCAAUAGACAGGUAGAAAUUUUGCAAGCAAAUUUUACGUGGUUUUGCAAACUCAAAGAGUACAACCAUGCAUAUCCUCUAAAACUCAAGAAUAGGCCAAGUUAACAGCCAUUAGCGUGAUGAAAGCCAGAGAAAUAAAUGAAGUAGAUCCUCUUAAGGUGAAAUUUACAGGUGGGAAACGCAAUUUCCAGAAGAGCAUCUCUAGGAAAAUACAAACCCUCCUUGGAUCCCUUUUCAUGUAAUAGGACGCUGAUGAUAGGUGAUAACAGCAGCAGCAAGCUUCCAAAUUCCAUAUCAGAAAAGUUGAAGUUUUGGUUCCUGCGUCGGUGAUCCACCAAAGCCGAAUGAAAUUUUACUAGGACAAAAGACCUAUUAUGUUUAUAUAUAGUAUUUUAAGGACCUAUUAAUUAAUUCUAUUUUGAGAAGGUAAGAUGAUUCUUUAUGAAGGAUGAGAAAAAGAUUUGUGCACAUACAGCAUCUACAGCAUAUACGGAGCAAUUUUGUGCAGCUAACUCAUCACCGACUCCAAAUCUCUGAGAUCGGAAUAUCUUAGUAUUUUAUUUGGAAUAGAUUUAAAUCUGUAAUACAGAAAUAUCUUAGUAUUUUAGUCAAAUUGGACUAGACAAGCCUAGAUUAUAAUUUAAUCCUAAUUUGACUUCAAAUAAAAAUUACAUUAGAGUAAACAAAAUUAUAGACACGUACUAAAAUAAGAUAAAAUUGUCUUAGAUUUUCGACUAUAUGGUUUUUUUUUUUUUUUUUUUUUUUGAGAGAUAGAUAGCACGCUACCCGCUUCGUUUAUUUCAUUUAGAAAUAAACUUAGCUGGAAAUGUGAAUCAACUAGGAUUCAAAUUGGGACCUCGGAUACCAACCACCAAGCCCUUUGCCACUUACUCUAGGGACAGUCAGUAUUUUUCGACUAUAUGUUAAAUAACAUAAACUCACCCAUGCAUGCAUUGCGCAGCUUCAAAUCUAGUUAUAUAUAAUUUUCUUUUUUUCUUCCUCUUUAAGUUCUUUGAGCUUAAAGGCAAGUAGGGAUAUAACUCUCUUUAAUUUCUCUAUAUUUGAAUCACUUGAAAACUCUACAUAUAUGGCUUUUGUUUGACAAGAAAAAAAAAGAAAAAAAUAGUAGUAACCUUUCUUUGUUCUUUGUUUUCUUUUAAAAAAAAAGAUUUCCAAGCUAACAAACACUUGAACAAAAGAAUUUCAUCCCCAUGUACCUUGGACAUCAAAUAAUUGAGAAGAAACAAAAACAAAACUGCAGUAACAUUGGAUACACCAGAAGGUGCACGCACACCUGAUUAUCAGGUAUGGCCAAACAAAUUCUGGGAGUUGCUUUUCUACAACUUUGUUGAUAGUACAAGCCAACUGUCUGCAAUCAAAAGCUGAUCAAAUUUAUAGGGCACAGUACACUACUACCCGAUUCCCAUAGUUUUUUUUGAGUACCUUAAAAGUCCAAAAGUAGUUGUGGAAGUACUCUCUCAAGAUGGGUAGCUUCAAUUUUGUCACUUCCUUCUGCUUCAGCAAGUAUGGCGGCACGUUGAACAGCCUCUUUGAAAAAUAAAAUAAACUAAAAUAAGUUUAAACAACUAACUUUUAGUAUGGCACCAGAUUUAUAUCAAGUUAACAUAUUAAAACAUAUAAAUAAACUCGGGGUUUCAAGCAUGCACACCUGUGACAAAAAAUCGCAGAAGCUCACAACUUACUUUAAGUGAACUUGCAUUAGCUGCAUGCAACAAACAUAUAAUUACAAACUACAACCAUUAUAAAUUUCUCAAAGCAUAAUAUCAAAAUUAUAUAAUCUUAGCAUGUCAGGAAAGAACGAAAAUUUUAUAAAGCAAUUAUGGUGAACACGGAAAACAAUUUAUGGGCAAUCAACUAGAAGGCAUGACAAAACUACAGUUUUAGUGAUCAGCUCAGAGUGUGGAACAUUGAUAUAGUAUAUUUUGGAAUACUGUUGUUUUUGAACAUAAGAUAAUAUGUCGAUAAAUAAAAAAAUUAUGGACUCUGAGUUUGUGAACAAUUUAUAUUUAAUAAAUUUGUUAAUUUCUUGCCUUGUGCAUUUACAAUAAUUAAAUUACACUUUUAGCUCCAUGUUGAUAAUGGCACAAAAGUUAUAUUAUGCAAUGCUUCAAAAAUUGCUCCUUAUGCUUAAGGGUGCAAAGCAGGCCACUAGGCCCAAAAUGCUUCGAGCCAAGCUGUGGCACAACAUAGGUACUGUAGCACACAUGCCAUGCCGGCACCGCCCGAAUUAAUGGGCCAUGUUGGGCCGAUGUGGAACCUGUAAAAUUUGAAUUAUGUAACAAAUUGACUUUUUAAAUUCAAUAAAUGGAAAUGGAGAACAUUGAGAGAGAGGCUAAUUUCAUAAAUUGGAACCGUUUCCGACGAAACAAAAUCACCACUUUUAUGGCCUGUCAAUGCAGGAAGACGUGGUGAAGUCCAUUUUUGGAUUCUGCAAGGCGAAAGCGGGGAAUAAUGCAAAAAUCAAAAUAGGAAAAAAGGUAUUUUUGGAAAAAAGUGCGACUGUUAAUGUAUGGUUUCGCAUGAAACUCAUUGGGAGGGGCUACUGUGCAAUUACGUGUGCCGAUGAAGUUGGAGCAUAAAAUGUGGAAAAUACAAUAGGCUACAAGAAAAAUUACAAAACCCUAUAUUAAAGUGAAUCCGGAGUUUGGAACCCUAACUCCCUCGCUUUUUCUCCUUAGCUUCCCCAGCCGCAAGUAACAUCUCACCCCACCUGCGCCGCGCCGACCUGACCUCCGGCGAUCCCCUCAGACUACCGGAGCCUCUGCCAAGAUCCCGAAGUCUCUCUCUUCCUCUUUCUCUCUCUCUGUCUCACUUAAAUACCUUGACCCAAUCUCCUCAUGCCUUCGACCGCACAGUCCCAAACCAACGUCACCGGCCUCCAGGGGUUCCAGCGACCCUCCUCCGAUUAGCCCAGGCGCCACCAUGUGCCCCGAGUCCGAUCUCCACCUGUGAACCUGAUAUGUUGAGGAUCAGGCCGCAUCUUCAAGUCCCGCGCUGCUAUCGUCGCCGUCGCCGCCGCCGCUUCCAGCCGUCCCUGUCGACAUCUAUGGACCUGGAGAACCCUCCAGCGUAGCCCCAACAUCUCUCGACCAUCCUAUUGCUCGGGUAGCCAGUCUGAACCUGAGGGUGCUUAGGCUUGGCUGCAACCCUUCAACCACCAUUGUCGCCUCCCGCCGUCGGCAACAGUCAUAUCUGAUCUCUCCUCGUCAAGCACGACCCCUUCCGGCUAGUGCGAGCCUUCUUUGGCGGUCGAAACCCGAGAAGAGUGAAAACUGCUCUAGGCUGCAUCGAGCAGGGUUUUCGCACUCCUGCUCUGGCAAUCCCAUUCAUUCAUAUCUCGUUGUUUUGCACGCAACCACAGCUUCAAGAUGACGCUACUGUCACGGACGCUCCGGGUGCAAACGCCAAAAGAUUACCUCGAUGCGAAGUACAUUCAAUUAUGCCCUGUGAUGUUGGGCAACUGGAUGUUCCUUGCGAACCUAGUGCUUUUACCGCUGAAGGAGUUCGAUGUGGUGCUUGAGAUGGACUGGCACAUUGAACACCAUGCUACUCUCAAUUGUGAACAGAGGAUGUUGACCUUCAAUGCACCCGGGAAGGAGGAGUUCGUCCAAUGAGCAUGUUGCUCUUUCGCAAUGACCAUCUCUUCAGCUAGGGCAAAACAACCUACGAUUGGCAGAUGAAUGGCCUACCUGGCUUCGGUGGACGUCAUUCGCAGAGCGGCUCCAAAUCUUGAGAAGAUUUUGGUAGCUCGAGAGUUUCUUUUUUUUCCGACAACUUUUUUUCCGACAAGCUACCCUCGAUGCCUUCAAAUCGGAAAAUUGAGUUCUUCAUAGGAUUGGCUCCCGACACGACUCCCAUCUCAAAGGCCCCAUACCGAAUGGCCUUCACAGAGCUGAAGGAGCUGAAGGCUCGGCUGGAGGAUCUCCUGGACAAGGGGUUCAUCAGACCGAGUGUGCCCCCCUGGGGUGCACCCAUUCUUUUCGAAAAAAAAAAGAACGAUAGUCUAUGUUAUGCCUAAACCAUCGAGAGCCCAACAAGGUCACGAUGAAAAACAAGUACUCCUUGCCACAGAUCGACGACCUUUUCAAUCAGCUACAGGGAUUAUCGGUCUAUUUGAAAAUUGAUCUGCAGUCAAAUUACCACCAACUAAAGAUCAAAGCAGAUGAUGUGGCGAAAACUGCAUUCAGGACUCGUUUUCACGGUGAUGCCUUUCGAAAUUAUUAAUGCCCCAGCAACAUUCAUGGACAUGAUGAAUUGAGUGUUCAAGCCAUAUCUAGAUCACUUUAUCGUAGUUUUAAUUAACGAUGUACUGAUCUGCUCGCGGAUUGAUGAGGUGCAUGAGGAUGCAAUCUCUGGCUUCUCCUUCACAUGCCCCUCUAUUGACGUUGGUUCCCAUAUAGUUAUUUCACCGCCUGAGACUUUAUCAACAUUUCCUUUUACCUUGAAUUUUGAUGCCUCACAGGUUAGUAAUAGGAACGAUGCCGAUGUCAUUGGUCAACCAGAGCUCCGAGUCUAUACUGGAUGACACACCGUUUGGCCUGCUGCUGCUUCACCUUCCACUGUUUCCCCGACACCUUCCACCUCUGCUUACUACCUUCCCCUGGGCCUACUUUAGUACCUUCUCCCUCACCUUCUGAGCCUCCUUUACCUCCCCAAACAGACUCUAUGCAUACUCGAUCCAUGACUAAGGAUUUGGCUGAGUCUACCUUGAUUCUGGCUUCUGGGCGUUCUCUUCUUUCUACUAAGCCUACCACUUUUCAUAAAGCUUUUUAGGAUGCAGAUUGGCGUGCUGCCAUGGCUGAAAAAUUUGAUGCCUUGCUGUCCAAUGCUACUUGGGACCUUGUGUGACACCUUAAUAGUCCCACAUUGGGUAGUUAUGGCUAGAUGUGGAAGUAUAUAAGCUUGAUUGGGCUAGACAUAAUAACUAAGCUUAAACAUUUUGGGCCGGUGGUUUGGGCCCAACGAGUUAUUAUUGCUAGGUAUCAAAGUCAGUUCACUAGCCGAAAGUGUGAGAUAAAGGUCAAAAUGAUAGACUAAACCGGGGAUGGUGAUUGACAAGCUAAGUCAGGAUCGGAACGACAAACGCUAGCGAGAUAAGUCUCAUAUCGCUUGGUGAUCUUGAGCUGUGAGCUGUGUGUGUUUAGGGCUGACGAGGACGUCAGGCCUAAACGGGGGGAGUCUGUGACACCCUAAUAGUCCCACCCUAGUAGUCCCGCAUCGGGUAGUUAUGGCUAGAUAUGAGAGUAUAUAAGCUUGAUUGGGCUAGACAUAAUAACUAGGCUUAAGCAUUUUGGGCUGGUGGUUUGGGCCUGACGAGUUAUCAUUGCUAACGGGUCAGGUCGUUACACUUUGUUCCUCCUCCCUCUUCCGUUGAUCUCAUUGGCUGUAGAUGGGUAUGCAAAGUAAAGCAGAAGGCGGAUGGUUCUCUUGAGCAUUUCAAAGUUCAGUUUGUGGUUCAUGGUUACAAACAGCAACAGGGUUGACUUUGAUGAGAGCUUUUCUCCGGUUGUCAAGUCAACCACUAUUCGUAUAGUUCUUUUGGUAGCUCUCUUCUCUAGGUGGUCCCUUCGCCAACUUGAUGUGAAGAAUGUCUUUCUUCAUUGAACUCUCUCUAAAGGGGUUUAUAUGACACAACCCCUCAUAUAACCCCCUGGCUUUGUGCAUCACUCUUUUCUUCAUCAUGUUUGUCACCUAUGGAAAGCAAUUUAUGGUCUAAAAUAGGCACCUCGGGCUUGGUUCCAACAGCUUCCUUUCUUUCUAAAAUUGAUUUUGUUGGAAGCACUACUAAUCUUUCGAUAUUCAUUAGUCAUUCUUCUGGCAGUCUUGUUCUUCUGUUAUAUAUUGAUGAUAUUAAUGUCACCGGCAACUCCUUUCUUUUAGAGGAUCUUAUCGUUACCUUACAACAAGUAUUUGUAAGGAAAGACCUCGGGCCACUACAUUAUUUUCUAGGUGUUGAGGUUAAUCGCUCCACUUUUGGUUUUCAUCUGACUCGGCACAAAUAUGCGCAUCAACUGCUUCAGUGACAUGGUUUUCUUGAUAGUAAGCCAGUCUCUAGUCCUUUCUGUCUGACCUCUCCUCUCUCUUCUCAUGAAGGGCGUCCACUUGAGGAUCCCUAUAGUUAUCGUCGGAUUGUUGGUGCUCUACACUAUCUCACCUUCACUGCCGUCAAUUCUGUUGCUCAAUUCCUACAUGCUUCUCGUGAACCGCACAUGCAAGCGGUCGAGUGUAUUCUACGAUAUAUUCGAGGGACGCUGACUUAUGGUAUUCCUAUCUCCCACUGCAUCAAUCCUUCUCUUGUAGGAUUUGCAGAUAAUGAUUGCGUUGGUUGUCUAGAUACACGCCGGUCUACUUUCGGAUAUUACAUAUUUCUGGGGCCCAAUCUUAUCUCCUGUUUAGCUAAGAAGCAGCCCAUUGUUUCUCGUUCCAGUGUUGAAGCAGAGUAUCGUACUGUCGCCUACGCACUUGCUGAGACUAUGGAUCUGUCAUCUACUUCGUGACCUUGGUGUUUUCUUAUGGCGCUCCAUCAACAUAUAUUGUGAUAAUCUUUGCACCACUUAUCUUGCGGCCAAUCCUAUCUUCCAUGCUCGCACUGAACACAUUUAACUUGACCAUCAAUUCUUGCGAGAAAAAGUCCAGUCCGACGAUUUGGAAUUGGUUCAUAUCUCUUCUAAUAAGCAACUUACAGACAUUUUCACCAAGCCUUUAUCACCCUCUCGAUUUUCAGUACUCCAGCUCAACUUUCGCAUUUGAUCGGUGGAUGCUUAGCUUGAUGGGGAAUGUUACGACAAGCUUAAUAUCAUUACUCUAUAUUAGGAAACUGUAUAUUACCAUCAUAUAUAGAGUUACAUAGUAUAUAAUCCCAGUUGUAUUAUUACUAUAGUCAGCAUUAUUACUACGGUAGACAUAUCUCUUGUACUAUAUAUUUACAUCAAUACAACCCAAGAAGGUAUGCUCUUUUGCACUUCUCACAGACCACCUUAUAUUCAUAAGAUGUACUUUUGUUUGAAACUGUAUAUCUUCUGAAUGGUUAAUGUAGCAGACUUUGACUUACUCCUUUUAGUGUUAUGUCCACAUGCUUUAAUUAUCUUGUUUAGAAUGUGUAUAUUUUUUUUCCGCCUUGUUUGAUGUAGACACCUUGUGUGCACCGAAGAUGCCUUGUGCACACGGCGGGUCUGUGCACGUGCCGGGUAGGCUUCCGCUGGGGCCAGGGCGUGACAGUUUGUGCACAUAACAAUCUACCUUCUCCGACAAUCCAAAUACCUCGAAAAGGGUUGCAACGGCCCUCUUAUGGCGCAUGGUGACCAUGAAAUAUAUGGGAAGGAAAGGAGGCCCAGUUGUCUCUUACUCUAUUUUGGACUAAAUUAACAAGCCCUAUUUAAAUUCUUUUUAAAACAUUUGGUAUAAAUCCAAAGAAUAAUUAAAAACUCCAUCCAAACAGUCAAAUACUGAAUCUAGAUUUUUAUCCCCAAAGUAAAACCAACUCAAUUCCGAAGUAUUUUCCACACUUUCUCCAAAUACGUACAAACAUGCCAUUAUUGGAUAUUUUCAAGUGUUUCCUCUUAAUUUUGAAAAAUAAAAUAAAAUUUCAACAAUAAUUUUGAAAAAUGUGAAGAUCAUUCAAAAUUUUGUGAAAAUUCUAAAAUUAUGUUUUGUAUGUCUUGGGCUCACUGCUAGCAAGAUAAAUUAGAGUUCUUCAAAUUUAUCUUGUAUCAGUUUUGGCAUUAGAGAGAUCCUAAUGUAUUUUUUUUUUCUAAAUUAUUACCAGGACUUCUAAAUAUGAACUUUAAUUAGAUCUUAAUCUCAUCAAGCCUCCACAAACAACCGAUUAGACAAUCUAUAGUCCACCUUCAAUGACUUACAAACCUCCAAUACCCAAAUUUCAUGGUUAACCCACUCAUCUCUACCAAGCUAUCCAAAAAUCUUCUGUUUUUGUCUCAUUUUUACACCUAUUCAAGAGCUAUCUCAACAGAUUACUGAGGUUCCUAUUAUCCUACGUCCAUUACCACCACCAAAGGAGUCUCUUCUGCUACAUAUUGUGCUUCAAAUAAACACUAGAUCGUUCUCCACCUGCACAUGAUCUUUUGACACAAUACAACAAGUUCAUUAAUCCGUCUUCUAAUGUUUUAGUAAAACUCAUAUAUGCGCUUGAAGUUCCAAAUGUCAAUUAUCUUUUUCACAACGCCACAAUUGAAAUACAACUAAUAAAGAUUGUUCGACAUGCAGGCAUUGGACUGCACUACUUUAUCUUUCCAACCAUCCAAUAUAUUCCCAUUCUAGUGUUGAUCCCAUUGAUAUCAAGGACAAGAUCCUGUGUUUUUUUGUACAUUUUUAGGAUUUUUCUACAUGGAAUAAAUCCCGAAAGCUCAGGGAUAUGGUUUUGAACUUUUACAUUAGGAUUAGAUAUAUUUGUAUUUGGAAAAUCCCAAAACUGUUGAUUUGACUUAGAGUAGGAUUGUAAAUAUCGCCUAUGGCUUGCAAUUUUAGAGAGAGAAUUACGGCAUAAUUGGUUCUUUUUUUUCUACCAGUUGGGAAGUCCUGCACCAAUUGCAGUCGUGUUAUCUCUUUUCCUUCCCCUUGUGUGCAUUGGCCAAAAAGUUGUUUUCCCUAAAGGUUCCAUCUUGUCUGUCUUUCUCACAUUUUUUUUUCCUCGUUUAUUCUUCUUUAAAAACUUCCUUCCGAAAUUACCUAGACUUUCUCAGGAAUCUUGUGAAUUUUUACCUCUUCGUUGGCGAUUUUCUAUUGUUUCUUCUUAAUUUCUAAAAGCAAAAAUUACCUCUAUACCCUUGUAAAAUUCCUAAAUUUCCUAUUUACCCUUUCUUGCAAAUAUACGCCUAAAUUUUUUUCUUUUUCAAAUACACCCUAUUUUGAGGGUUUAGAAGGAAAUAUUUGAGAACAAAUCUUUUGAAAGAUAGAUAUGAAAGUAGGUCUGUACCGAGGGAUAUAUAGAUAAUUAGCUCUUUCUUAAGGAAAGAUAAAAGUUAAAAAUAAUUUUUUAAAAAAUGUAAAAAUCAUUCAAAAUUGUGUGAAAAUUCUACAAUUUUGUUUGUAUAAAUCUUGUGCUCAUUGCUAGCAAAAGAAAUUGGAUUCCUACAUCGCCUAGACACAACCCUGAGUAGGGCGUCUGUAAGGAAGUGAAUUCUCGAAAUCCGAGAGUUGAACUUCUAUUAGAAUCGAUUUGUUGUCGACUUGGCAUGCUUCGGAAAAGCCGAAGUCAUAAAAAAUGCAAAAAGUGCAUUGUAGAAGGUCUCGGAGAGCAAACUGGUGAAAUUCUGCAUAGUUGCAGAAUUUGCUCUCGGGGACCGGUCCCUGGUGGGAGGGACCGGUUCCCGUAAGCAUGAAAGGUGGCAGAAAAUUUCUGCGCAGGAUUCUUGCUCUCGGGGACCGGUCCCUGGUGGGAGGGACCGAUCCCCGAAAAAAAUGGGCAAAGGCUAUUAACUGCAAAAAUUGCUCUCGGGGACCGAUCCCUCUAGGGGCAGACCGGUCCCCGUAGCCCGAAAUGCCCAAAGAUGAGCUGCUUCAUGAUUGUAAAGUUGAGGGGUUUUUAUGCAAUUGUUGCAUAAGUGAGAGCUAUAUAGGGGUGGAGAGCUCUUCUCCUCUCAUUUCUCUCAACCUAAAACCUAUUUCUCUCUCCCUCUCUCUCUCUAAGUGCUCUUCCUCUCUCUCUAGAAGGUGAAGAAGAAGAGGGCUUUGGUGAAGAUCAAGAUCAAGAGAAGGGAUUUCUUCUUCUCCUUCUCCCUCCUUGGCUAGUAGCAAGCUUGGAGAGGUAAGCUUCUAAGCUCAACCAUGGUGAACUUCUAGGGUUUGGGUUUUAUAUCCUAGAAUUGGUUUAGUUGGGACUCUAGUGUACCAAAUAGAUGUUCCAUGCUUGAAUCUAGGACUAGAAUCAUGGAUUUUUGCAUUGUUGAAACCUAAAAAUGGGAUUUUGGGAAAUCUAGGGUUUUGAUCUAAGUUGGUUGGUUGUAAACCUAAUUGCUAGGUAUCUAAACACGUUGGCGGCGACGGUUCGACUAUUCGUCGAGUUGGUGCGGAGAUAUCGCCAAGUGGAGGGCGUUUCGGCUUCGUUUCUACUCGGAGGGCCGAAGCGGCGCCCUAGGAGAUUUCCGAGUUCCUUUCCUUGAGUCGUUGCAUCGCCAAGAGGUGGGUGGUGACCAUCCCGAAGCAGCUAGACUGCUCCCUAUGUCUAAGUGUAUUGUUUAUCAAGUUUGCAUAUUGUGAUAUUGCAUUAUAGGGUACUUAGAUGAUUACUACUCAUCCUUGUAUGCUCCUUGGUAUAGUUGCAUAGUCGGCUUAGCACUUAAACCUAGGAUGCGUGAGAUUAGUGCAAUAAGGUUUGGAACCCUAUAAUGAGAUGAUAAGUGAUGAAUGUGCCUAUGUGGAUGAAAACCUAGUAAAGUGUAAACUAAUGUAUUGGGAUCAUGUAACAAGAACGAGUGGCAUCUAGUUAAUGUUGAACACAGGAAUGAGUGGCAUAUGAGAACCUUAGUGUAGUUGAGACACUAGGAUGCUGAGUAUAGGAAUACAUUGAUUCCAUGAUGAUGACAACCCUAGUUGGCAGGUAUCCUCAGUUGAUGAGGAUUAGAUCGUGCUCGCGUAGCCUGUUACGCUUGUAGUGGUCGCUCCACACAAGCUGUGCACUCCGGAGGUUUGGUCACACGAUAGGACGGCGGCUAGCUGUCCGCAGGCGGUCUCGGGUGAGUCAAGCGGCUGGGACUCCUCACCUAUGGGAUUAGAGACGUGAGUUGUGGGCGAGCCCUUGGGCGAGCCGAGUGAUUGGGUAAACUAAUGAACAAGUAACCUUGUUGAGCAUAGUAGUUUGGUAGUUGGCCUUUACUAUGUAGCGCAUGCAUCAUUAUCUUGGAUUGAGGCAUAGUAGGAUACUUGCAUUUUACUUACUAUGUCGUUGCUGUUUCAUACAUAUCUAUCUAUCUAUCUAUCUUCCUAUACCUGCUUAGACCUAGUUGGGAGAUCAGCGGAGUCGGCGGCCGAACCCACUGGGAACUAUGGAUAAUAGUUCUCACCCCACUCUGUUGCAGGGCCAAGCUCGAGUACCCCCGACGAGGAUCGUGGCAAGGGCUUAGCGCCCUAGGGUUGGUAGAUGCUUCCUAUUGCAUUAGUAGUCACCCUAUAUACUUGAGAGUAGAUGAUGUAUAGGUGUGAGAGAUUUUGGAAGAUUGUAAACUUUAUGUUUAUGUUUUGGAAGAAUGUAAAGUUAAUCAAAUGUAUUAAAGUUGAAUGAAUGUAAUAGUUAGUAUCUCUCUUUUGUUCACUUGUUUAUUACUUGUGAUACUUGCUCUUAGUUGUUUAGCACUGGUUGUGCUCUCGCUGUUGUUGCUUGAUUGUGUAUAUAUUCAAGAUGUUUUCCUGGGCACUUGUUGUACACAAUCUUGAUGUUUAGCCUUGGGCGGACAGGGGAGGUGCUGUCCGUCCGGCGUCUGUUCGACGCGCCCGAACCGAACCAAAUUGGUAGCGGGCUCGGGGCGUGACAGCGUCGAGACUUGAUAUUUUGUGGAUUGGCUAGGCCCUUCUUACGAGGAUUUUGUUUUGAUGGCUGAGCAUAAGAGAUGCUAGCCCUUAGGCCCUUGCGAGAAGGCUCUAGCCCUCUUCCCUUUUUCCAAGGGUCUGCCAUGGCGAAUCCUAAAGAGAUAGGCCAACAGCUAGCAUGCCACCCAUUGGAUCCUAGGGUGGCUAAGAGUUGCGUUGGGUAUUUUAGUCUUCAAAGGCUACUGGGGAGGUUAUUUUAAUUCAAAUAAUAUCUAAAAUUUUACAAUUUUAUAAUUUUUUUUUAAAAAAAUUAUAACUAUUGAUAUCUAUAAAUACUCCUACAAACUCUCCCUAUUUCACCACAACAAAAAUUUAUAUUCUUUCUUUUCUCCCAACAUUAACCUCUCUCUAACUUCAAAUCUCAAAUUGAACGCUUCCAAUUUCAUUUCACCACUACAAAAUUUUUAAAUUCUCUCUAAAUGCUCUUCCUACAAACUUUCCCCACGAGCUCUCUAAUGUUGUAUGGAAGUAAGACAAUAGGUAAUAACAAGAUUCGGCUAGAAAAGGACAACGAAUAAAGCUAGAACAAUUAGGGUUUUAAGAAAACCGCUACUUUGUAAGAUAUAUUAAAAGAAAAGAUGACAAAGAAUGGCUGUAACCGAACUUGCAGCCUUUAUAUACUAGGGUUGCAAGAUACUCAUCAAUAAUGGCCCUUGAUUAUGACUUAUCAACUAACUUUAAAUCCUAGCCAUCAACAUGUUUCAAAAAGUCACAUGACCUCUAGUUAAACAAAAGGGGUAAUUGCUUAUAUACCCCUAAAAAGUUACAAACUUUCUGAUUUACCCCUCUUAAAAGGCUAAUAUUGAAAAUUUCCUUUUUAAAUCCAACCUAUUUCAAAUAUACCUCUAGAGUCAAAUUGUGUUAAUGAACUAUUAGCAAUAGCUAUUAUCUAUAUGAAAUUACUAUUUUGCCCCUUCAAAUAUAUACUUCCACCAUCACCGACUUUUCUUAUUUGCCCUUAAGUUAGGGGCACAAAAAGUAUUUUGAUUUUGUCUUUUCAAAUAUACCCUUCUACCAUCACCAACAUUUCUUAUUUGCCCUUAAAUUAAGGGCAAAAGAGACAUUUUAAUUUUUUUUAACUCUAGUAGAUAUUUAACUCACGUUUAACCUAAGUUAACUUAAUAGGUGGUAACUGCAGGGUAUUUUGGAAUAAUGGAAAUAUGAGGGGUAUAUUGGAAAGAAAAAAAUCAGAGUAAACGAGAUAUUUCCGAAGGUAUGAGGGGUAUAUAGGCAAUUACCCCUAAAUAAAAUGAAAGUUGUAAAGUAAAAUGUGACAUCCCAAUAGUCCCACAUCAGAUAGGAAUAGAGUUGUCAUUGGGUAUAUAAGAGGACUCCACCCUAGUAAUAAUAACUGGGCUUAAGCAUUUUGGGCCAGCGGUUUUGGCCCAACGAGUUAUUAUUGCUAGCGGGUCGGGUUGUUACAUUUGGUAUCAGAGCCAGUUCACCAGCCGGAAAGUGUGAGAUGAGUCUUAGCUGAGCCAGGGUCGGAAUGACAGACGAAGGCAAGGUCGGUGAUUGACAACAGACUAAGUCAGGGUCGGAAUGACAAAGGCUAACAAGACAAGUCUUACAUCGUCUGAUGAUCUUGGGCUGUGUAUGUGUUUAGGGCUGACGAGGACGUUAGGGCCUAAACGGGGGGAGUCUGUGACACCCCAAUAGUCCCACAUCGGAUAAGAAUAGAGUUGUCAUUGGAUAUAUAAAAGGACUCCACCCUAGUAAUAAUAACUAGGCUUAAGCAUUUUGGGCCAGUGGUUUUGGCCUAACGAGUUAUUAUUGCUAGCAGGUCGGGUCGUUACAUAAAAAUACAAUAGUAAAGCUCUUGCAUCAAUCUUCCAGGCUCUCGAUCCUGGCAAAAAAAACCUUAACAACCUUAGUAAUACAUCUUUGGAUCAGUCUUCAUUACUUUCACCAUAGCCAGCUCAAAAUCCUCCAAAGUCACGUGAACUCCUGUCCCUUAGCCCAAAUAUACAUGCUUCUAUACACACUACUUUUUGUAUAUGCUAACGAUGGUAAAAUUGUUUGCCAAAAUGCACAAAAUACAAGGAAAGCGUUUAAACCGCACAUCAUAUAUUUAAGAUGAUCAAACUGGAAUCGGAAGAAUCAAACCAUUAAUCUCUCUUUCUUAAUGUAGUUGUCGAUAUCAUCGAUCGUUGUCAAGUGCAUUCCAUACAUCUUCAUAUAAGGAGAUAACUCUUUCAGAAACUUCAAAUGUUUCUCUAAAUUUUUACGUGAGAACUUUUUCGCUAACAAAAUUUGACGUGCUUUCUUUUACCAUCUUCAAUAGUGCUAACAAAAUUUGACAUAAAGGACAAGAUCGUGAUUUGGCCCAACAAGUUGCUAGUACUAGGGAGACUGGUCAUUACAAUUUAUACUUAUGUGGUACGCAACCCCAUUGUGUCCCUAGGGAUUGGAAGAGUCCUAUAUAUAAAAUAUAAUAGGACUAAACCUCUUAACCCAGCAUAACAUAUUGGGUAGUGGUUAGGCCCAAGAGGUUAAGAGGGUUAAGCGUGCUAGAACUAGAGUAGUUCUAGGAUGGGUGAUCCCCCGGGGAAGCGAGGCAUCACAGUUGGUAUUAGAGCCAAUCACUAGUAGGAACUGUGUGAUAAGUAUCGGCUAAGCCAAUUAUAUCGCGGGCAGAGCGCGAUUCUCUAGCUGAUGACUAUUCCAGGUUGAGUGCGGCUCCUCCCAAGGCCGACUAAAAGCUACCGAGACAAGUCUAACGUUGCUUGGUGCUUGUGAGUUUCUAAAAAGGCUAUAGCAUUUUUGGGCAGUUGCAAAGCCCAAAAAGGUUAAAAGAGUUAAGCGCACUAGGGCUAGAGUAGUUCUAGGAUGGGUAACCCCCUGGGAAGUGAGGCAUCACAGUUGAUAUCAGAGCCAAUUAUUAGCCAGAAAUAUGAGAUGAGUCUUGGCAGAGCCAAGUUAUACAAUAGGGAGAGCGCGGCUCUCAUGCUAAUGACUGUUGUGGACACGCACGGGUUCCUUACAAGAUCAGUUAAGAAUAGCGAGAUGAGUCCCACAUCGCUUGGAAUUUGUGAGUCUAAGCUUGACGAGGACGUCAUGACUAAAAGGAAGGGAGAAUGUGAGACCUAAGAAAUUGGAAGAGACCUAUAUAUAAGAUAGACUAAACCUAUUAACCCAACUAUAGUAUGUUCGGCGAUAGUUAGACCCAAGAGAUUAAGAGGAUUAAGCGUGCUAGAACUAGAGUAGCUCUGGGAUGGGUGACCUCCCUGGGAAGGAAGGCAUCACAGUUGGUAUUAGAUCCAACCACCAGCAGGAACUAUGUGAUAAGUCUUUGCAGAGCUAGAGUCAUAUAGCGGCAGAGUGUGGUUCUCUAGUUGUUGACUAUUGUGCGUAGAGUGCAGCUCCUCACAAGGUCGGCUAAAAGCUAGCGAGACAGGACUCACAUUUCUUGGUGCUUGUGAGUUUCUAAAAAACCCGGCUAUAGUAUUUUGAGCGAUGGCUAGGCCCAAGAGGUUAAGAGUGUUACGGGUGCUAGGGCUAGAGUAGUCCUAGGCAAAGUUUAAAGUGCCAUGGCACGGGGGCAUGCUGUUGUCUGCCCAGCACGGUACGGCACCGGCACGCUUUCGUGCUGACACAUGGUACACUUGCGUGCCGAUGGAUACGUAUGACCUCCUACUGGCACGCUUUGGCACGAACUUAUUUCAGUUUUUUUAUUCUAAUAAGCUCUUAUAAUGUUAUUUUAAAAGAUUUAAUCAAAUAAUUAUGAAUAUUUGCUAUGUAUGACUUACUAUAUUAUCAAUUAAUAUACUUGUAAGCUUUUUUGUAUGUAAAGUACAACUAUACCUGAUGCAGAUAAAAUAUUUUUAUAGAUUCGAAUUUUAAAAAUAUAAAAACAUCUUUUCUUCUUUCUUUAGACCAAAUUACAGUUUUUCUUUUAUAAAAUAGAAAAAACUAAUUUUUAAAUUAUUUUAAAAAUUAUUUUAAAAGGUAUUUGAAAAAAUUAUUUUUUAAUCAAAUUUUUUAAAAAAUUAUUAUUUCUAUCAAAAAAGUUACGCAAUAAAUUAUAUGACAAAUAAAUUAAAUAAAUCUAAGUAUGAAUUAAUUUAAUUUAACUUUUAAUUUUAUCAGUAUUUUUAAUCUUCUAAUGCAAAAAUAAAUUUUUAUGCUUGAUGUGCCUCAAGAUUUAUUUAUUGAGUUCGAUUUUGUUCCCUUAAUUUGCCAAAAAAUUCGCCCCCAGCCCACCACUGACACCCGAGGGGGGUGCGGGGUGCUUCGCCCCCUGCAGUAGGGAUCGAAUAUGUAAAUUAAAAUUUGGCUGCAUAUUGAUAAACAAAAUAAUAAAAUUAUAAUUUUUUGACUUACUUAACAAGUAGAUCUUCGAUUUGCAAUGUCGAUGUUUCUUGGUAUCCCAAAGAACAAAACAAAAAGAAAAAAAAGCAAAAAGCAAAAAAAAAAAGAAAAUAGUGUGCCAGCACGGCACAGUGCCGUGGCACUGACCUACGUAUCGCUCUAUCUCACGCGAAACACAGGUCCGUGCCACGGCACGGAGGGGGGUCUGAGACCCCUCCUGUACUGUGCCAUCUUCUUGGCGACACGAUACGUGCCGCCAGGUGCCGUUCGGCACUGAGUUGCACUUUAAACCUUGGUCCUAGGAUGGGUGACCCCCUGAAAAGUGGGGCAUCACACGCAUAUGCGGUCCAUCUAUUUAAAUAUUAAUAAAAUAUUUAUAGAUAUUAAAAAUAUAUAUAAAUACUUUUUAACAAAGAUAAAUAACUAAAAUAACAAUUCAGAAAAUUAAAAUAAUUAAUUUCAAGUAAAGGACCCCAUAUCCAGACAUGUAUUACUAAACUGACUAUUAGUAAUUUACUCGUAAUUAUUAAAUAGAGAAAUAGAUACCAUUUUGAUGCAAAAUCAUAAAAAAUGUCUAACAAAAAUUAAUGUUCUAAAAAGCGACAUGCCAAACAUUUAUGAAAAUAAUAAUUUUUUUAAUAAAUUAUCAUUAUCAUUUACAUAAUUUGAGAGAACAACACUUGAAAAAAAAAUAUAGUAUAAUAACGUCUAACGACUACAAAAUUAUUCAUCAAUAUUUAUAAAUAUAAUUAUUAGAUUGAUUAGGAAUAAUACUUACUGAAAUAAGAACAGAGAUAGUUAGAUUAUAUUUAUACAAAGAUAAUUGCAUUCAACAUUGUACUUCAAUCGCACCUAAAAAAAAAAAACUCUACCACAUAUGCAAGCCACAUAUGCGGCCGAAUAUGGGCCACAACUAUAGUUCGGACUAUAACUAUACCGCAUAUAUACGGCCGCAUGGACCACUUGGGAACAUUGGAUAAGAGAAUGUACAUGGCAUUCACGGUGUCAUGGCAAUUGCCUCCGAAAGCUUAGACAAAUCAUAACAGUAAUUUUAUAUUUCCUUAAUAUUUCGUAAAAAUAAGCUCAACGGCUCAUUGAGAAUUAAGAGGGAAUAUCCACUUACUCGAUAUAGAUUAGUUGUGUUUAUGCUAACUAACCAUAAAAAAGAACAUGUUAAGCUAUGAACAUUCUUAAAGCCAAGAAUAGAAACAACAUUGGGGGAUGAUUUUCUCCAAAAUUCUUUAAUAGCAUAUAUUAAAAGUAAAUUAGUCAAGAAGCUUUCUAUCUAUUCAAUCAAAAUAGAUUACACAACUUACAGAACAACAAGAAUUAUUUUGAACCUUUGAUGGAAUAAAAGGGCCAAUAUAUAUCAUGAAUAUCUGUUUUAAUAUGUUUAAUCAAGUUAUUUAAUAUUGAGGAAAUGCCAAAUCUAAUAUUUUGCAAAUUAGUUUGCUAGCUUCUGAAUUUUUUUCUUGGGAUCCCUUGUUAUGAAUCUUUAGCAUAGCCCUUAGUUAGAUACAUAGACAAUAUCGAUUGGUUGUGUUUAUGCUAACUAACCGAAAAAAAAAAAAAAAAAAAAAAAAAAAAAAAAAAAAAAAAAAAAAAAAAAAACAUGUUAAGCUAUGAACAUUCUUAAAGCCAGGAAUAGAAACAACAUUGGGGGAUGAUUUUCUCUAAAUUCUUUAAUGGCACAUAUUAAGAGAAAAUUACUCAAGAAGCUUUCUAUCUAUUCAAUCAAAAUAGAUUACGCAACUUAAAGAACAACAAGCAUUAUUUUGAACCUUUGAUGGAAUAAAAGGACCAAUAUAUAUCAUGAAUAUCUGUUUUAAUAUGUUUAAUCAAGUUGUUUAAUAUUGAGGAAAUACCAAACCUAAUAUUUUGCAAAUUAGUUUGCUAGCUUCUGAAUUUUUUUCUUGGGAUCCCUUGUUAUGAAUCGUUAGCAUAGCCCUUAGUUAGAUACAUAGACAUUCAUAUAGCUUCCUAUAUUGAGUAAUAGCUUGUAAUUAAUUUGCUCAAACACAAAAAUUCAUAUAUGCACCUAACUACAACAUACAAACAUCAGUUUACCAUAUAAUUCUCAAGAUGCAUCUAAUUAUACUAAAGAAAAGUUCUUAAUACCUGUUGUUCCCCGAUUCUUCUUUGAUGUACUAGCACCAACCUACCAAUUAAGAGAAAAUAUCAAUAUUCCCAUCAAUUAUAGCAUAUAACAAAUAUACAACUAAAAAUGAUUUAUAAGAUGCAAUCAUUAAAUGCACUUUUCAAACAUAUACCAUCCAUUAAUAGCAUGAAACAAAAUCUCGAUGCUGUUUUAAAUUGAUUAAUUCGACAUACAAAAAGAAAAACAAACGAGUACUCCAAAAUAAAUGACUAGUAAAUAUUCCUGUAGAUCUUUAGAGCCAUUACAAAAAUGAUAACAACAAUUUGUUUGAUUAAUAAAUGUUAUAAAAAUUUCAUCAACAAGCUCCAGGAGUUGAUGCUGGAGAAGAAAACAAGUGGAAAUAAAUGUAGUUCUAGCAAGGCAGCUCUUAGUCUUAAUAUGAUUCGUCAAAACAAACUUCUGCCUAGCUAUUAAUAUUUUCUUCAUUAUGAGUAGGGCUACUGUGCUAUUAGGAGCACAGCAGCCCUUGUGCUCCUAACUUUCUAACCACCCAUCAAGUUUGAUGGGUGGUUAGAAUGAGAGAGGGAAGACAUAUUGUGUACACUGGGGAUGCCUUGUGCAUAGGGCGGGUCUGUGCACGUGCCGGAUAGGCUUCCGCUGAGGCUCGGGCGUGACACUAACAAUGGUUAGAAUUGAGAAGAACAACAGCAGGAAAAGCAACAGGGUAGUGGCAGCAAGAGGAAGGCACAGAGGAGAAAAAAAAACCAAUCCCAUACAGCAGGAGCAGAAGAGAAAGAGCCAAUCCAGGAUGAGCAAAGAGGAGAGAAAGGCCUAAUCCAAAGCCGGAGGAGAAAAUUGCCAAGCAAGAACAACACGAAGAGGGGAGGAACUCCAAGGGAAAAAUUACAAUAUCAUACAUCAAAUUCCCCCAAACCAGUAAAAAGAUUUUAAUAGAACUCUCAAACAAAUAGUCCGACCAGAAGUUCAAUAGGAAAUAGGUUUAGGUUUUAAUAGAUUAUAAGUAUUAAUUCAACCUAAUCAAAUUUGAACCAAAAGUCCAGAAAGGUAGAAACUAACCCAAAAUAGAAAUAAGCUGACCGUACAAUUAAGGGUUAUCUCGAACCGUAUUCAAAUCCCUUCCCAAAACCGAUAAAAACCAACAAUUAGAACCCAAAUAAUUUUGAAGAAUAUAGAAAUCUUCUCAGAAUCCUUGAGCACCAUCUAAAAACAACUAAGCAAUCAAAAUUACAACAAAAGUUCAUAUACAAAAAUUAAAACUAAAAAAACUAAAAUAAAUAGGAUAAGGCUCAUCCUUGAACUGUAUCAAAUAAGUGGUAUCAGAACAAUUUGUGAAUUCUGGGGCUAUGUUUCAUCAUGGUUACCUAAUUCAUAAAACAUCAUUUAAAUUUCGAAUCGGACCAUGCGAUCCAAUUUGUGCAUCACUAGUGAAUUGGAUUGACAUAACAAGGAUCCUAUCCUAACCCAUCUAAUCUGUACUGGUAUCAUAUCGAGAGUAAUACACAAAUAAAUUAUGUAUCUAUGUAUUGCAUUUAGGUAUUCAGUACUUUAAUUUAUUUGCAUUUUGUGUUUCCAGUAAAUGUUUUCUAUUCCUAUAAAAUGUGUUGAUGAAGACUACUGUAGUAUACUGAGCUUUGCAAAUUGCUAAAGUCCAGUGUAAAAUGACUUAUGGUGCCAUUAGAGAGAUUUUGGGAGAGUUUGAGAUGAGUUGGAACUGUUUUGGGGCGAAAACGACACGAAAAAUAAGUUCUGGAACCAACCUGCAAUUUGGGCCAAAUUCCGUUUCAGUACUGGGGCCAAAUUCCGUUUCAGUACCGGUACUGAAACUCUAAGUACUGACACUCAACAGAAGUUCUCGCAGGGGAACGUUCGGGUUUUGCAAAACUCGGGUUGGAUACUAGUAACGGCUACCGUGUUCUGACACUCGAGAGGGAGGACGGUACACUUUGAACUGAUUUCGCUGUUGCACUACCAUGCUCCGAGACCGCUACCAAUUUGGUCCAGUCCGGGCGCGUCGAACAGACGCCGAAAGGACAGGACCUCUCCUGCCCGCCCAAGGCCAACCAACAGAUCAUGUAUAAGAAUUUACCCACUCGAGAGCACCGAAAUAAUAUCUCCACGAGAAUUAAGGGAGGUUAUGGUAACCGCGAGCGGUUGCAAGCAGUUCCGAUCGGCUGAAGAUGGCCCGAGGAAACAAGGAUAGUGGCCGAUCAUGGAUCAUGGAUGGAAAUAACUGAUCAAUAGGGGCAAUAUAAAAAGGUCAAUAACGCCCUAGAAAGGGGGUCUUUUCCCUGUGAACAAAAGACCACCAUUAUUUCCUUGCAAUUUCCUGCAUUUUUUAGGAGUAGUCUACUUGUAACUUUUACUUUCCCGCAUUUACUGUUUUUUCCUAGGAGUAGUUCCUAAGUAGAUCAACCGAGUCUGUAUGCGCCAUCCGGCACACUCAAUCCUUGUACUUUUCCUCAAUAUUAAUUUCCAAGGCUUUCGGCUUUUCAAGCAGACCAACUGAUGUGUUUCUUCUAUUCGGCUCAUCUACCGAGUCAAAUCUGUAGCCGGUCCGUACAUUCGGCUCAUUCCAGCUCAACCGAAUAUUUAAUAGAGUUUUUCGAACUCAGCUGAUUCGAUCCCUCGUCAACCGAAUCACUUGAUCCAGUCGAAGGGCGCAAACUUCGAGGGUCAUUAUUCGAAGCCGUUUUUCACCCCGACACGCUCCCCGAGGAGGAUCUUUGACUAGAUCAAAGGUCAGGGAAUUCAGCACGCAACAUACUGCACGCAAGUCAAGCUCCUGUUUGGAUGCGUGGACAUGUUAAUCGGCAUGUCUCUUUGAUUUUCUUCAAAAGAUUGUUGUUAUAUUUGAUAGAUAAGAAGUGCGAUCAAAUGCCUACAAUAAAACACCAUAUUUGGCCAUGAAUGUCCUUUUCCAGAAUAAGGUAAGUCACCUCGCAAGUGAAAUAUAUUAUGCAACCAAAUCAUACAUGCCACACGACGACACUCGAAAGAAGCAAAUAUCAAGUACCUAACUUUUAAUUGCACAAUAAAAUCUUCAUACCAAAUAAGUUAGUACCUAAUUCUGAAUUAUUAUCUAAACAAAGGCCCGAAUCAUACCUCGACGUUGAUUGCCUCGUCCUUCUCGUCACUUGUCUCGGCCCGUCUGCUCCAAACCAACUUGAAUAUGGCCAGAAUAAGAUCCUGGGGAAAGAAACCCGAUUAGGAGAAUCAAUCGAUGGGCGAUGAUCAAUCUGUGAAAUUCUAGAGCAACAGGACGAUGGAAGAGGGAUUUGACCACUCACGGUAUCGAAGGUUUCAUCCGUCAUGACUCCACGGCGAGCGGAGGAACGGCGAUCCGGAGUGAGAGAUUGGUUAGUGCGAGAAAAAUGGUGGGACUGGGAAAAGGAGGGGUUUCCCGCGGUCGCUUGCUUCUGGCCGUCCCGAACGGCCGGAACUGGGCCUUGCAAUCUAGAUAUAGGCCGACCCGCCGAACCGAUGCGACACACUUUGGGCUGCAUAAUGGGCCGACCGAAUUUUAUAACUCAAUUAUUAAUUUUGAUAAUAAUGUUUUUAUUAGAUUAGAUUAGAUUAGCUAGUCAAUAUACGAAAUCAUCAGAUUUUAUUUGAUGAUUUAGCUCUAAUGGUACUAAAAUAGAUGAAACUAGAUGAAAUAUGUGUGAAGUAGAAUAGAUUCGAUAAGAUUAGAUUUUAUGAGUUUGUUUAAUCUCAUAUCAGCGUGUUUGGUUUGGAUUAUCCUGCCAGAAUUACAAACAAUUUUGCAAACAUUACUGCGUUUUGUUCAUUCAAUCUAUAAUCUGAUCGAUAAUAUACAAAUGGUGUACGAUUACUACAAAAAUAUUACCGAGCAGGGGUGGAUGUCUCAUAUUACUGAUAGCGGUUUAUCUUGUAUGUCAUGUAAAAUUACAAGUCUACCCCUCCAACCCCUCCACACCCUUUAAAUGUGUCAUUUUUAAAAUUUUUAUUUAAAAUUUUCAAUUAUCAAAUUUUUAAUUUUUAUUUAUAAUUUAAAUUUAGAUUUUCAAAUUUUUAAUUUUUUUAAUUUUUUUAAAUUUUAAAUUUAAAUUUUUGAAUUUUUAAAUUUUAAAUUCUAAAUUGUAGAAUUUUAAAUUUUAAAUUUUAAAUUUCAUAUUUAUAUUUUAAAUUAGAAUAUUAAAUUUUAUAUCUUUGUUCAGAUUUUAAAUUUUAAAUUUUAAAUUUUGAGUUUUAAAUUUUAAAUUUCAAAUUUAAAUUCAAAUUCAAAUUUUAAAUUAUUUAAAAUAAACUUUUGUAAAAAAAUUAUUACUUGCAAAUAGUAAAAUUUUUUUUUUACCAAAUAGGACUAAGGUCAAUUUUGAAAUAGACUAUAUUUUAUUAUCAGGAUUACUGAAUUUUAUAAAAUGAAACCAAAUCUAGUAAUUCUAUAUCCACUGUGUGCCAGACCCCGCCAUAAUGUCCUACAACAUAUGAGGCGUCUACAGAAAAGCGGAAAGUAAGCAAGAGAUGGCAACAAAUAAAGAGAAGGCUGAAAUAACAGCCAACUAAACCGAUAUCAGGCGGUAAAGUUCUAACAUCUAUUCUAAAUAGUAAUUAGAACAACUAAAACAUAAAAGUUAAACAUUAAAUUACUUACGUAUCAGCCUCUAAUACAAAAAUGGUGGUCUCUAGUAACACCGGUUUAAAACUCGUCACCUCUCCAAAAAGUACAACGAGAAGGUAGACCAACUAGCAAAAUCGUCUUCGGAAGGAAGCUGCCGAAGCCAAUCGCCUUCCCGCCGGUCCCUGGCCUCACCCUGAGUGUAAGGCUCUGGAAAAACAUCGAUAAAAGAGGGGUGAGAACUAUGAUAUUAUAGUUCCAGUGCGUUCAAUUACUGACCUCAGCUCAGUGCACCACUAGCCCAAAGAAAAGGGUUAAGCUCUAAAAAAUAAGAGUAAUGAGUAAAUUGCUACUAGAAAGCAGUAAUAAUUAGGAUGCUAGCUACAACUUGCAAUUAAAACAUGCAUUCCUAAUGCCGAACUUAUCUUGUCAUGGAUAUAUUAUAUAUAUAUUCACAAGUAUAUCAUGCUUUUACUUAAUACGAUAUGAAAGUAAUACUUGGUAUACUACAAUGCAUAUAAGGAUGACAAUAAACAGAACAUUAUCUAGCAUACUACAUGUAUGUAUGAAUUACCCAAAUGAGCCACAACUAUGCUAGAAGGUAAGUCCAAGUAAUCCUACUACUACUCUCGACUAGUAGUGUUCAUAAAUAAACUCAACAUCGUAGUCAAUUUUCAUUUCCAAUUAGGACCUUACCAGAAGGUAGUCCAGCUUGUGCCGCACUAAGUGCCUGUGGUAGCCCGACAUUCCUACUCUUGGAAUGUGUCGUGUCCCACUCGACCCCGUAGGCUUCUCAAUACCGCACGAAGCGAACAUACGUCCAUAGGCUAACUCCGGAGAUGCCGGCUUGUCAGGAGCGACCCUCACAAGCAUGUGCGAAUGAGGCACAAAUGGCAAGCAAGCAAGGUCAAAGUCUCACUAGUACCUACUUUCGUGCCUCUCACAUGGCAAUGCCACUAAUGCAUCCCAAGGAUCUAGUCCAGGAGUUCUCAAGUGAGUACCCAAACACUUCACUUGCUUAGUGCUCUUUAUGACACUUUUUUUUUCUUGGGCAAGCAUCACCACUGAUCAAGCAAGGGGGCUCGGAUUCUUGUUCUUAUGUUUCAUUUAAAUUUAAUACUUAAUGAUAUUAUAGCCGGGCCCAAUGCCUCUUUGACAUUGGCCCAAUUCCUAAAUAGUCCAAGUUCUCGAAGCCCUCUCUAGGCUUUAAAUUUCUAAUGUUCCCAAUUGGUCAUAUAGGUUAUAAUGCAAGAGGCAAAAGAUCCGUUUCAUAAGGGUCAUGGUUUCCCAAUAUAACUAGGAAUGCUAAGUCUCACAAUACAUGCACUCUACCACAUAGGGGUCUAAAAUUUCACCAUAUACAUAUGUGUUAUAUGCAUGUUAAGCAUUUCUAAAAUUCAUAUUAAAUACAUUUUACACAUGGAAAUGCGAUGAAUUAUCCUAUUUUACGAAACAUAUUUGCCAAUAUGAGCAUUUCUGCAUCUUAUAUAGGCUAGGGUUUCAAACCACCGAACCGUCGCGUAGGGUCUCGAUUUGCCGAACAAGUUGUCCACGAGUCUCACAAUACCCUAAAAAGUCGAUCAGCCGAAGAGAUACGAGGGCAUUACGACAACGUCUAAGUCAGAAAUUAACCUAGGAGCAAAAAGAGUCAAACUUUUACCUCAAGAGUAGAAAUACUCUUCCAAAAGCUCCAAACAGAGAGCUUAGAACCCUUCCAAUCCAAGCACCUAAGGAGGUUCUAAUCGCAAUACAAUCAAGCCUCAAAAGCCCUAGGUUCAAAAAGCCCAAAUCCAACCCUAAAUCCCAAAAUUAGGGUUUCAUAUGGUAAAACCUACCAAAUCAAGGAUCAAAGGGUAGAAUCCAAGACUUAACCUCCCAAGAUGCCUCCAAACAAGCUCCAAAUCUUUCUAGGGUGUGAGAUUGGAUCCACCACCAAGCCCUACAAGGCAAAGCCUCCAAAGCCUCCAAAGUGGAAAAAGAGAGAAAGGUGGUUUUGAGCUCCAAGCUCCCUCAACCUAGCUCCUCUUCUUCUCUCCUCCAUUAUCUUCUUGCUUCUCUCUCUUAGAAAGUGUUGGGAGCGGGAGUGAGAGUGAGGGAAAUGAGAGAGGGGAAGAGGAGGAAUGGCUAAAUAGCCAUCCAUGUAACAAAUCCGACAUAGGCCCUCCAAAAAUCCAAUAUAUGAUCAGCCCGGUCUGGCAGGGUUUUCGCCCAGAGGUACGGUCUUCUCACCAGCAGGGACCUAGUCUUCUCGCCUGCGAACCCGAAAAACCAUCGUCUCGGGAACGGCUCUCCCUGCGCGGACCGGUCUAUCACUGCGGAAGACGCGUUCGGGAACCGGUUCUCGCCUGCAGGGACCGGUUGCCUCAGCUGCCUUCAACACUGUUCAUGUUGGGGGACCGGUCUCUCUGUUUCAUUGGACCGGUCCCGAGCAGUUAAAAACUCUCGGAUUGUCCAGAUUUCCAGUUUCGAAACUUUUUAGGUCGUGGAGAUACUUCUACACCUCCACCAAGUGUUGAAAAGCUCGAAAUAGCAUCUAAAACACUCGACUCGCACAUUUGCAAAGGUCAGUGCGCUUACAUGGUUUGUCUUCAAGGACUCCUCCUGGAAACCACCAGAAUUGAAAUGGCUGGUGUCUUUAACGGAGAAUCGAACUUUAUUAGAUAUUGGUUCGAUCCAUGAUUGAGCUUUACAGACUUUCCUAUAUCGUUUUGGGGUUACGCACUUCUUCGGCUAUUUAUAUUCUAAACAUUGCCUUCCAAAUCGGGCGUUUCUUUUUCGACCACACUGUUGAGUCUUGUGACAUGGUAGACAGCCCAAGUUUUCUUCAUAUUAAAACUUUGGGGGUGUCCAGCUUACUACUAUUAAGAAAAUUAAAGAGCGAGACAAGUUGGAAAGCAGCAUCAGUCAAGGGUAGAUUCAUUUGGGAUUAUCCCAAGAAUCACUAUGGAUAUAUUUUUAUCUCCGGAGAAGGCCAUAAUGUGAUGGGAGCGGUCAUGCCUUUUUCUUUCUUGAAGUAAUUUUAAUUUUGGCUGAGGGCAAGUCGUGAAGAAAAAAAUAGAACUAGAAAGAAAGUCUCUUUAGAAUCAAAUAUUCCAAGAGCCCGUUCGCCAUGAUAACUUCUGUGACAACUUGAAGGUUAAUAACCGCCACCUCGCAAGUCUGAGUAGGUCUCCCGUCCCCUGAUAGAUACAUGGGAUUAAGUAUUUAUAGAGGUGAUGGAGUAUAUGUUCCUAAUGGGAGAUAAGGACCAUAGAAUGAUCCUAAGGACAUGUAUUAGCGAGGCGAUGUCAGACAUCGACUCCGAUAAUGGUGGAAGCAAUUUGAAGUCCGAAAUGGACUCAAUGUACCUCCAAUCAAGUAUGGACUUUGGUUGAUCCACCGGAGGCGUAUUUGUACUAUUGGAGUGUAAAUGGAUCUUUAGAGAAGAUUGGUUCUUGAUGGAAGGUAGAGACCUAUAAAGCUAUGGCUUAGUAGCCAAAGGUUAUAGUCAACGCGAAGGCAGUUUGACUAUCAGAGGAAUACCUUCGUUCACCCGUUAGCUAUGCUUUUAAGUCUAUCAGAAACUCUCGCUUACUAUUGCUCACUCACUGUAUUGACUAUGAGAUUGGGCAAAUGGAUGUGAAAAACUUGCCAUUCCUAAUGGACUAUCUGAAGAAGAUUUAUUAUGGAGCAGCCUUUGGUUUCACUUCCAAAGAUGAGGUCAUAAGGGUGGUGCAAGCUUCAACGAUCCAUUAUGGAUUGAGCUAAGCUUCUCGGAGUUUGGAACACUCGUUUCAAUUGAUGCAAUUCGAAUCGUGCCAAUUUCAUCAGAAAUGAGAAGAGCAGCUGUUGUGAUAGUUAAAAAGAUUAGUGGGAGUGCUGUUACUUUUUUCGUACUGUCACGGUGGAUGACAUACUCCUGAUUAGGGAAUGAUAUUCCUAUGGCUAACAUCGGUCAAGGUUAUGGUAUAUCUUAAAGAGUUUUCUAUGAAAGACCUUGGAGAAGCAUCUUAUAUUCUAGCGGAUAAAGGUCUAUAGGAUUAGACCUAAGAAGUAUGCUUGUUUAUCGCAAGCCUAUGCUACAUAGAUGAAGUGCUGUGAAAAGGUUUCAGCGAUGGAGAUCCAAAAGGAGGCUGUAUGGUACUCUAAGACAUGGAAUUUCAACCUCUCUAAGAAUAUGUCUCCUAAGGACACUUUAAGAGAGAAGUCACCAUGAGCAUGUAUCCCUUUUGCUUCAGCAAUAGGGAGCUUAAUAUUAUCGAGUGCUAUGUACUCGACCUGAUUAUAGACACAGGCUGUCUGGAGUGUCAACGAGCCAGAUAUCAGAUCGAACACAGGACAGGAACAUGGUUAGCGGUUUAAAUGAAAUAUCCUAAGUACUUGGAGAAGAACAAAGGUAUAUGUCCUGGUUUUUGGAUGAGGAGAACUCAAAUUUAAUGGCUAUGCGGUAUUGCGAACUUAUGUUUGAUAUAGAUCGAUAGAAAGUCUACGUCUGUGUAUCUGUUUAUUUGCAAUGGUGGCGUCAUAGUUUGGAAAAGUUGCAAGCACGAGACGAUUGCAGAUAAAUCUAACUAAUUGGGAAGCGGAUUUACAUCGUGCAUCUUAAGUGCAAGAAGCUGUUUGAUCAAGAAAUUGUCACUGAGCUUGGGUGGUUCCUUCAGUAAGGAUCCCAUGCACCUUACUUGUGAUAAUAAUGGCGCGCGUAGCAUUAGCUAGACCAGGGUCUCAUCAGAAAUCAAGCACACUUGAGCGGCUGGUAUCCAAGAUCUAGAGAGCACAUCUAAGGAUAAUUAUUAAAGUAUAGAAGGUUGCCUCGAGGAUAACUGGCGGUCUUUGACUCGAGCAGAAAAACUUAGACUCUCUGAAGAAGAAUGGGCAUAAGUACGAUGAGUGGAUUGGCUUUAGUGCAAGUGGUGAGAGAUUGUUAUGUAUACCCUAGAGCUCCUAUCAGUGCUGACGCAUUUUAUUUUCAUAUGGGACAUAUAUUGUGUACUUAAUCUUUAUUAUUUAUAUAUUGGGCCUUUUAUCAUUCAUGUUAAAUGUUCCAUAAAUCGUCGCUUUUGAUUAUCUAAGAGAUAAUAUGAAUUCUCAAGAGUUUUGAGAAUUUGGAUACUAUUAUUAAUGAUUAAUUCAUAAAAUGCUCUCAAUCGGAGGAUCAUCAUGGGGACGAAUGAUUGAUCCGUGUAAGAUUGAUGUGUUGUGCCGCUUCCCUUUGGGUAAGAAUCUCGAGUCAUCAGUGUGGGGACACAUGGAUGCGAACAAUGCAGAGUGGCGUUGUUGGACAACGGUUACUGAGCGUGACCAUCACGAACAUUACAUGGAUGCUCUACUCAUUGUCAGUUAACUGGUUCGACUGUUGCAAGUGUUACAACUGAUCCUUAGACCUAUGCGACACCACGGUCAUUCAAUAUUUGAGGCUUACUGUAGUGGUUGACUUGCAACCAAAGCUCUGAUCCUAUCCAUGGUUUCUUGAGUAGUAUAUGUUUGCUACAGUGUCGGAAUUCAUAUCAGGAAUGGAGUGUGCUGUUUAUAGGGGAUCUCGCUCUCGGUAGAGAGAUAAUUAGUUCUAUGCCUAUUUGUACGGGCAAAGCUUAUAAAGGUCCUCGGCCGGGGGUAAAUAUGGUUGUAUGGAAGAUGUUUCAAGAGUAACCAUAAAGAGCUUUAUGUCUGAUCAAAUUUCUUCAUAUGACGAUGGUGAUGGGGUUUGACGAAUAUUCACAUGACUCCACUCAGUUGGGACUAUGCGAUAGAAAGGAUUGUAUUGCUUUUACGAUUUUUAAAAAAAAAAAAAAAUUCAUGCACUAGAGGUUUCAGUGUCAUAUUCACUUCUGACUGCGAAUUUGCCGACUACAUACUGCUUAGGCGGUCACUGGAUGGAUUGUGGGAACCCAAUAGAAAUAAUGUAUUAACAAUUAAUAUUCUAUUGGGUAGAGUGUCAAAGGAGUUUGAGCAUCGGAAAGGAGUUUCGAUGAUGAUUGUAGAUGCGAGAUCGCUCAUAUCUCAACUACAGACAAAAUUGAACUAUUAGGUCACACCAUAAGACAAGUCGCGCAUGAUCGAUAUUUAGGAAAUGAUAAAAGAAGUUUAUCAGAUGGUAUUAAUUACAUUUAAUUAUAGUUAAAUACUUAAAGUUUACUUAUUUAUUAGUUAAAAAGGACUAAUUUGCCAAUUGUUCGUAAAUUAGGAGGUAUUUAUCGUGUAAAAUUGCAUGGUGUAUUACUAAUCGUUAGUAAAUAAAUAUGAGGACUUAUGGUGUAAAUGUUACACACGAAGUCGAAUUUAGAAUUUAUGGAUUCGGAAUUCGUUAAAUAUCAUAAACAAACUUGCGGUCUCCAGUUGAUGGAUUAAUCAAAUCGGAAUAGGAUUUCGGAUACAACAACUGGGGAAAAUCCCCCGAAGUCCAAGGAAUGAUCGGGUACAACAACUCGUGGUCCCGGGAUGCAACAAGAUACAAGUGGAAAUGCCAUCUGACUGGCAAACAUCGAUCUAUGAAUGAAUGCGACUGCACCGCGUAUGCAAACAAAGCUCGAACUCUAAUACAUAAUAGUUAAAAUGAUACCUGCGACCACAUCUCAGCUGCUGGCCGCCUACUCAGUCUGGGCGCAUACGAUGCGCCACUGUGGCCUGUCGUGACCCCCCGUCUGAUCGCUGAACAGGUGCCGUCGCUGCCUGAUGAUGCGUAAAGAUAUGUCCUCUGACUGCUGGAGCCUGGCGCGAUUGCUGGUGCAGAUGCGAAUGGAUGGGCUUGGCAAUGCGACUCCUCGGGCAGUCGGACUGGAAGUGGCCCUCCUUAGGCCAACAAAGAAAGCACCUACCCGGCCUGGAGUGUGAACACUGUCGAGGUAAUGGCGACCACCACAGAUCACGCAGCGGGAGCCUACUGAUGACAAUCGUGUCCUCGCUCGCUGAGUAGGACUGGCCACGUUCCUCCGCGACGAGCUCCGGCUUCUGGGGAUGCUCGGUGGCCUCCGUCGAGUGCGUCUGGCUUUCCACCUCAGCCGCGGGGCUCUUGCCCUUCCCUUUCUCCAACUCUCACGUACGCUCCUGCCAAAUCUUUAAUUUACGCCGCUUCUGCCUCCACUAUCAUAAGCUCGAUCCACAAUCUUUUUUUUUUUUUUGAUUUUUUUUUUUUUUUUUUUUAUCCCGAUAUGUCUCGCGGGUUGGAAGACGUGCACCAACCGAAGAUUGAGGCGCAACCGCUGCUAAAAAAUGCUGGCCUUAGGUCUCGUCAUCCGUCACAACAAACGGCAACAGUGUAAUAUCCGGGCAGAACCCCUCUCAUACUCGGACUGACCACUCGUCCUUGCCGCAAGACUGCGCAAAUCCCUGCUCAUCUUCCUCUUAACGCUGGUCGAAAAGUUGGUGCGCCAGAAGAAGCCUUCCUGAAUCGAAGUCACAGUAAUCGCCUGCCAUCUGGUGUUGGGGUUGUCUGAUAUCCAACACCAACGUAGGCCUUCGCCGUCAAGAAAGUGAGUGUGCGAGCCAAACUCCUGUCGUCCUCCACAAAGGCUGUCUCAAAAGCUGUCUCCAUGUGCCUAUCAAACCACUUUCAACAUCAGGUGUGUCGAUGCUCUCGGCCUCGAUCAAAACGUCUCGGGCUGACCUGCCUGAACUCACCUUGAGGCGAAUCCAUGAGCCGUCCCGCUCAUGCUCCCUCAAGCCAUUUACACGGCGAAAUGCCGCCCUUGUCGCUAGGUCUCUGAACCAAGUUAGUGCCGCAGCUACCUCUCCCGGAGGUGUGGGUCACCGGUGCCGCACGUGAAGAACUGGGGCAGGGACUGCUGCCCUCAGUGCGGACGUCCACCGGGGUGUUGCGGUGGGACCUGGGUCAUCCCUCGAAGCUGCUGCCUGCCUGAAGUAGAAGGCUCCUCCAGAAUGCUUUCAAUCCGCCGCCCUUCCUGCCGCUGAGCACUCAGUCCUGUCAGCUGCGCCCUGCCGUCUCUGAGCUCAAAGAUCGGUGAGAACCGCAAGCUGGGCCCUCCAAGUCACGGACUCACUGGAUCGGAAGUAGCGGAGGUCAUCGACCUCUCCGGGGUGUGCCGCAAUCAUCGCCCCCGGCUUCAGACUGGGAGCGGUGUAGACCGCAUCGUUACUAUCAAACUAAGACGCAAGUAUAGUAACCCACGCUAUAUGCACCCCGCUCAAAUAGAUAAAACCCCAAAUCAUGCCCGAAAGUAAGGAAGUGUCCUUACACAUACUAACACCCGAUGUUACGUUGUCUGCCGCCAACGUAACCCUCCGCGCGAAGUUAGAAGCCAUACACUACCGAUCAAAAGUCUAACUUUUUCAGAGUUUCAUAAACCCAAUACGAAAUACUCUUUCGCUCAACAAGUCAAUUAAACCUCGUCUCUCACGGGCCUAAUUCUAUAGUCCAACCGGCCUCCUUAAGGGUUGCAAGCGAUCCACUAAGACUCAACCCUAGGCUCUAUACCAAAUUAAUCUGUCACCCCAGGAACCGGAGGCCUCCCGGUAGCGCGCCAGACUCGCAUAUGUCUACACAUAAUAAGAGCGUCUUACGAUAAAAUGCGAAGUAAACAAGAGGUAGAAUAAUAGAAUUGAUAGCACGUAAUGAUAUCAGAUGCAACGUAAAGUUCUAUCAUCUAACCCAGAGUAAAAGAAACAUAUCUAACAAUAACAAGUAUAACCAUAAGGCAAUACACAUAUCCUGUCUCAAAGUUGUACACAAAAGGGGGGUCUCUAGUACACUGGGCUAGAGCUUCACCUCUCCAAAAAGAAAUACAUCGAGAUGUAGGGACACCGUAAAACUCGCUCCACGUCGCUGAAGGCUAACUCGAAGCAGCGGCUCUCCACGUCCCUGCCUCUUCCGGGUGGAAGGCUGCUGAAAGAAAUCCAUUGAAACAGAGGCGCUUCUGAGAACUAUAAUUUAUAGUUCCAGUGGGCAUAUUACAUGACCUCAGUUCAAUGCACCACUAGCCCCCAAAGGUAAAGGUCGUAGUCGAAGCAAUAGUAAUAACCGAGUUAUUUGCAUUUACUGAAAAGCAUAAUGAAAAUGCUAAAUAUUUACUUGCAUUAAACAUAGCAAUUUAUGUAAUGCACAAUAUUUUUGUCAUUGAAGGUAUGCUCUCUACUUAGCCAUAAAUAAUGUACAUCGUAUUGCUUAAUGAAAUUAUGAGAUUAUACUUCAUAUCAUAGCAACAUUGUAUAUAUGAUGAAAUAAGCAAUGUCUCCUAGCAUAUACAUGUAUGUAUGUAUAUCUAAAAUGUCCAACUUUAUGCAGAAGCAGUCGAGUAAUCCAACUAUCUACUCUCUAUCUAGUAGUGAUUUAUAACAAACUCAUCCCGUUGUCGAUUUCCAUUUCCAAUUAAGGGCCUACCCAAGGUAGUCCAGCUUGUGCCGCCUAAGUGCUGUGUAGCCCAACAUCCCUACUCUUGGAAUGUGUCUGUCCACUCGAUCCCGUAGGCUUCUCAAUACCGCACGAGCGAGACUAGUCGCGUUAGCUGACUCCGGGGUGCCGGUUUUAGGAGCGACCCUCACAAGCAUGUGCGAAUGAGCACAAAUUGGCAAACAAGCAAGGUCAAUGUCUCAAAAUAUCCAAUCAUCAUAUCAUCUAACAUGCAAUAAUCACUAGCAUCCUCGAAGAUCUAGUUCUAUGUCACAAUGUGAAAUUUCUCAUAUUUACUAAGUCUAGUGCCCCUUUAUGACACUUAGACAUUUUGAUGUACAAGCAUAUCCAACUCUCUCAGGUGGCACUAUCCACAUAGGUACAACAUAACCCGAGCUCAAUGCCCUUAAUGACAUUAGCCAAUUAUUCACAAGUUAGUACAAGAUCCCCCGGCCUCUGUAUGGCCUUACUAAGGUUCUGAUGUCACGGAUUAGGCAUAAGAGUUAAUACAUAAUAGCAAUGUCCAAUUGCAUAAUGGGAAUCAUAAUUCCAAAUCUCAACUAGGGAUGCUAUUAUCUCACGAUGCAUGCACUCCGCAACAUAGAGGUCCAAAAAUUUACUAGACAUUACAUAUUGCAUGUUAAGCAUUCAAAAAUUCAUAAUAAAUGUAUCUAACAUGAUUAUGCAUGCCUUUCCAUUUUACAAACAUAAAACAUACACAAUGAAUUUUCUCAUUGUGUGCUAGGUCAAACCCACGAACCGGGCGUAGUGCCUCGUUUCGCGAACGAAGUUGUUCACGAGCCUCAAAAUAUCCUAAAAGUAUUGAGCGAAGAGAUACAUGGUAUUAUGAUCAACUAUAAGAAUCAAACUUUAACAAACUUAGCCAAAAGGGCUCUAAACUCACCUAAAUGUGUAGGAAUCUCUCUCAAGCUUCAAAAGGAGCUAAAUCCUUCCAAUCCAAGCCAAAGGAGUGCUCUAAUCCAAAUAAUCUAGCCUCAAAAGCCCUAGCAUAAAAAGCCCCAAAUCAACCUAAAACCCAUUCUAGGGUUCCAUCUACAAAAAAUACGCUUCAAAACUAAGCGUUAGAGGAGGGAUUUAUGAGCAACAGACCUCCUUAGAAGCUCCAAUCAAGCUCCAAGGGUGAAGAUCUUCUUCUAGCAAGCCUCCAAGUCAAGCACCAAGCACCAAGGAAGAAGGAGGGUGAGAAGAUGCUCAAGUCCAAGCUAGGUCCUCACCUAUUCUUCUCUCUUAUUCUUCUCCUCCUUCUUUCUCUCUCUAACAAGAGUAUGGAGGGAGUGUGAGGAGAGAAAUGAGAAGGAGAGAGGGUGGAAGGGCUAUUUAGGCCAUCCAAAGUAACAAAAUCCAGGAGGUUUCCUCAAAAUUCAAAAUUGCAUUAGCCCGGUUUGGGCAAUUUCUCGCCCAGAGGGACCGGUCUCUCCCUGCAAGGGACCGGUCUCUCGCUGCGAACUCGAGGAACCAACGUUCGGGAACCGGUCUCUCCCUGCGCGGACCAGUCUCUCCCUGCGAGGAUGCCGCUCGGGGACCGGUCUCGCCGCAGGGACCGGUUCCUCAGGGCUGCCACAACACUGCUCACUUGGGACGGUCUCCUCCUUUCAGGGACCGGUCCCCACAGUGAAAAAUCUCAGGACUCGUUCAGAACUCAGAUUUGAAUUUUUGGAUCGAAAACAUUCUACGACCCUCCACCAAAUGUGGGGAAAGCUCGAAACACAACAAUCACUCGAACCUCGCAAUUUGCAAAGGUCCAGUGUUGUACGAGUACCGGUACAAGAAACUUUCACCGAUACACAGCCUUUUUCUGUGGUCCACUGUGCACCUUGUACCGGUACACAAAAUCAUGUCACCGGUUCAACAGCCUUUUUCAACUCAAACCGAGAGCUGCUUCUCUCAGUUUUACACUUUGUACCGGUACAUUUUUGAGUUAAACCGUAACACAAUUCCAGAUUUCAGAUUUUACGCAUCUUUUCGAUUCUAUUUCGCUCGAUAAAUGCUACAACCUUUCUAAUCUUUUAACUCAUUUCUAACCCUUCCAACCUUGUUGGAAUGUUAACUUGACUUUAUCCAACUAUUUCUUUCGUACUUUUAGUCGAUUCGACUAAAGCUCGAUAGACUCAACCGAGGUUUCAGUAUGUUACAUGUCUAAUCCUGUGGAUUCAAGAAAAGGGUUUGGCUUGGUCGAUUUAAAGAUUGCACCAUUUCGACUCCCAAGUGGUCCACAGCAGGUAUUAAACGAUUGUUCGGACCUUAGGGGUACUGAUCCCUUGCUACUUAACCAUCUAUCCAGACGCUAGGGUUAGUAUAAAAAAAUUAAACAGACUUUUGGAUACAUGGGGUAAAGAUAUAAAACUAGAGGUGCGCUAAGAUUAGUAUAAGAAAUUGACUGACAUUUGGAAUUAGUAGGAUGAAAGAUUUAUAGCAUGUUCAAGCAGCAUUACUUUUAGGGCGUGUUUGGUUGCGUUAUAUAGCUAUUUCGAUAUAACCAUGUAUCUGAGAUUUCUGAAUCAGAUUACUAUUGCAUAUUGCAUAUUACUGAGAUGAGUUUAGUGUAAUAAUGUAAUAUCGUAUUAUNNNNNNNNNNNNNNNNNNNNNNNNNNNNNNNNNNNNNNNNNNNNNNNNNNNNNNNNNNNNNNNNNNNNNNNNNNNNNNNNNNNNNNNNNNNNNNNNNNNNACGUUAGAAGAAUAGAUUGUUCGAGACCGCUCGCUAUCUCGAUAGCUCCGUACGGAGGCCCGCGAAUUGAAGGAGUUGCGGGCGUCAUUGAUAGAUCUCCCUCGAAUAAGGGAUUUCAUACGGCCAAAGUGAUCACCGGGGAGACCCACGUCGCUAUUCGUGGCGAAGAAUGGACGAUCGUUUCGACUCUGCGUAAAUUAUCGCGAGUUGAACAAGGUCACUGAUCAAGAAAAGUACCCGUGCCGAUGAUUGACCAUUUGUUUGAUAGUGCAAAUCCGGUUAUUCAAAGAUUGACCCUAGCCGUCCGAUUAUCAUCAGCUCAAUGAUCAAUGUCCGAGGAUGUGGCAAAAGACCCUGUUCGCACGCGGAGACAUUAUGAAUUCACUUGUCAUUCCGUUUGGCUUACUAACGCCUGCCUCAUGCAUUCAUUGGUACUUGAUGACCUGUGUCUUGCAAGGAGUACUUGGACGAUUUUCGUGGUUUUCAUAGACGACAUCAUUAGUCUAUUCGCAUAGCUGACGAGGAACAUGCCGAGCUAUUUGAGGAUAGUGGCUUCAAUCCUCGGGAGAGAAGUGAUCUAAAGUUUAAGAAAUGCGACUUUGGCCCGAGAGGUUCAUUUCUUGGGCAUUCAAUUUCCGAGAGAAGUAUCUGUUGACUAGGGAAGAAGAGGCGAUCAAAGACUCCUCCCCAUGACUCUAACUCAACGGAAGUUUCUCGAAGCUUCGUGGAG
rnacentral:lncRNA from 1 species